CUAUCUCCAAAGAUCUAGGAAGAACCGGAAGAACAGUAACUCCUGGCUUGGGAUUCAUUGAAAAGGAAACAUGAUCCAGGUGGUGGCAAGCCUCACAACAGAGCUCGCUGGGAUCCCACCAUAGCCAUAGCAGCCGCGCAAAGAAUGGCCUGGGGAGCUUACCUGUGGUGUCGUAGCCUCCAAGGGGUGACGAUCUCUUCCAGAUCUCUAAGGCACAUAUCACGAUAUGAGAUUCCAGCGAUUUCUCUACCCUUGAACUCACCGCUGGAGAAGGAUACCUUGGCGGUCUUGUCCCGCGAGCUUUUGUCCACAAUGGUACCGUCGGAGCCUUUGAAGCCACCAUUGACGACCCGGACGAGCUCGCCGAUGCCGGGAACCACAGUCCGGAGGAGGUCCUGCUCGAUCGUCAGCCUCUGCCCGUGGCGGUCGCGGAGGAGCCGGAUCCGCGCCGUGAGACCGUCCUUGUUCACGUCCUCCACCACCGCCUCCUGCUUGGCGAAUCGCUCCAGAUGCCGCGGGGGGUGGCGGGUGAUCCUCACGAUGAGCCCGGCGUCCACCCACUUGGGACUCCUCGGCAGGUUGAAGAGCUCCUUCAGCUUCUCGGCCUCGAGCUGCCGGGUGAUGGCUUCCAUCUUGGAUCGACUCAUGAGCGCUAGCGGCGGAGCAGGAGCUUCGGGUGGCUUGUCCGGCGGCUCCGCGAUGGCCUGGAACAGCGGCGCCGGGGGGCUCAGUUGCUUCUUGCUCGUCUCGGUGGCGGCGGCGGAGAUGGCGGUGGACGUAGCAGCGGCGGCGGUGGCGAUGGAACCAGACGCCGCGGCGGCGGCGGCGCUGCUGCUGCUCGAGGAGGCGGCCGCGAGGCGGGGAAGGGUGAAGGACACCUUCUCGCUUCUCUGGAGCUCGCCGGGCUUGGCGGUGUUCUUGGAGUGGAGGUGCUUGCGCAGGGUCUUGGCGGCGCGCUGGAUCUGCUCGCCCAGCACGCGCUCGUCCUUCUCGUCCUCGGCCUUCCGCUUGCCGCCGCCGGGCGAGCAGCCGGGGUCGAGCAUCGUGAUGGCGUAGCGCUGCCCCUCGUCCUUGCGCAGCCGGCACUUGCCCACGUCCUGGAGGUGCUCGAGGAAGGCGGAGAAGCCCGGCCACGACGUCCUGGCGAUGGCCACCGGGUUCUUGCUGCCGCUGUAACUCUUGAACGCGGCGCUGCUCGCCACCUCCGCGCGGCCGUGCGUGCUCCACAUGUGCUCCACGAAACUCACCUCGAACUCCUCGUCCAUGGAGGCGCCAAACACCUUGCGCACGCCAUAGACCUUGCCGUUCAUCGCUGCCCUAGCCCUGUUUCUAGGGCUGGGAAGUUCUAUCCCAAGUACCCGCGAAUCUUUCUUCCGUGCAUAGAAUCUUCGUUGUCCGUAACUCCCGUAAAAUAUCCUUUUAGGUUCUGAAAAGAUGCGGCAGUUGGUACGGAAAGCACUGCGAGCCCUCUGCCGUACAGCGACGUUUAGAAUAUCCUCCAGAAUGCGGCGGUUGGUACGGAAUUCGCUGUCACAAGCCCACGAAACGUACGGACUAGGACUCGAUAGUGAAGAUGUUGUGGAGGAGGACGUAGGGCGACGAGGCGUGGGGCUCGGCCUCGGAGCUCUUCCACGCGAAGAGCCUGCCGGCGGCCUGGGCGUCGCCGUGGGUGGAGCACGCGGCCAUUAGCGCGGUGCACGCCAUGGAGCCCGGCUCCCCAGGCGCGGCGUAGGCGAGCUCCUCGGCGUCGCCCAGCUUGCCCGCGCGGCCCAGCAGAUCCAUCAUGCUCCCGAAAUGCCCCGCGUCCGGCCUGAUCCCAAAGCUGCCCUGCAUCUCCAGAAAGUAGCCGCGCGCGUCGAAGAGCGCGCCCGAGUGGCUGCACGCGCAGAGGAUGGUGUUGAAGGUGACGGCGUUGGGCGGCGAGCCGUCGAGCGCCAUGCGCUGGAACAGCUCGAGCGCCGCGGCGCCAUGGCCGUUGUGCGCGUACGACGCGAUCAUGGCCGUCCACGGCGCCACGUCCCUGUCCGGCAGACGGUCGAAGAUGGCCCUCGCGGCGUCCAGGCCGCCGGAGCGCCCGUACAUGUAGACGAGCGCGGUGGCGAUGGGGCCGUCGCGGUCGAAGCCCCGAUCGACGCUGGCGUGGACGAGCUUGCCCUCGGCGGGGGCCGGGAUGGUCGCGCAGGCGUCGAAGAGCGUGAGCAGCGUCAUGGUGUUGGGCUGGAUGCCGUCCAAGUCCAUGCGCUUGAGGAAAUCGACGGCGGUGGCGAUAUGCCCGAGCUGGGCAUACCCCUUGAUCAUGGAGUUCCACGUCGACACGUUUGGGGAUUCCAGCGAGUCGAACAGCUCCCGGGCUUGAUCCAUCUGGCCGUGCUUGACGUACGCCGAGAUCAUCGCGUUGGUGGAGACGAUGCAGCGAUCUUCCGCGGCAUCGAGCAUCGAUCGCGCCUCCACCAGCAGCCCGCAUUUGCCGUAGAAGUUGACGAUGGCGGUCUGGAUCUUUGCAUCCCGGGAGAGCUCUAGCGAGGAUUGGACCUCGGCGUGGAUUUGCCGGCCUUCCUUCACAGACCCAGUAGCAGCACAGGCCUCGAGCACGCUGAGGAACGCCACUUUGGUCGGCGUUGUCCCCUCGAUGUCCAUCUCCCGGAAGAGAGUUAGGGCUCUUCGCCCUUGGCCGUUCUGGACGCACGCCGCGAUCAUCGUCGACCAGGUGACAAUGUCCUUCUCGGGUGUUUUCUUGAACGUAGAAUAUGCCCCGUGAAAAUGCCCGUUCUGGGCAUAUGCUGCGACCAUGAUGUUCCACGAGAAGCUAUUUGGCGAAGAGAUCUCUUGGAAUACCGAGCAUGCCCUCUCGAGGCAUCCGCAAGAGCCAUACAUUUGGACGAGGAGAUUCCACACGUAGAUGUCGCCAUUGAAUUGGGUCUGGGCGACAUGGCCGUGGAGCCGGAUGCCCUCUGGCAAUGCCUUGGCGGCGCGGAUUCUUCGCAAAAGAUCGCCGUAGAGCGUUGGAUUCCCGCGGAUCUUCCCCUCUAGCACCUGGUCCAGUUCCUCUCUUAGGGUUUGGAGAUUCGUGUCGGCCGAUCGCGCUGCCAGAGACGUGCCCGCGAUCAAUCGGUCGAAUUUCCUGUUCCUGGCAAUCCGGGAGUAGCUGCGGCGAUGCUUGUGCCCGAGAUCUUUAUGCCGCAAAAUGCCCCACAACAUUCACGGUUUUACUUUAGGGUUUAUAGUUCGCGAUGGGGAAGAGGAAGCAUGGCGAUGCCGAUUCCUCGCAAGCGCUGGAUUCCGGCUCCUCUGGUCGCAAGUACACUGUGAGCUUGGCCGUAUCUGGAUCGAUCAUCAACAAUGCGCAGUCGCUAGAGCUCGCCACACGGGUAAGCAUUGGCUCGGGGCGCUGUGGCAGUGAUCUUUCCUUUGGUUCUUUCUAGCUCGCGGGGCAAAUCGCGAGAGCUGCCACGAUAUUUCGAAUCGAUGAGGUAUUCUUUCUUUCUUUCUCGAGAGAAGGCGAUAGAUUUUCUUGUAGAUCGUUGUCUUCGACGAUGGAGAGAGCUCCGCGAGCUCGUUCCAGCGGACCGGAUGGGGAAGAGAGACGGGUGAGGCGAGUGGUGGCGAGUUUCUUGCUCGAGUUCUUCGCUACUUGGAGGUUCCUCAGUACUUGCGGCGAGCGCUCGUUCCAAUGCACAAGAGCCUCCGAUAUGCGGUUUUGUAACCAAGCUAGAACUCUUUCGAGCUUUCUUUCUGAUGCAUGCCUUUGCUUCUUCAGGGACAAUUGCCGCCGCUGGAUUCACCUCAUCAUCUCCGAAAGCAAGCAUGGUUGCCAUUCCGAGAAGGUAGCGUUGCUCAUCCUUUCGCGUUUUAAGUCUUGAGAGGUGUAGGAGUUGCUUUGGACAAAAGCUUCGAGAAGAGUCGUGGCAAUGGAUGUUAUGCUGAUGUUGGGCUUGGCCAGGUAAGCUUUUUCCUUGUUUAUCGAUGAACUUGGGAGUAUGAGUAAUUGUCAUGUUUGUGUGCAGGAUGUUUUGAUUCAGGAGACUGUAAAUGCAGGCACCAGGAUUACUGUCGCUAUGGGAUCUACUGACAAAAAUCUGAAGCGAGGUGUCGCUAAAAAGUUCACAAUCACUUGUUUAAUCGCUGUGUUUCCCUUUGAUCUUUAUUUCAGGAAAGAAAUUGUCCGUCGUCCCUUCCAGCACACCGAGAGAGAGUGCUGGUCUGUACUGGGGCUAUACAGUUCGUGUCGUGGAUCGCCUGACUAAAGCUUUCUCCGAUUCGUCUUUCGAGGUGCCAAACCGGUUUCUCUUAUCUAUCAUCUCAAGUGUUUUUUCACUUUUCAAGGAAGGCUACGACUACACCAUUGGUACGUCAGAGCACGGAGAGAAAGUCCUGACUAGCGAUCUUCGCGUUCCUAGUUUUAGGUGAGGUUUACGUGCAGUUUCUCUUGCUUGUGUUAUUCAUGGGUUACACAGGCAUGCGCUUAUCGUGUUCGGAGGUCCAGCUGGUCUAGAGGAGAGCCUGGAGCUUGACGGAUCAUCCGCGGUACUGCUUCGCUAUUAAACUUGUGGGACUUGAGUGUUUACUCGCUUGAAUCAGGUGGAAGACGUGAGAGAGCUAUUCACGAGGUACCUAAACACUUGUCCUCUGCAAGGAUCAAGAACUAUACGCACCGAGGUAGACUGUUCUUUAACCAGUGCUGUCGAUUCUCACUGUUGUCAUCUUUGUAGGAAGCCAUUUUCAUUUCUCUGCAGUUCUUGCAAGAACCACUUCUGCGAGCCGUCAACCUUUGAUUUUCAUCCACUGCAAAGGAGAAUGUCAAAAUGCGGCGCACGAAAUGCAACUCACUCGCGAUCUUUGCUUCCUGCCUUAGCAACUCAAAAUGCUGCUGAAAAUGUGGCCCAGUGGGAGUUCCAUACAAUAGGGAACUCUUCUCUUUCAGGACGGCAUACAGCUCCUUUACAACUUAAUGGUGGACGUGGAGUUGAAGACUCUUGCUGUGCAACAGCGUCAGCAAGACCAUCCCUUUUGUGGCCGUGACGACUAAAGCGUCCAAUCAAGACGCUGUCACUCCGUCCGUGAUCAGCUGCUCAGAAGGGGUGGAAGGCGAGCAGCUAGAUCGUAGUGUUGUCUCGUACAGCAAGAAUGUGCUCAGUCCGUGAUCAGCUGCUCAGAAGGGGAUGUAACUCCUCCUUUGUUUCUGGACGAGUCUUCCGCAUUCGAAGAGCACUUGGAGCAGCAAGAAGAUUUGGAAGAAACACCACGGGCUGGUUUUGAAGAAAAGCCAUUUCGUCAAUCCACGGCCAGCUGCUGGUGUAUUGUUUCUGGACGAGUCCUCGAAGAAGAGCAUUUGGAGCAGCAAGAAUGUGCUGAUUUUGAAGAGGUGUCGGUGCUGCAUGGGCUCGUUUGGAAGAAGAUAAAGCGGGACAGGGGGGUCACAAGCUCGCCUGCCAAGUUUAACAAGCAUGAAGCCAGAGUCGAGGUUUGUGGCUCGUCGUCUUUUGCAGCGCCAACAGCAGCAGCAAUAGCAGCAGUGAGAGCAGCCGCACCACUUGAAACAGCCGUAACACAAAUGGUACAAACUUUAGAAUCGGGCGACUUGGUGACACCCUGGUAACUUUACGGACGCUUCAAAGAAUAUCCAUGCAAUCCUGAUCGCAGUAUCAGCUCCAAGGUAAGUCUGUGGCGAUGAUAUCUUCACUCUAAUCGUCAAACACCAUUAUAGCAAGCCUUAUGGCUCAGGAAGAGCCAGCUUCAGGUGGUGGGAGGAAGGCGGAAGCUGAAGUAGCUUCUCCACUGUUUCUGGACGAGGCCUCCGCGUACGAGGAGGAGCAAAGAAGAAGAUCUUGAAGAGAUGCCACACAGGGGCGGGUUUCCAGAGGAAGAGUCGGAGCUGCAGUUUGGAAGAAGAUGAAGGUGCAUGCAACAAGUUCUCCGCCAAGGAAAUCCUCAUUUCUUAUCAUCGCAAACUGCCGUGGCUCAGACAGCACCAACAUCACUCAUUCGAAGUAGCUGCAAUACUAGUGGCACGGACAAUCGAGUCUUUUUGGAGCCUCAUCUCGACAUCCGAUGUUCAACGUGUGAUCAAGGUGCUCAGGGCUACGAGAGACUACAUUAUCCAGCAAAGCCAUUUGACUUCUCUAGAGGCAUCACUCUAUCAGCUUGGUAUGCAGAAGCGUCUCAGCUUUCGAAGUGAAUUUGACAAGCAACCCGACUCCAAUCCGGAUGGAAGAUAUUCGAGACGCAAGGGUGGUUAUUACGCAGGAGCCUCUUCAGCUGGAAAUGAGCUAUCAUCAUCGAGAACUUCUGGCUCGGGAACUAUUGGUUUUAAGUGGUGAAGCAUUCAGGAGUUUCCUGGUCGUGGUCACAAAUUGAACAGAUUAUCUAUCCAUCAGGCUUUUCGUCGCUAGAACAGCAUGGAGAUUGGUUUGUGAUCUGGACAAGAGAAAGCAGAAAUGUCCCGGGAGCUGCAGGAAGGAAGCAAGUGUCUGGGGCUCAACAGAAGCAAGUAAAAGAAGAUAUUGGGACUCACCAUGUCCGUCACCAUGGAGCGGGUCAACAAGAAUUACUAGUUCCUGUUAUUUGAGGAAGAGUUUUCACUCAAGAGUCCAGGAAAUCACGAACCACAACGACUAGAGGUCCCGCGAUGAAGCAAAGGUUUGCAAGCGUUCUCAUGCUUCGAGAAGCCCGGCCGGGUUUUCCCACCGCGCUUACAAUUCACGCAGUUGGCAAGGAAAGCCAUACGAAAAUUUCUAGAAGACUGAUCAAUGUAUGACAGACUGGGGAGCGUUGAGAAAGCUAGUGUUUGAAAUGUGGCUUCCUCCGCACAAACACAACAUAUUUUUUGGAACCAAACAUAAUCCUGUUCUGAGUUUUGGUUGAUAAUUGCAUGGAAAACUUGAAAUACGGAUCGCCUAGAUAGAGACCAUUGAAAAACAAAAAGCUGUAUGUGGCUCCGUGCAACGGAUCAAACAUGAAUAAAUACCGUGAAAUUUGAUCUCUGUUGCAUGUUUCAUCAGGAGUAGAAACAAAAAGAAGUCCUUCAAUCUGAUCAUCAGAAUUCGCUCCACUCCGUGACAGUCUUGCGGUACAUAUACUCCCUCGCAAAGGGCAUCCGCAUACUCAGCAUCCCUAGGAGGCAUCAUGAAUCUACUCUUCGCUUUGUUCAUGAAAGCGAGAGUUGUGAUGCUGCUGUUGUGUGACAGUCAAUAGUCAUAUGAACGAACGAACAAAGAUACAUGGCAACCUAGCUUCCAAUUGAGUUCCUACACUAGGCUUCAAUGGAGAUGCCAGGUAUCGAUCACGGUGCCUCGCAUGCUAAGCGAGCGCUCUACCAUCUGAGCUACAUCCCCUCAACAUAAAAUGAAGCGAUUUUAUAAUACGAUACCAAGAAAAGGCAAUUGCUAGACAAAAAACAUGUUUUUGAAAGUAUGCCGCAGCUCGAAACUUUGUUUACAAGGUCUCCCCCUCCAAGAAGCAUGAGACCAAUGGGUUCAAAUAUUCAGCUGUGUAGCUAUUCAUUGUCCAAUCUCAUUGGCAUCGGUGUCGUGUGCAUGCAAUAGAACAAUCUUAUAAAUUUUUCCAAAUACCUACACUGUGACACUGUGACAACUCACUUUGCUUUGCCUAAAGAAUAUACCUUAAGUGUCUGAUAUAUAUAUAUAUAUAUAUAUAUAUAUAUAUAUAUAUAUAUAUAUAUAUAUAUAUAUAUAUAUAUAUAUAUAUAUAUAUAUAUAUAUAUAUAUAUAUAUAUAUAUAUAUAUAUAUAUAUAUAUAUAUAUAUAUAUAUAUAGAGAAAGAUAUAUAUAUUGAUAUAUAGAUCGAUAUAUAUAUAUAUAUAUAUAUACAUAGACAAAAAAAUACAUAUAUAAAAAGAGAGAGAGAUGGGUGUGCAUGUAUAUAUACACACUCACAAUCAAAGAUAUAUUUUAUUUAACAUUUUUUUUUGAGACCCCUCCCCCCAUGAGAGAGAGACAGUGUGUGAGUUUUUAUUUGUAUGGAGAAACAUAGAGACACACAUAUCUCUAUACAAAUAUNNNNNNNNNNNNNNNNNNNNNNNNNNNNNNNNNNNNNNNNNNNNNNNNNNNNNNNNNNNNNNNNNNNNNNNNNNNNNNNNNNNNNNNNNNNNNNNNNNNNAAUGAACUCAUAAUGGAAGUUUUUAAUUCCUUGUAGUUUCGUCCUGGCAGGCUUGCACCACUACAAGAGCAGCAGUGCGUGGAGAAGUUUUGGGACCAGGAAUGAUUUAAACACAACGCUAUAUUUACAAAUUUACAUCACACAAGAGAAACCGAGACCAACUGUAGACUGGCUCUCAUCGGCGGACGUUUACAUGGUCCUACCAUCUGUGGGCCUGCUUUAAGUUGCUAAAGAAUGGCAAUUACGUUUCGAGGGGAAAUUUACAUCAUGUGGAACACUGGAGUCUUGGUGAAAAACUCGGUGAUCACCAAGGCGAGGAAGCCAAGCAUCGCGGUUCGCCCAUUCCAGCGCUCCGCCAUGGCUCUAAAUGGCCCAAUUGAUCUGCUGUCCGGGCUCUCGCCCUUAAACAUGGGCACCAGCGACGCGUACGCGAAUAGCUGUGCCACCGCCAGGAAAUGGAAAAGACCAGUGCUCCCCGGCGAGUAGAGUUGCUCCGCCACCGUUUGUCCCGUCAUUCGCUCCACCGCGAAUGCCCACACCAAUCCAAUCAUUGCCUGCUUGUCAAGUUCACGAAGUUACUUGCCAAGAUCUAGAAGAACAACCAACAAUCGCUUACCAGUCUUCCGUUGAUCGUUUCCGGGCCGGCUCCAUCGAACGCCAUCAAGCUGGGGAACGAUCGAUCGCCAGUCUCUGGUCGCCUCUCGACCUCUGGCCUGGGAUAGAGCGAUCCGGACGAUGGCACCGCGCCAAACACUGAGCGCUUCUCCGACUCGUUCUCGGCCUGGUUCUUGAGAACUUCCUCGCGGGUGAUCUCCUUCUUGGUGUCGUCGAGGAUGCCACUGAUGCCGCCAUCGCCACCAUCCCUGGAUUUGUUCGAGGACGCUCUCACUACUAGAUUUCGCGAGCUGGAGCUCGUGGGCAAUUGGGAUUGGAGGUGGAGCUUGUUGGAGAUGAGAGAGGAAGAAGAGAGAGUUGCGAUGCUGCUGCCUGAGACGAGUGCCAUUGUUUUUGAGCUGCGAGCUAGCUAGGAAAAAAUAAACUGUGCAAAUGAACUACUUUCUUUACAUUUGAGAUGGCAGAUAUUUAUACUGUAUAAGGCCCGUACGUGGCAAAAACUAGUUCCCGGCUCGGCUCGUGUCCACUGUAUGUGUCGCAUGCCUUGUGCGGUGAAAAAGGCCGAAGGUAAAAAUUCUCCUCGAGAAAAUGCAAGGUGUAUAUUACUUUAGAACUUUCGUUUCGUUUUGCAAUCGAAUUCGUACACGGGGAUGCUCUUUUGUCUAAAACAUUAACUUAAUCUAAUCGCGUUAAGUCUUGAUACUCUCGCAAAAAAUUGGCAAAUCUCAUGGCGUAUCAAACUUGACUGUAUCUCUUGAAUCAUGAUAAGAAAAGAGGGAAAUGAAGAACCCACCUGCAUGCAAGAUGUUGGAGAACCCGUGAGCCACUGUGACAACAGUGCUGCCUUUAAAAAAUUUGCUUGUCAUGAGAUGGAUCUGUCCAUCAGGUGGAGCUGCCACUUGAUUAUCAAAAUGAUACUUAUCAAGUUUUACGAACAGGAAAGAAAGCUGAAGGAAGGCUUUGACAUCAUUUGGAAAACCGAUCCAAGGCGCUUCAACCUAUGUGUCGCCUCAUAUCAACACUAUCCCCUAAGCCAUACAGAAAGUUUUACUUUUGUUUGCUGGAACUUUGUUGAAUCACUGGUUUGGAGAAACUAGGUGUGAAAUUAUGGCAUGCAAUCCCUUGAUAAUUCAAAGAUGUUCUUUAAUUUUUUUUCCCAAAAGAACAAAUCAAAAUCUCCAACAUAAUUCUGAUGGCACUUUCUUUGCCUACUGGGCUUAAGAUGGUCCAUUUCUUAUCGUCCCUGAAAUUUUCGCUCAAAUUAAGAGUUGAUGCUGUUCUGGGAUACCUGAGCUUCUAAUGUCAUGGGACUGUACUUCGAAGAUAACUGUGGAACAUGGAAGAUUUAGAGCUAGAUUCUCCGUCGUAGUACGGUCGAAGCUUGCCACAAUCCUAUUUAUUGUUACUGAAGGAAAACACUUAUCUGUCAGACUAAAUUCCUCGCUAGCAACUUGCUAGAUAUUUGGUGUUGUUUCAAGUGUUCUUUGGCUGUGGCCUUUUCCCUUUAAAGCUUGUAGAGUUGAAAAUCUGAUACAAUAGAGGCAUCUUGGCUACAGAUCAAGAGCUCAACUGCCCGGGUCUACUCGAUCCCAACCAAGUCACCGUCGUUACUUGUGAUCCGGGAAAGUCUUUUCUUUUCGUAGGGUCACCGAACAUGGAUGAACACUGCCUGUCUCUUGAACCCGAGGAAGAGCUGCUCGUUGUCGGCCCCAAGGGCACCCGGAAAAGCUGCCUGUUAAGGGCAAUGGCUGCGGCGCUCUACAGGGGUGGUCCAGAGAAGAGUGUGAUCGUUUGUGUGUGGAACAUGGAGAGGGCCAGAUCGCCGGCUGAAAUGGCUACUUGAUGGGCUACUCUUUGCAUACUCGGGUGAAGCCGGUUCUUGAAACGCUUUGGAAAAUGGAAGAAGAGAGGAUCCAUAGUGUGAGGAGGAGUCUACAAAUGUUUCUCAAGGAGAGGGCAGCCGCUUGUCUCCUGAAGCGCAGCAAGCUGUGGCUGCCGCCAAGAGUCAUUCGGAGGGAGUAGUGCUCUAUCGUGUCAGGGGUUUUACCGAGGUUUAUGGUGUUCGUAUCUCUACUUAUCGUUCUCGUCAACUAAUCCUAGUCUUUACAGGAACAAAGAAAAGUCCUUCCUCACUCCGUACUGGGAGCCGUUGUAAGUGAAGAUCCACAGCGGACCAAGGACAUGGAUUUUUACGCUGGUUUCCAUCCUCUGUUUCUGGAUCAGCUGGACAAGGCUUGCAUGGAGAUAGCUCGGAUCAAGAAGGCAGGCGGACACAAAUCAGGGGCGACGGCUGGACAGUUAAGCCAGUAGCUGAGUUGGAGCCACAAGAAGUCUCUAUACUUUUGGAAGACGAGGCCGAUUGGAAUAAGGUGCUCUUACGCUUUAUUAAUGGUACAAUGUCCAGCAUCCAGAAAUCAGUGCAAGAGGUUGUUGAUAGGGUGGAGAAGGAUAUAACUUGCAACUUCCACCUGCCAGUGGAAAUGAUCAAACAGGAUCCCAGGUACUUACUGUUAGAUAACGAGUUCUGCUCACCUUUUGUGGAGCAGAUCUACGUAGAGGAGUUUUAAAAGGCCCAAGAGGAGCAUGGACCAUGGGUGGGAUUGGCAUUGGUAAGGCCUAUAAUCGGUUGGUUGGUGUGUGUAUGGUUAUGUAAGUAAUUGUGCGAUGAUGAAUAUCUAAACAUAGCAUACAAAUUUCAAACAACUUUACAAUUACCAUGAAAGGUAUAUAUACAUUCCGAUCUAGUUCAACUAUAGCUGGGUAGACGCUGUGUUCAUCUACGGAUGGCAGACUUCACUUGAUUGGGGUGCAAUUCACUGAAAAUGUCGACAAGCACAAGCAUUCUGAAGAGCAGUUUAUGGCCUUCAACGCCCUUAAGGAGUGGGUGCUGGAUGUAGUAGCUCUUGUGCAGCCACAGGCACAAGCAGCCACUGCCGCCGCCGCAGUUAUUCUUGGACUUUGUGUUUGUGUGUUGUACAUCGAGCUACUUCAACACCUCGGAGGGGAGUUACUUCCUGGUGGGACGCUGAAUCACACAUUCCAUGUUAUCAGUUUUGACUAUGUAAUGCUUGGUAGAGCAAAUGACGAGGUAAUCCAGAUUCUCAAGACUAUGACUCAGCGUCAUGAAGAAGUCAGGAAAAGUGAUCAAGUAGAGGUUGUGCGCCUUAAGAGAUUUAGACCUGAGCUAAAAAAAAAGAAAAAACAAAAAAGGAAAAAAGACGUGAAAACACUCUCUUUAUAUAUCCGACUUUCUUGUUCUGGAAUCCUCUACAUUAAUUUAAUCAUCCCAAUCUCUCCUUCUUCCGUUUGAAGGAAUGAACAUCAAGCUUAUAUGCAUUGGAACAUGUAAAAUCUCGCCGUUGCCGGGGAUCGACCGCGUGACAGGCGGAAAUACUCACCACUAUACUACAACGACAUUUACUCUAAAUUUCUUCUAGCAAGACUAGAAAACAUGACCAUUGACUGAAAGGGAGAUUUACAGUGCUGCUAGAGUGGUUCGAGUUGGCUGAGCUUUACCUCUUCAACAAAGAGUUACAGUCCAUUGUGGAGCCUAGCUAGGUGUGGUUUUAUAGUCCGAGCUUGUAAGACUUCGGUGGAGGAACGAGGCAGAGGGCAUUGUCUCCAAGCGCUCAUCUGGACGGCGCCGCAGCUGCUGUUCUCAUCGUCGACAAGAGAUCCGAUGUAUAGAGGAAAAUAAAGCCUCGCCGAGGACGAGCUUGAUGAAUCGGAGCGAGUAGAGCCUCCAGCAAGAAUCGGAGAUGGCAAUCGAUUCUAAAGACGGGGAAGUAACUGGAAUUCUAGCUCACGAUUUGCAUUUUCUUCUCUGGAGACCAAGCGGCUGGAUGCCUGGAUUUCCUCGCUCAAUGAUCCAGCCCUCGCAGAUCUCCUCCAGCAAGAGGCACCGAUCAGCGGGGACAGCCCCCCGAAACCCAAUGCUUGGAUUCUAAUUAGAUACUAUAAACUAUAAGGCUCUAGAGAGCCACCACUCGCUUAAAAACAGAGUCUUACCAAGUUUAACCUCGACUUCCUUCUGAAGUUGAAGUGCUGAUCGCAUACAAGCACCUGGAUAUGGGCUGCUAUAGUCAGUACGACUCAUGCUCUCUGAUCCCAUAACGUACCUAGAAAUGAGGUUGCUAUAGUCAUUGCGACUCAUGCUCUCUUUUGUCGUCUUGGUUGUGAUUCUGGUUCGAACCGUCCGCCUUGCCUGAAAGCACAUAAAAUGGCAGGUAUAAGAGAAGAAACAAAAAAGAAGGGUAUACCUGUACCACAAAUGGACUACCUUGUCAGGAUCAUACGCAGAAGAUAUCAGCGAUGCUGUAUCGUCGUUUUCACACGAUUAAGCCUGAUUGGAAAUGGUGAAGAGAAACCCUCAGCUUCAUAGCAUAGGAAUAUGAAAUCCGGAACUGAGCUGAUUGCAAGCUUCCUGAUCUCCACGACAACAGCAUGAACUGCCGCUCACCUGAACAGCGAGCGCCGCCGAGCUCAUCUUGACGGACUGGAUGCCUGGCAUGGCCUGGAAAUGGUUCGUGUUUGUUCCCAGACUUGCCGAUGAUCAGUUCCACCAGCUCGGAAUAGUGACAGUCUAACUUGAACCGAUUGUAGAGCUGAACGAAUGGUGAUUGUCUUAUAAUUUUUUCUGAUGAAGAUCUGCUCUAUCAGGAGAAAAGCAUCUGGAAGGAUACCUUUGCCCGGAAGAGAUGAGAAUGGCCACCUGGGGUAAUUUCUGCCGCUUAAGACAUCCAGGGCCAGCAUUCUUGAGCAUCCUCAACUAAUAUUGCAAAUCGUCUCGUGGUGGCGUGGUCUGAGGAAAAUGCUCAUAAAAACAUCCCUUUGCAUUUCCAAGACAACAUACCGAGAUACAAAAUGCCUUCUCGAAGCAAAUGCCAUCCUGGCACACUCCAUUAAGAUCCCCUCUUGCCACCCUUUGUGAAGAUUUGAACUAAUCUCAACUACAGGCUUUAACAAUUCAAAAGAUCACAGCCGCAAUUGCACGAGCUGUCCAUCAAAACUUAGCUGGACAUCAAGGCCCUCGGAAUGUUUCAAGUCGGCUAAUUGUUUAUUUACCUUGUCGUGAUCCAUCGUGUGCAUCAUCCCUGAAACCAAAGCUAAGCUCUCAAAACCAAGAUAGAAAAAGACGAGUACCUGUAAAGAGCGUGCGCUUGGGAUGUACUCUUUUCACAGCAUCUAAAGCCUGAAAACAGAGGAGAAGAAUGUCUCUCUUGCGAAUUUACAAGAACAAAUCCAAACCUGGUCAAGAGAAAAAUGUGUCGUACUGGGACGAUCGGGUCUCAGUGCAUCCUGCAUGACAUGAUCGUGAGAAACACUACUAACAACGUCGAUCUAGAGGAAGAACGCGAACUUACGACAACCAACAAAUCGCAGUUUUGUAGAAGUGCAUAUGUUUCCUCUGGAAUCUCGCUCACAUCGCUGCAAGUGGACACGCAAGCAACAAGGACCCUGUCCGACUGUAAAUUUGCUGUUUACCUGAUAUAACACAUGUCUGCUAUUCGAAAUCCUAGAGAACGAUAUCCAGGGCCGUGCCAAACCGGCAGUGGUGUAACCUGAGCAGUCCAGCAAUCAUCAAACUAAAGAAACAGAGGAUAACAUAUUCCAGACCUUCACGUCCUCGACAAAGAAUGGCUGUUCAUCAAUCACUUUGAAUUGAAGCUUGGAAACUUGCGUUCCCUCCGUGAUCACGGUCGGAUCAAGCAAAUAGUAGUGAGUUUUUCCCAUGACCUGCAAAGAACGAAUUCGGUCGAGCUUUCACUCGUCUGCGUAAAGAGCUCACAACACCUCCAAAUCUCUUUGGGCGACAUAUAUUGGAAUCGAGUCUUGUAUGUUGUUCGUCCAGUCGCGAAGGUCAUCCAAGCCUGAAAAAACACUUGCACAAUUGAAAAAGAGUGCCAGAAACUUUACAAACUUACCGCCAAUAGCAUCCGCAUGAGAAUGGGUAAUAAUAACAGCGUCAAGGUGCCUUAAUCUGUCAGGAAGAUCUCGAGAAAUGAGAUAGAGAGGGAGGAAAAACAAAAACCAUGUCUCACCCGUAGUAUGGAAACCAUUGAAGCGCACUGUGGUAGAAGAACCUACAUAGGAACACGAAAAAUUCAGUCUCGGGACCAGCGCAAGUUAGCAAUGUCAGUCAUCCAAUGCAACACCAGAACAGAAAAGUGGUGGAACAAUACAGUACUCACAGAUGAUAGUUUUUAGAUUUCGCCGUACUUGCCAGCAUCAACGAGUAUGUUCAUCCUGGUUCCAUCGCGCCUUGGGUAGCGUACGAUAAUGCUUGUGUUCCGCCUCCUGUUCUUAUUGCCGACCUGCAAGGCAGCGAAGCAGACCUGUACAAGAUCGGAUCAUCGUGAGCGACAACAAGAACUGCAAAAGAUGAUACUCGAUAACUUACAGGACAUCUCUUAUAGCGAUUUGUAAGACAGCUAACUCUUGGAACACCUUCGCUAGUCCCUGUUCCCAGGAAGAUCACAUCAAAGAAGCGCUGCUGAGAAGGCAGCCCAGAGAGAUCGUUCACUCCAGCCACAUUUCUAUCCUGAAAACGAAGUGACAAACCAGUAAAACUUAACGAAUGUUCACGGAAAAAAAUGUAGUCUACCUAUAAGAGAUGUGAGAAAUACCUGGAUUGCAGCGGCGCAAAGGCGCCUAUCGAGGCGCGGCCACCAAGACGAAGCUAGGCGAGCGGCAGACCAGAGCGCGCCCAAUCGAACGAGGCGAUCGCGAGGAUUUGCAAGCACAAUGUUGUGCGGCAUCGGCGCCACACACGCCAUUCCCCGCCGCGAUUAAAACCCCUCCCUCAUCGAGCACACAUUCUCAACACAAAAUAGGGUUCUUACAAGGCGAGAACAUUCCAUCAGUAAAUGUCGCAUAUUCUGGUAGAGUUCCACCAAAAGCUUAUAGAGAAGCUUGGCGACCCCUGCACCCCCUCAUAGAGCAAAGCUUCGUUUUUGGAAUUUCUAUCGACCAAAACUCGAGCCUCAGCUUCUCAUCGCGCCCUUGCCUCCCAUCGCGCCCUUGCCUCCGCUUGAGAUCCGCUGCAAACCAUUCCGAGAAAUCUUAGAUGAUCACUCGCUGGGCAUUUUCUUACCUGGAGCGAGAAGACCUCUGCCAAGCCACGGAGAUCCUCACUCUUUCAGAGUCACCACACUGUAGAUCUUAUUGGAGUGAAGAAGCGCCACCACCUUCUUCUUGUUCCCCACGAAAACUUGAUCCACCACUCUUUCUAUGCUCAAACUUCGUAUCGAGCACACAUUCUUUCAUUAGGAAGAUCGCCACCAAAAGCUUACGGAGAAGCUUGGGCUGAGGGACUUGACGUAAUGCCACCACUUCGGUGGAAUGUAAAGCAUCUGGCCUUCUCCAAGAACACAGUCGACAAAAGCUAGCUUCUCCGCCAGAGGAAAGCGCUCAUAGUCUGGUUUGUCAAGAUCGAGCUGGAAAGGACAAGAGAGAAUUUUCAGCACUGAUGGAAGACCUGACAAACUCAAACCUGGCUAGAGUUUUGCAGCAUUGGAUCGCUGAAGGGGUGCAAAGAGUCCGAGAGCUCUGGAGAGUAAAGCCUCACGUACUUGGUACCGACGACUUGGGCGAGCAAGUUGUGGUGGGGGUCGUGGUGUAAAGGUGUGACGGUACCGCUGGGACCAAACCAGGCAUUGAUCGAGUGAAGCUCUCCAUCGCCACAAGCACAGUAAUCUGGAGUCACUAUGUCGCGCUGUAGCUCGGGAAUCUGGCAGCCUAAUCCUAUCAACGGUUUGAACCAACUUAAGACGGAACAAGGAACUCAAAACCACACCUGAUCGAACAGCGGAUGCUGAGCGAGAUAUGCUCUUGAAGUAGAGUCUCCAGGAUCGUGGAUUCGAUCUAGGAAGCGAGACAUAGUCAUGAGCUCUUGCUUCCAGCCUUCCGCCAAGUAUGUCUCGCCUACCUGAUUGAAAGUUUCGCUCAAGACGAGGAAAGUGAAAGGAUGCAACGGUGUUACCUCUACUGGAACUGUCCGGUUUCCAGCGAUCUUGUGAAAGUAGCUCAAGUCUUUCCAUUUCUCCAUCGCAGGCCAAUGCGCCAUUGUGUCUGUCAAGAUUGCAGGAACACCCGGUGCAAAGAGCUCUUGCAGAAACUUUUGGAUCGAUGGAAAUGCCAUAGUUCGCAUUGGUGGUCCUUGCAGCGAUCCCGGCGGCAAGCUUUCAGCCUAAAAAAUAUCAAAGGAUGAGCAUCAUACACGAAAGGACAAAAAGAAGUACUAGAGGCUACCUGGACUGUGAGCUGAUCGUCUCCACGAACAGCAGAGGGUGGUUCCGAAGCUUGCGAAAGCGAAGAGAUCGCUGCAUUGAGCCGGGGGCGAAAAGCCAAGCCUCCCAUCAUCAAUCCCAUAUCCAAAACUCUGGUGGCCUCAGCGUGAUCGCCCUUUCUGCGCAGCUCCUCCGCCCAGUACACGCAAGCCAACGCAUACCCGUCCCGCCAAGCACAAUCGACCUGGUGCCAAUCCCCCAAAUGGAGCUGCUCCCACGCCAGAUCGUGCGCCUCCUCUGCCAUGGAAGGAUCGCUACGGCAUUUCCUCAUCAGCUGGCAGAACGCAAAUCCACCCUGGCGCCAGACGCUCGCCAAGACACUCUCCUCAAGCGCAUCCAUCCUGCCCUAGCUCUUACUGAAGAGCCCUAAAAUCUAUCCAUAGGGCGGGCUUCUUAGAUUUAAAAACUCGCUAUACUUCGUCGAAAAACCACCGAUUUCUAGCUGGAUUUUUGCUGCGGCUUUUGCAAGUCAUGCACCACACACAAAUCUGCCGCGCUUUUCAUCUGGAAAACCACUACCCAAGUGAGAACUAAGCAAAGGAGCAAGAAGAACUUCACCUGGACGAGAUUUACUAUCUGCUUGAUCACGCAGCCGGGAAAUGCAAAUAGUCCCACGUAGAACAACACUGAUUUCUCGGCAGCAGCCGUGAGCACCACCUAGAUUGAAACAAGAAAAUCAAACAUGGAAUGCGAGAGAGUUUGAGACAUACCUCUGUGAGAUCCUUGGAGCCAUCUCCCAAGAGAUACAAGACGAGGUAUAGAACCUCUGCGCCGAUAGCGCAGUAGCCCAUCACAGCUCGGUACUGAUAGUAGAGUCGAAGAAGAAGGCUCUUGCUAUCGUUCACGUCCUUGUGGCUGGUUUUGUUGGAGAGAAACGUACUACGAAAGAAAAAAUGAAAGAAGUUUAGCCGCAUUUGUAUUUUCAAUCGUUUUGUGAAGAACAAACCUGUACAUCUGGAGCCAGUGGCUGGAGAUGUCGAGGGCGAGAAGCCCCACAAACAGGAGAUAUGCGUUCCUGGUAUGGAAAACUAUCAGAAGAAAAAUCCCUCAAACCAAGCGAAAAACUGAGAAAUCUUACGAGAAGAGAUGCGAAAGGAUGACGAGAAGUGCUGCAGUGCUGACCCUGUUGACGAGAACAAAGAAGGAACAGCGAUUAUAGCUUGAUUGAAUCAAAUUCUCGGCACUACCUAUCCGUGACCAUGUCGAGAACAGCUCCAAAUGUCGACCCUGUAGAGCAAAGCUUUGUUUUACACAAGAAGGCCAAAAAAAAAAAAAAAAAAAAAAAAAACAAACAACAAGGCGCUCACUUUGAUUCAGCAAUUGGGCAAAGCGUCCAUCGAAAUAAUCGCAAACGAAACUGCGGGCGGGUUUGAGAAAAAUGUAUGGCGGCAUUGUUGUGAAACUCACCUAAAGAAGUAGAGCGCCACGAAAAGAGCCUUGUGGCUAAAGCAUAUCGCAAAAGCCGUGAUGUUUAUGAGGAUUCUCGCGUACCCUGCCACAAAAUAAAACGUAGAGAUUGAGGCGAUCAAGCGAAUCGUGCAUACCAAUGAGAUUGGGAACGUAGAGAUAGAUCGGCCAGGGCCUCGAUGUAGCUGAAGCAGCCAUACCUAAACCCUAGCUAACUAUUGGUUUCUUGAGAAGCAAGGAUCCAAAAAGUCGGGAGCACUCCAUAUGAAUUUUGUGUGUUUGUUUGAUGCCUUCUUCCUUACAAUAAGUCAAGAACAUUGGGAUCACUCCCAGAGCGAGGUAUCCUCCGCAUUUACUACAAGGAGAUGAUAGAAUUGUUAAGUCAGGCACAACUAAGAGGCAUCCAAUGUUGAAUGCUUACAACAUCUGAAUUUUAUUAUAGACAAACAAAAUAACAAUCAAGAAACCUUUGUAGAUCUUUGGCUGUCAAAUAUAAGUAUUAUAAUCUAUAUGUAAAUCUUGAGUAUGAAAUAUUAAAAACAAAACGUUAUUUUGUCAUAAUUAAUUUAUGGUACUCAUUAUAAUAAAAAUUAAAUUAUUUAGCUAAAUUUAAAAAUAUUAAAAUAUUUAAAAUAUUGGUUUGAUCACUUUACAGUGAUUACCAUAUAUCAUUUUUGGGAUGAUGCUUGGCAUUUGCAUAAAUUUCCUAUAUGUCUCCAAGGAAUGGCAUUGCAAUGAUAUAAUAGUUUGAAUGCACUCACUCAUGAGAAUUAGAGCAUUCUUCUAAACAUUUUUAAACAUGUAUUUAAACAUGUUGACAAUUAUGAUGAUGCUUUUUAACAAUUGCAUCAUUUUUCUCAAUGGCCAUUUAAGUUGAUGAUGCAAUUUGGCGUUUAUUUCUAAAGUUUUUUGCUUUGUGCGGAGCCAAAUAUGUUAAAGCAAAUCAAGUUGGGAAUGUUGUAGUUAACACUUCGUCAUAUAUAAUAAUGUCUUUAUAUAAUUUUGAAGUCUCAUUUUCAAGACUGACAAUCUAAACUUUCAAAAACCUUUAAAUUUUUUCUUAAUAUAAAUAUUGACAAGAGAUGCUUUCAACAUUAAAAAUUUAGUUUGUUUAGAGUGUAAGAAUGGCUAAAGAAACUAUUAUUGCUAUUUGCAUUUGGCCCCUAUAUAUUUUAUAUAAGUCUCCACCUCCAUUUCCAAUGUCUACCAACAUUCCACCCUUCUUUCUAUAUAAUAAUUGUUGUGAGGUUCUUUCUUUUGUAGUCCCAAGUAUGACUGAAUAAAAUAUCCCUUUUCUAAAUAAUGUUUUAGAUAUUGCUACUAAAGAUGGAUUGACUCAUGUGUUUCAAGAGUGAUGCUAAAUGUUUCUUCAAGAUUUUGUGAAACUUUUGAAAGAAUGAAUAUAAAUUAUCUUUAAUGUCCUAUAUAGUACUUUUAUUUGGAUAAAACAAAAGGCUACAUGGGUUUAAAAACUUUUCUAGAACAUUGUCACAAUUACCCAAAAACUGGUGUGGAAGGUGUGCAUAAAUGGAUGUAUAAGAAAAUUCAAAAAGAGCUAAGAACUCAUAACCAUUAUCGCUUUAUAGUGAGGAACAAUAUUUCAUUAAUAAAUAUUACAUCCAUAAAUACUAAAUAUGGUACUUUUAAGCCACCCUACUGAAGUUCUAGCUAUUAAUAAUUCUCACACUAUAAUAUUAUCUAUCCCUCCUUCUAUAUAAGUAAUAAAUUCAUAAUAUUAGUAAUUAUGAAAUUUGAUAGAUUGACACUGUAACUAUCUCUAAUACUGACACUGUCACUAUCACUAUCUUUGACACUAACACUGACAUUGUCAUUGUCACUAUCAUUAUCACAUUGACAUGUGACAUUCUUUUCUUAUUACAAGUGGAUGCAUUCAACUAUCUUUUAAUGUAUCAUCAAUAAAUAGAUUUUUUAUACAAUUCCUUCUCAAUUUAGGGGAAGAGUUAUAUUGCAUAUGUUGUGCCAUGCAUACCUAAGAAGACUUCUAGAAAACUAGAUAUAUAUUGCAUAUAAGUUUUUAAAACAUCAUAAAUUACCUCCUAGAAGCAACUGAUAGAGAAGGAUGAAAACCUCUAAAGACGGCAUUUAAAGAACUCAUAUUCUUCAAUUGCAAACACUGAUCUACUAAAGUCAUAUGCUACCUUGACCAUUGAACCACUACCUACUUUGUAAUCAAUGACAACACCUUUAGUUGGGCAAUAAAGCUCAAAUAAGACAUGCAUCAUUGAUGGAGAUUAGAACCGAUACCCAGAUAAUGUGUUGCGAAUGUCAUUAUUUAUGAGAUUUGGUAUGAUGUCAAUAGAGCUAUCAUGCCCUGGCAAAACCUGUAUAACACAUUCGCUAUCACAAAAACCUUCAUUUCCUCUUUUUCAGAAUAUAUGGUAAAUCCAUAUCAUAACCUAAAUAAUUAAACUUUAGAGACAACCCAAAAUACAAGAUGAUUUUUUACCUUUUCUAGCAUCACUAGGAUGCAUUUAGUCUCAACCCCAACACUAUCCAUGAUGCACUUGGAAGAGAACCUCUUGAAGUUGACUCAAGUUGCAUAUCUCAUGAGUAGGAUAACUAAUAGGGGUCAUUCGGGAGAAUGAAGGUAAUUUGACUAGUUGUGUGAAGGAGAAUUGCUAUUAGAAGCAUUCUUCAAGUGGUCUUCAGUUAGGAUGUUCCAGCUUGGGACAUCACCAUCAGCGUUUAGAAGACCAUCUGGCAUGUCAAAGAGCAUGAAAUUUAUACUCUUGAGCAGUUGCCUAUGGAUCUUCUAACAAAAGCGCUCCCACUUUUGCUGGAUAGCCAUAUUCUCAACAUCCUCCUUGAAAGAUGCCAUUAAUGAACUGUAGGAGCCAAUAAAGAUCCCAAAUUCACUAUGGAAUGCCAUUGAAGAAACAAGAUAAAUCUAGGGCGAGAAGACAAAGAUAAGAUGUGAAAUUAAGAAAAAUUUACAUACUGUCAUGUGGCAUGUGGUAAAUAUAAAUUGCUCUAGGUCCUCUUCUUAGGCAUCAAGACGAGCUAGAAUGAAGUUGCUCCCAAUAAUUUUUGCUACAACUAUUUUGAGGAAUUAGUCAUCUUUACUCUCUUUACUAUUGGCACCGAUAAUGUUGACAUUCUCAUGGCCAUCAUUUUCGUCAUUUGGCACAUCUUCAUUGUUGCCUCUUGCAACCUCUUGAUGGGUUGGCAUAUAAUCUAGCAUCUCCAAUUCCCAAGGACAAGCUUGCUUUAUCACUACUGGAAACUUCAUUGUUGUCAAUUACAUGUCUCCAUCUCUCACGCCAUGCAUCAAGGGUCAAUUACAUACUGGUGUUUCAAAAGGAAUACCUCUAUAUCAAAGAUACCUACAAUAGAAUAUAAACAAAUUGAGUAUAGUUGAGAAAUUAUAUGUUACCUGAAAGCUACUCACCGCAUGAAGUAAGGUUGGCCAAGCUAUUUAUCAAAUGGAGUUGUGCUUAUGGCCUUCUUUAGCAGCUAGUCAUCUUUGAGUUUUGUAAACUUAGUGGUGACAAAGUCUUUGAAUGGAAGUUGCUCAGGAUCAUCCCCUAUAAAAUACGCUAGAAACAUAUCUCCUUUAUAUAUAAUUUGUGAAAUAUAGAUGGUCCUCCUCCUCAUAAUCUCCAUCAUAUUGUCUAAACCUUUUUCUCCUUCCCUGAGUCUGGUAUUAAGGUCAUUUAGAAUGUGUAUCUGCUCCUCAUAUGUAAGCUUUGACUUUGAGAUGUUGUAAAUAAUUUCAUCUAGAGUCUUGUCCGCUAAGAAACAACAUUUAUGAGUAACCUUCAAGUAAACAUAGAUAAUACUUACUUUUAUGAUAAAUAAUCUCUGUUAUGAUGUCAAACCACUUCUUUGGGAGUCGAGGGUCGGCCACACUGAAUAAUUUCUUUGUGAUGUUGAUUUUCUUGUCAAUUGUGGCUAAAUGCUCUGAGAGUUCUUGAUCAUUUUUAGCUCGAUGCAAUUGUGCAUAUGCAUCUUGCUUAACUUUCACCAAUAACUGAAGACAACACAAACAUUCAGUGAUAAAAUGUAUAUUGAGAAGAACAUACUAUAAACUCUUGAAUUUGGUCUUCCCAAGAGGUCACUCAGCCCAGUACUAUUCAAACCAAGAUGCUUAACCCCAAGUAUCCCAGAAACCUUAACCGAUUGGAAAUGGGGGUGCACUCUUAUUCAUGGGCCCUUUCCUUCUAUAUUUGAACCUCUAUGGAUCAUCUUUUAAAUUAUUCUCUUUAAUUGCUUACACAUACCUUACUCCACUUGUACCAUUUAUUAGCAUCUUGAUGAUCUCGUUGAUGCUGAAUAAGUGAUGCUAAAUUGUCACUAUAGUGGCUAUAGAUUGCAUCCUCAUUGAGAUUGGCAAGAAAUUGAAUUUGCUUGAUAUCAUGCACUAGGCUUUUCUUCUGCAUUGCAAACUGUCUUAUCUUGCAAAACACAAAUUGUUAAAAGUGAUUGAAGAGGGAGAGGUAUUUAUACAUUAAUUUUGUGGUAAGCUAUCACAAGCCUUGCCAUAUCUAGAGAUCCUCUCGUGUGUACAUGUCCAAUCAAAACAUUGAUGUGAUAGACAAGAUUAUCUUAGAACCAUUCAUUGAUGCAUUUCAUCCAUACACACUAGUGAUGAUUCCCAUCAAUAAUGUAGAAUAUUUUCCCCAUAAAUUGUUGAGUCUCAGGAUGGCUCAUAAGCAUCUUGUCAAAUUUGCAGGACUUAAUUUUCCAAAUGUCAUCUCAAACCCUCUUGAUUUUCAAAUACACUAAGAGGGUAUUUGUCGUUCUUGGCUUGAACACCAAAACAAGGAACAUACUUAUGUUUGUUUCAAGGCUAUUCUGUUUAGAUAGACUAUAGAUGUCUAUAUUGACGAAGUGAGGUGAAGUAUACCAAAUAAUACUUGUCUGAGUCAAUCGACAUAGUGGGAUCUCUCAGAUCAUGUCUUUUGGGCCUUCCCACUUGAGAGACUCUAGAGUCGUGUGAAUGGCCUUCUCUUUGGUUCUUAAAACCAUCUUCUGAAAGUGUUUGUCCAUGAUAUGUUUAGGUAGCUGCACUUCUCUUUCAACUUCAACUACACCUUCAAUAGCACCAUUAUCAAAUCUAGCCCCCAACUCAAGCCCAACACCCCCGUCAGGUGCACCUGGGCACUACUCCAUAAUGUAGCUAGUUUCUACCAUAUUUUACAAAUAUGUUAAGAGUAGUGGCAUUUGAGGUGGUGGCGGCAGCACUAGUGGCAACAAUGGUGGUGAUGACAAUGGUUGCAAAGGCAUUGUUGGUGGUGAUGACAGUGGUGGCAGUGGUGGUAAUGGUGGUGAUGAAGGUGGUCAUGGCAAUGGCAGUGAAGGUGGUAGUGGCAGUAAUGGUGGUGAUGGCAAAAAUGGGGGUGGAUGUGGAUUGGAGUUAUUUGGUUGCAGAGCUCGCAAUGUAGAUGGCAGAGUUGUCGUUGUAGAAAUCUCUAUAUGAAGGUCAAAUUAGUUGUCGUCCUAGAUCUCAUUUUCCUCAUCUCUUGCUCUCUUUGAUCCAAUAUCCUUAUCCUUUUGUAGUUGUUUUCAUUUCUGAAAACAAGAAAAACUCAUUAUAAAGGAAAAAAAAAGAAAAAUGCAUAAGAAGUGAUUGCGUAGUGGUCGUCCACUGGUAUGCUAGCAUACCAGCUGUGGGAGGCAACACCCAAGCCCACUUGACACCCGGGCUCACUCAGCCCGCAGCCCAAUCGAGUGCCCGGGCUAGGCCACAUGGGCCAAUUUGCCGGCGUACCAGCUUGGCCCACACCCGCACUUCACCGCAUGCUUAGGCCAUGUGAGCUAGUUCACCAGCAUAUUGUACCAGCCCACAUGGCCUGGCCCACAUGGCUGAGCCUAAGCACUCAGCUAGGCACUUAGCACAGGCCAGGCCACACAGGCUCGUUCCCUGGCAUAUCAGCCUAGCCCACACGGUGCCCCACUGAGUGCCUAGGCUGGGCUGCAUGGGCUAGUACAGUACACCAGCGAACUGGCCCGUGUGGUCUAGGCCGGGGCCUGUAGCGCACCUGAAUUUGGAGCCGAACUCCAAGCCCAUUGUGCUACAAAAUGAGGGUCCGGUACAAUCCCAUGAGCACCAGCUCCCCGUAUUCAGCACCUGCACGCAAAAUGGUGUCAGACGGAGUCUGGCACAAUUUUGGCAUACCGGUGGCCUAACGCAAGGAGGAGGGUGCUUCACCGACUAGAGCAGCGUGGAGCUUGGGCUUAGACCCAAGCUGGAUGCAGAACAAGGAGCAACACAGCCCAGCGGGAGCUAAACUAAUGUCUCAGGUGGUCGGACAUGCAUUCCAACCACUAUCCCUACUAUACAUUUGGAACUCCCCAUAGCCUCCCCCCCUUGAGGGACACACGCUUUGGGCUUUCACCCCAAGCCUCCCUUAGUACCAGGAGUUAGUCUCUGGGACAAGUUCGAAACUUGCUAAAUAUGGAAUGGCCUUAGAUUGCGAAUUUGGACACAAGACGAACACCAUUGUGUUUAGGCUGACCUCUACAUUCCGUAGAUAUGCCAAAUGAACGAAUCUAGACACUUUCCAUAAAUAGCAUUUAGGACCGAAACGAGACUAACACAAAGGGCGUGAUAGCGAGGGUGUUUGGCAAACACGGUAAGCUAUCAUCUAGCGAAUAUUGAGGGACUAGUCUCAAUAUCGCGGGGGCUCCCAACACUAGCAAGUGCAAGUUAACAUCAUGAGUUUCUCAUCACCGUGUCAAGUAUGCUUGACUUAAUGACAACUUAGGAUUUCCUUCCUUAGUGCCCUUCCGGUCUAAGUGCACAUGUGCUGACCAGUUUCUCAACUAGCUUGGGCGGAGACUAUAAAGGGAACCAGCAGUACCGACCUCCUGCCGUCGUGGUAGUAAGGAGAGAGAGUCCGUAAGUACUAGCCGACAAGUAUCUUUUGAUACCCGAAGUCACAUUCGCGACAAGGCCGCACCCACACUUUGCCGACUGCCUAGGCUGCGCAGGCCAAUUCACCGGCAUAUCGUACCAGCCCACGUGGCUUGGCCCACAUGGCCCAGCCCGGGCACUCACCCAGUCACUCGGCAUGGGCCGAGCCGAUACCCCGGCAAACCAGCCCAACCACUGCGGUAUGCCAUGCCAUGCAGUGCCCUGCACGUCGCUGUGUGGCACACCACACAUCCCAGUGCCUGGCCAAGUGCUUGGGCCAGUCCGCGUUGGCCUGGCCACGUGGGCUGGUUGCCAGCAUACUGGCCCAGCCCACUGUGGUGUGCCAUGCCGUGCAGCGCACUGUGUGUCACCUUGCAGUGCACUGCACUUUGCCAUGCCACACGCCAACACAGCUCUGUGGCUUACAUGUGCCGUGUGAAGCAUGCAGCACGGUGGUGCUAGGCGCUGCAACGCGGUGGCACGGUGGUGCUGUGGCAUGGCAGUGCUGUGCACUGUAGCGUGGCGGCACUGGAUGCUAUAAUGCUUGGUGUUGAGGUGAAGAUUGAGGUGGAGUAAUGAGGAAGUAGAGGAGAAAAAAAAAGGACUUAUUCUUGGUGGUUGUUUUUGACGUCGAUGGAUCCCACAGUCACUCCCAAUCUCCUAAUGCCGGUGGCUGCCCUAACCCUAACCUAACUUUUAUUACAGCCUUUCAUUAUGGAUGCAGUAAAUCUCCAUUUUUUUUGUAAUUAUUUGCUAUCUACAAUUUCUAUUUUGUCCUAGAUUUGAUCACGUGACAAAGUCCUUUUGAAUUAUAACUUAAUAAUAGAGGUGUGCCAUAAUAUGGAAAUAAUAUCACAGCUGCAUGUGUUGAAUUGAUCACAAUAUGAAAUUAUAAAUGAGAAUUAUGUGUUUCUUGCACAUCAUAAAAUCUUAUCAUCAAAUAUAGGGUUCUUAAAAUCAUAAGGUAUUAUUUCCAAAGCAAUGUGAUAGAUAAUUUACCAUAGGUGAUAGAUGGUAGUACAAAAAUGGAAUAUAUUUAAAUGAGUUCAGAAGAAUGUGAUGAUUUCUGGCUUUAAUGAAGUACUGAAAAUAUUUUAAUUUAUUUGGCAACAGUUGGUCGAUAGUAGAUCCUAGAAUAAAAUCAUUUCUAUCUUUUACAUUAUCGCACAUGCUUUAGGUGAUAUUUCUUUCUGUUCUGCCAAAAGUUACUCUAUAUAAUAACUUUGAGCAUGUUUUUGAAUUUAAUUUAUACAGACUUUUAAUAUUGUACAACAUAGUCCUUUAUACUUCAUAUAGACUUUAUUACAACAAUGUUAUUCAAUGUUAGAUCCUAGAAUAAAAUCACCCUUACUUUUCACAUAAUGGCAUAACACAUGUUUGAGGUGACAUUUCUUUUCAUUCUAACUCUAACUUUGAGCCUGACUUUGAGCAUAUUUUUUAAUCAAGUAAAAAGAUUGGAAGACAAUGUGGAGUCUUUUUAUAUGUGAUAGUCUUUUUAUACUUUUGAUAGACCUUAUCAUAAAAGUUCAAACAUCCAAAACCUAAAGGCAAUAAAACAGAGAGUUUUUUUUUUGCAUUACCAAAAUCACCCACCGCUCUUUUUCUCCCAAAGUCUUAUUUCAAAAAGUUUUCUUUACUAACGUUUCAAUCUUUCUCUUAGUUCUCUAUCAUUAAAGGCUGUGAUUCACAACAACAUUGGUGUAGUUGAAUGAUCAGAAUUUCUUCUUUAAGUGUGGGUGAAGGUGGACAACAUUGGGAUUUACAACAUUCCAAGUUCAAGGAGAUUCGAGUUUUUGAAUCUCCAAUCAAAGCAUGAGGCUACGAUUCUGCCAAAGUGAUUGUGAAGCAAGAGUCAGUUGUCAUUAUUUCUUCCUCUUUUAGUUCUAGUGGAGAUGCUAGUUUAGUGUGUAAGCAACCAAAGAGAACCACUUGAGAGACAAUCCAUAGGGUUCAAAUAUAAAGGGAAAGGGCCCAUGAACAAGAGUGCAUCCCCUUUUUCAAUUGGUUAAGGGUCUUGGGAUAUUUGGGGUUAAGUGUCUUUGGGUUUGAAUAGUACUGGGUUGGGUGAUCUCCUGGGAAAUUUAAACUCAGGAGUUUACACAGUGCUAGCCAAGAAUCUAUAAACUCCAACUUUACUGAUAUUCAAAGUUGUUUGCAAUGCUUUCCAGUUGUUUUCAAGACCAAGCAAGACAUUCAUAAUUGGUGCAAGAUCAUGACUACACACUUCCAACAUUUUAAAGGUAUAAUGUCCAUGGUUCAUUGAGGUGGGUAUUUGGAUUGUGUGAAUGAAACAUGCAAUCGAGAGGAUAGUAAAAACUCUAUAUUGUUUUUAAGGAUCUGCAAUCAAUCCUCCUAUUUGUGACACUAUUAGUAUUAGAUUCAAGUGUCGGUUUUGCAAGAAUGUUCCAUUAUGUUGUGCAAUCUACAGGGACAAGAUGUACUACUUUCUUCCACAGGAUGGAAAAGUUGGUAGAGCUGUAAUACAUAUUAGCACACACACACAUCCAAUGCAAGAAGGGAUACAAAGGAGUUCAGUCAACUAUUUCUAAGAUGCAAUGUAGAUAGAGACCAUCUAUAACUCUAAAGCAUGUUUAAAAGAUAAUGCUCAAGGAUUUUAUCGCAAGCACCUUACUCAAUCUGGGCUGCAAGGAUACUCAAUAGAUGAGGCUAGCUUGCGAGAGUUAGUAUGAUGCGUGCAAUUUGUAAUUAGUCUCAGGAGGUAAGAAUAUAUUAUUAUAUACUUUUCAAUAAUAUCUCUCUUACAUUUUAUUUUAUUUAGGAUAAAAUCUUGAAUGUAUGAAUCUUAAGAGGGGAAACUUCAGUCAAAAUCGACUCUAUUCUUGAACUAAAAUGGAAUUGUCCCUAUGAGUUUAUCCACAGGAGUUUAUUUCUAGAUUAAGUUGUUAAUGAGCAAAAGCACCCCUUCAUCUUCAAAAUGUUUGUUAUGGGCCUUGCCUUUGGUAUGGAUCUUGUUUCCUGAAUGGAUAUGUCUAGGUUGAGUAACCUUACUAAUACAUGGGUACAUUUUGACUAUAUGGAGCAGGUAAUAGGUUUGACAACUAUGUAAGCUCAUAUGUAUGAUCUAAGGUAUUUAUUUUUUCUCACUGUCUUAAAAUGGUUUUAAGCAUUGCCCUUUUCAUAGGUUACAUUCCAACUUGACAAUUGCAAUAGCAGAGUUUAAAUUAGAAGACUAAAUAGCCCAAGAAAUAUUUUGGAAGUCCCUCUUCGAUAUUGUACUAAAGCAGACUGGUAAACCUUCAAACUUUCACAAUUUCAUAGUAAAUGGGGUUUGGGCUAAUUGGAAUGGUGUCUAGGCUAUCUUUAGAAUGGUCAACCCCUAGAAGGUCGUGAGAGGACAUAUAAGUUCUAUUGGGCUUAGAGCCUAAACUAACACUACCAUUUUAUCAAGUUAGAUUUCUAAUUAGUGUUUAAGGAGUUGUGCAAACAAUGGCAGAUUGCACCUUUUAAAGAAGAGCAUGAGGCAAAAGCAAACGAAAUCCAAAUAUAGUGGUGUGAAGAUGGCCAUACGGAUAUAAAUUUUACUAUAACUUAAGUUGUGGUUGGGUGGUGGGAACUUAGGAUGUUCUAAUGGGGACAUCACUCUUCUUAGGUUGGUUUUUCUUUUUUUCUUUUCUUUUUAUUGCUUUUUAAUAUCAUCUUUAUAUUAGGACCAAUCAGUUGAGGAUCUUGUAUACACCCCAACUGUGAAUCUCUUAGAGAGUAAGCAUUUGAGUUGGUGUUCCUCUGAGGCAGGGAAAGGGAAAAUGAGUCUAUACAAAGCAUGUUUAUCGGAUUUGAUAUGUGCUAUAAAGCAAUCUUUAAAAGCCUUGGCAUUUGAGGAAAGAAGAUAUAUGGGAACAAGACAUUCAAUUAAGAUGUUACACAAUCAAAUGAAGAAGAAAGUGACUCCACCAGCACAAACAGUGGCAACUGUAGUGGAGGAAGUGGUCUGUAGCAUAUCUAUGGAGUACACUCCUCAGGCUUCUAUUGGUGACAUGAAGACCAUCCACUCAAAGCGUUGUUUUUCCUUUGCUAGUGAAGAUGUUAGUAUGGAUCUUGGAGUGAAAAGCUCUCAUAGGCCUGAUGUUGAGUACUAUUUUGUUCCAAGACACCACUUUCAGACCAAGCCACCUCAAGUGGUUAAUGAAGAAAGUGUAUCAUAAUAGGUAGAAAUCGCUUAUUGUAGUAUGAAGUUGAAGCAAUAAACAAUUUGUCGAGUGCUAGCAAAAUCAAAUGUAAGGUGUAUAGGGAUGCUUUCAAGGGGCAAGUGUUGAGUCUAGAUCCAUAGUGACAAAUCUGUUUCUAUUCUAGCCCCAUAUUUCCAUGGGAAAUGAAAGUAAACAAGAUUUUCAAGAUGAUGUUGGCUAUAUUGCUGCAACACUAAUGCCAACCAUACAAAAUGGCUUGAAGACAAUAUAAUGACUAAAUCUGAUGUAGUACCUAAAGAAUGGCCAAUUGCUAAUAAAGUUGUGCUCACCUUGGAUGAGAUUGAAAACCUUGAGAAAUCUAGUUUCAAUCUUGAGAAGAGAGUUGGAGAUAUGAGUGACAAAACUAGGACUAUUCUCACAAGGAUGCAUAGGAAGCUAGUAAGAAAAGGUAAGGUAGUUAAAUUUAUUAGUACCAUCUCCAAGUAGAAGUAGGGUAAAAUAAACUUAGCUUAAACAUUUGAGUGUGAGAUUCUUUCCAUGAAGUACAUUAUUGCACUUGCAAAGGAGUACAUAGUCAAAACAUAUGGUGGAGAGUACAUAAUUGCCAUUCAAGACUUUCCUUCUUGCAUAUUUGCAGACUUUAUGAAGCAUGAGGAACAUAGGAAGGUAUAUGCUCUUUGCAAGUAUAUGUAUUACAUCUUCAUUAACAUUUUGCAAUAGGAUUUUAAAGUGGAUAUUCAUAUACACCAAACAAGCCUUAUUAAUACUAAGUUGUAGAAAACUUAUUUUUGGAGCUAACUAGAUUUUCCAACACUAUUGAUGUUUAUUUUUUAUCAAUAAUAUAAACUUAUUAUACUUUAUAUAAUUAAUAAAAAAAAUUCAUUUCAUAUACUUGUGAGUGUUAUUUUUGCAAUACUACAUAUAGUAUUGGUAUGUCUCUAUUUCUAUCUGUACCACCUUAAAAAAUAUUUUAUGAUAAUCUUUCGGGUACGUGAUGUUGCAAUAUGUCGCAAGAGCAUAUAUACCGUCAUACUAAUCAUUGUCAUUAUUUCCACUGGACUUUGAAUCAAAGCCUUGAGACAGCAUAAUGUUCUAAUUGUGAUUCUGCCUCUAUCAAAGUCUUAUAAAAUUUGGGUGAAUAAUUUCCCAAUUUAUUUUUCACUAAGGCUAGCUCUAAUUUUCUUUAAGUUGGAGUCUAAAACAAGGGGUAUAGAUGCCCAAUUUUCCCACUUGUGUAUGCCUAAAAAAAUUGUGACAUUUUGCUGAAAAAUAUAUCCUCUAAAAACCUAAGUGAGAAUUUGCUUAGAAAAAAAGAAUUCUAGAGUAGUUAAUUGUGUUUUCCAUAUCAAAUAAACUCCAUUCCUUCUUCUUUUGGUUUUUUCUCAAGAAAUUGCUGGGUAAAUGAUUUGAACUUAAGUUUCUUGGCAAUGUAUACCUAACUAAAUAACUUAGGUAGCUUUUCAAAGGAAAAUAAAGUUUAAUGCAAUAGUGCUAACCUAAGUUAUAUCUUUCCAAGCUCCAAUGUAUGCUAAUUUCAAACUCACCCUAUACUCUAUAGCUUAGGUGACAAUUGAAAAACUAUUUUUCUUGCGUUUUUUGGGCACUAAGCCACUGCAAUUGCAAAAAGAUUUCUUUCUUUUAGUUUUGUUUAGGCUCAAGGCCUUUGUAAUCACUAAAGAGAUCUAUUGUAAUUUCUAGUGCUAGGAACGUUUGAAAUUCACAAGCAAUUUUUCUUUCAACUGUUUUGCAAGCCAAAGAGUGAUAACUUAUCCUAAAAGCUUAUUUCAAAAGUGAGUAAGGCAUUUUCUACCUAUACUUGCAUUCUUGCUUUUGCUUGUAAAAUAGUGACAAACAAAUAGAGACAAUAACCUAGAAAAGAAAAGAAGAGAAGAAGAAUGAAAAGAAAAUAGAAAUGAACUCAGUCUUAAACUUCAAAUGUGUGAGUAAAGAUAAGUAUAUGUCAUUCUCUCAACUUUACUUUGCACAAACAGUCAUAGUUAGGAGAAAAGAUGGUUAAUUCAAUGUAAAUUAUAUAAUAAUGAGUGGGGGUUGUUUUUCAACACUUCUAAAUGCUAUUUAUAUACUAUAUGAUUUUAUAACUGUUCCUAACUGCUUCAUGUUUGUCUAUGACGAGCAUUGCUUAGGUCAGGUCUUUCUUUUUUGAAUGCUUAAGUUUAGAUGUAACUUCAUAUUGCUUAACCUUCUUUUGCUUUACCUAGGAAGAUACACAAAAUAAAACAUUUAUCUCUUCAUCACUCACUCCACUAUUGCAUCCAUUCAGCCUCACUAUAUUGGGGUUAGAUAUUCCAUUCAAACUUGUUAUGUUCAUCCUCACUUCACAAUCCAUGUUAUUUGUCUUUAUUCCACUACCGUAUUUGCUUGUCCUCAUUCCAUCAUUGGGGCUAGACUCCAAUUCAUCCCCUCCACCCUUCUCCAAAAAAAAUAAAAAAUUGAAAUGUUAGGGCAAAAAGGAGAAGGCAAGAAAAAUUGAGGACAAACCAUUGUGGAAAAAAAAAACGUGGCUAAAGAAGCAUUAGAAAAGGAAUUUACAACUGGCAAUAUAGAAAUAGGGAAAUUAAAAGAAAUAUAUAUGCUCAAAUCUUGGAAAAUAAGAGACUUCUUAUUAUAAAAUACUUCGGCCACUAUGAUAUAAGCAAAAGAUUUAUAUUGCUCAACUUCCUCAACACACAACUUAACAUUUAAGACGAGAAAAUCAAUAACAAUAUCCAUACUCUCAAGAGAAUAUAUAAAUUCUUCAAUAACAAUAGUAAAGUAAAGGCUUUCAGUAGCACUAACAAGUGGGGACAGAACCCGAAAUUUUAACUAAAGUGACUCAACCCUUGGAACAUAAGAAUACUCAAUACCAUAAUUUUUCAAAAACUUUACCAAUGAAACAAAAGUAAUUCUCAACUUUAUACACAUAUUCAACAUUUAAAUUAGUAUGAGAAGGAUAUACAAUACUUGACUCAAACCAGAUUGAAAAUGAGAAUCAUAAAAGUCAUAAAUGAUCAAUAUGCCAAGAGAAAAAAAACACUACAAAUGAGGAAGAAACACUAAAAUAUGAAAAGGUAACUCAAGCCAAGAAAUAAGGAAAGGUUGGGAAAGAGCAUAAGGUAAAGAAAAAGGAUCAGAUAGCAAAUUGAAAGAUUGACACUUACUUUGUAAAAUCUCCAACUUAUUUUUAAAGCUAUCUCUAUAAUAAUUAAGUUCCUCAUCAUAAUUUCCAUUCAUUCGAGCUUGUAAACAUUAUUUUCCCAUAAAUUCAAUUCUAGAACAUUCUUCAAGAACCAAACUACAUCAUUUAUAGCUCACCAAUUAAUGUUACGACCACACUCCACAUCAACAAGAGAUGGUAUAACACCAAGAACAAAACAAGCUGUGUAAUCAUAUCCCAUGUAAGUUGGAGAUAGCAACACAUCAAGGAUGGUUGUAGCACCAAUAUGAUCACACCCCACAACACCAAAGUUCAAUUUAACAGAGUAAUAUUAGUAGCCUUAAGUGAUAUACUCCUUAAUCAAUGAUAAUAUGGCAUAAUAAAAGAAGACAAUGCAAUGAAGAUCAAAAGAAAAAGUAAAUUUAAGCACAGUGAUAGUUAGAAUUCUAGAUCUUAUAAAAAGAUAAUACAGAUCUAAAUUUUAAAAAAAAUGAAGAAAUAAGAACAAAAAGCAUGAUCCUAAACACUAGAGCAAAGCAUUGCUAAAAAGCUUUGCCCUUUAAGUGCCCCUCAUCUCCACCAAUGUGAGUGCUUGGGAUAUAAAAAUAGAUAUAUUAAUUGGGGUUUAGACCCUUGCUUAUAUAUAUAUAUAUAUAUAUAUAUAUAUAUAUAUAUAUAUAUAUAUAUAUAUAUAUAUAUAUAUAUAUAUAUAUAUAUGUAUGUAUCUAUAUAUAUAUAUAUAUAUAUAUAUGUAUGUAUAUAUAUAUGUAUGUAUGUAUCUAUGUAUGUAUAUAUAUAUGUAUGUAUGUGUAUAUAUAUAUAUAUAUAUAUAUAUAUAUAUAUAUAUAUAUACAAACAAUCAAUAAGAUAAUUAGAAACCUAAAUUAAAUUAUAUAAAUAUUUCCAAAAUCAUAAUUCUAUUAAAUUUACAACAUAAAACUUCAUAUUUGCAUAUUUCUAUAUCAUCAAUUCAUCAUUUAAAGAAGAGCUCCACUAUUUCCGAGCGUUGUGGUUACCAAGCUCAGAGAAAGUCCCAUGUGCAAAACCAUACUUGGCAGAUAAUGCAAAAUCUUGGUGGAGAGCGACGGAGGCCAAUGAAGGACCGGUGGCCACUUGGGAAAUGAUGAAGGUGAGGAUCCACAUGACAUAUAUUCCUUCGAAUGCUACUUUGCAUCUAAAGGAUGAGUUGAGUAGGCUGUGUAAGCGACUAAAUUUUCCAUUCUACUUUAGUCACUUAACCACACUUCCAACCACUUGGAGGAGUCUCACUCACAACCUCCAUAAGUCCUAUUUCAGACUUGGGCUUGCUAGCCCCGAGAAUGGCGUCCCCACCAAGUGAUCCACGAUCCAAGUGCUCCACGUGUCCGAUCCCAUGACCGACACCCCAAGGUACCACCGACAUAUUAGCUCGUUACGCUAAAGCCUUGCCCCUUUACCUUGGUCACACUGGUGGUUUAACACCACCUGCAUCACAGUCCCAUCUCUUAAGCACUGGGCCAUCCGUCCAUGAGUGAUCAUUCCAAAUCCACUCUUUAGCAUCCUUAGGAUGCCCACAGACAUGGGGAAUAGCCUUCCCCAAUAUCCCUUUUCCGGUCUUCACCAAGUCCCUUUUUGCCCAUGGCCGUGUUCACCAACACUGCCACUGGAUCGAGGCCCACAGGCCCGACCACUAAGUCCCACGGUCCUCUACGCGUUCCUCGCCACUUGACUGUAUCCUUGGUCACUACACCAGAGGACUACUCCUCUUCCUUUCCACAGUCUGGGCCUUUGGGACUACAUUUCGAAACACUGUGGCCCUACGCGGGCCUCAUGGGUACUCUCCCCGUCUUCCACCUUUGGGUGCUCUAGCCAUGGGCUUAGAGCGAGGUUCUGUUGAGCCACACCAGGUAUCCAAGUAGGUAGUGCCACCCACACUUGGACUGGGAGCAUCGGCCAAUCGAUCUCCCAGGGGAACUAGAGCCGGCUCUUGAACACUUCACCAAGCUACCCCGCUUGUCGGUCUGUAUUCACUCUAGUCUUGGACUUCCCAGUGGUCAGUUCAUCACCCAACACUGGGUAUGGUCUUCCUGGGCCAAACUGGCCUUUCCUGGGCCAAACUGGCUCCACUAGGCUCCAAGCCCCACACUCUCCCUACUAUACUUUUGGAACCCCCUGCAGCCCCCCCCGGGGGACGAUCGCUUUGAGCUUUCACCCAACUGCCUGUAUUAGUAUCUGACUCGGACUCAGGCUCGAACUCGGACUUAGACUCGGUCUCGGUCCCGGUUUCAGACUCGGACUCGGUCUCGGUCUCGGCUUCGGCCUCGGUCUCGGUCUCAGUCUCGGGUCCAUCUCGGACUCCAUCUCGGGUCCAUCUCGGACUCCAUCUCGGACUCCAUCUCGGGUCCAUCUCAGACUCCAUCUCGGACUCCAUCUCGGGUCCAUCUCGGAUUCCAUCUCGGGUCCAUCUCGGGUCCAUCUCGAAUUCCACUUCGGACUCCACUUCGGAUUCCAACUCGGACUCCAACUCGGGUCCAACUCAGGUCCAUCUCGGGUCCAUCUCGGACACUUCCACGUGUCAUGUGUUGGUCCUUUUGGGUCCCUUUUUGGAGCCUCACUUAUUGCUCGCUUCGUGCUCAUUCCUUGAGCACUUUGUUAGGAGUUCCACUCCCACUUUCGACCUUUCAAGUCGGAGCUUUUGGCCAAACGUGUUACACUCGUUUGGCUUUCGCUUUGGCCACUACCACGUGGCACCCUUUCGGCUCCACUUUGGGGCCUAGGGAUUUUGUGUCUCACAGGCUGAAGCAGAUUGGAACCAUUCAAGAGUAUAUGAAUGGGUUUAUGGCAAAGAGGAUACUAGUUAUAGAUAUGGGUGAUAUGAAUGCGUUCCAUGCUUUCAUAUCAAACUUGCAAACCUGGGCUCGUGGCAAGGUGAUGUGUUGGAACCCGACCAAUUACAAGGAAGCGUUAGAUGUGGCUAUCAAGGUGCAUUUCAAUGAUAACCUGCGAAAGGGGAACACGACGGGGUUGGGGUCCAUGUUUAGCAAAGGGGCCAAACUAAGGGGAACGUAUAGCAAAGGAAAAUUAAAGAAGAGUUUCUCUAAGAAUGAGUCCUCAGGGUUCCAAAAAGGCAAAUCCGGUGGUCAGCGAGCAAGUAUGUGGGGGAGUCAAGCAAAAAGAGAUAAACCCAUGGAUAAGAAGGUCAAGUCGGUUAGGAACGUAUGCUACAAUUGCGGCGAAGCAGAACACUUUUCGAGGGAAUGUCCCUACUUGAAGAAGGCCAGAGCCAAUAUGGCCAUUAAGUCGGGUGAAAUCCAAAAUGAGGUAUGUGAUUCAGUCCCUAACUCAAAGUUACUUAUUACACGAGCAACUUUGGUAGAGAGUCGUUCCCGACAUCUACUAGCCCGCUGAGGGAAGCUCAGAGGUAGCUUUGUUAAGAUCCUUAUUGACACGGGUGCUUCGAAUAAUUUUGUGGCUGCACUGCAAGCCAGACUAACGGUGCAGCAGCUGGGUGAACUAAGGACUAUAGAGUUUGUUCAAGGUAGCCAAAGCACCGAUGAGGUACUUCGACAAGUGAGAGUCAAAGUAAAGACAUGGAUUUCACUAUGUUGGAUAUGGAGGGAUUUGACGUAAUCUUUGGGAUGGAUUGGUUCAAUCAGUUCGUGGUAGCCCUGCAUGGACAAGGUAAGAACCUUGUGGUACUAGCGAAUGCCCAAGGAAGAAGAUUUAGGGUGGAGGCCCAAGAUCUAAAGGUAGGGCAAUGCAAGGCCAAAGACUCCUACCUAAAUUUGGUGUCCACAAAAGGACAACUCACUUAAGGAACCAAGGCAGCAUUUUUGUGCUUACUCUCGAUGAAGAGUGACAAAAAGACAGGAAUGGAAGAAGUAUCUUUAGUGAUCUGGCGGGUGUUGGACCAAUUUUAGGAUACCAUGCCGGAGGAGCUACCGGCGGAGUUGCCCCCCACACGACCGAUAGAACACAAGAUUGAGCUAGUCGAGGGUGCCGAGGCGGUGGUUCGUCCCCCCUAUCAUUUGAACGAAAAGGAACUCAAGGAGCUCAAACGCCAACUAAAGGAGUUGGUGGACAAAGGGUAUGUUAGGUUGAGCAAGUCACUAUAUGGGGCGUCGGUGUUAUUUGUGAAAAAGAAAGAUGGAUCUAUGCGCAUGUGCAUAGACUACAGGUUGCUCAACAAGUAUAGAAAGAAGAACAAGUACCCUUUGUCAAGGAUUGAGGACCUGUUUGAUAGGUUGGGAAAGGCAAAAUACUUCUCGAGGAUUGACCUAAGGUCAUGAUACUACUAGAUUAGGGUAACAAAGGAAGAUGUCAAGAAGACAACCUGUCGAACAAGGUAUGGGAGCUUCGAGUUUCUAGUGAUGCCCUUUGGGCUAUGCAAUGCAUCUGCAACAUUUUUGGUGUUGAUGAACUACAUCUUCGUACCCUAUUUGGAUCACUUUGUGGUUGUCUAUAUUGAUGACAUCCUGAUCUAUAGCGAAAUGCUAGAGGAGCAUGCCGAACACUUGACGAAGGUGUUUGAGAAACUAAGGGAACACUAGUUGUAUGUUAAACAGAGCAAAUGUGACUUUGCUCAACAAGAGGUAAAGUAUUUCGGGCAUGUGGUGGGCAAGGACAGGCUCAAGGUGGACCCUGAGAAGGUCCAAGAAAUUCAGGAUUGGGAGCAACCUGUAAGGAACCAACUCGCCGAGGCGUCGUAGGCUAAAGGAACCCCAAAAGCAUGACCAAAAUGACAAAGAGUUCAUCGGAUGGGACCAAGUCGAAGAUCGAGUCCGAGACCGACUCUAGGACCGAGUUCGAGAUAGAGUCCGGAAUCGAGUCCGAGACCGACUCGGGGACUGAGUGCGAGUCCGAGUUCAAGACGGAGUCUAAGAUCCAAAAUCGGGUCCGAGACCGAGUCCGAGGUCGAGUCCGAGGUCGGGUCCGAGAUCGGGUCCGAGAUCGAGUCCAAGAUCGAGUCCGAGACCAAAUCCGAAGUCGGAUCUGAAAUCGGGUCCGAGAUCGAGCCAGAGACUAAGUCCAAAUACUAAUACGGGUCAAGGGGUGAAAGCCCAAAGCGUGCGUCUCCAAGGGGGGGGGGGGGGCUGCAGGGGGUUCCAAAAGAGUAUAGUAGGGAUAGUGAGGUCUAGGAACCAGUCUUGAAGGAACUCUCUAGUGGUGCUUCCAAAUUGAUUUGAGGUUGAAACUGAGGCCGAGGGGCCUUGAGUGGGAGUGAGCAUGGACUCGAGUGGUGCCAGAGGGGCCACCCAAGGAAGUGCUCAAGAACAGCUCCCACUCCCAAAAGGGAAACCGACUGCGGUGCUCCUGGCUCAUGUGGAGUGGUGCCCCACUUGAGUACCUUGUGGCUCAUUGGUCCUCACCCUUUCUAGGGGUUUGGACCUCCCCUUUGGGAUGGAAGUGGGGGGGUAGAGGUACCCAUACUGGGCCGUUAGGACACAGUGUUUUGCCCCGGUGUCCCGAAGCAAGUGUUGCACCCAAAGCUUGGGAUUUAGAAGGUCCCAUGAUCAAAUCUUGUUGUACCAAGGGAUGUUAGGAACCUAGAGGCUUGGUGUGCUUGGCUGCUUGUGCCUGCGGGGAGUGUAGCCGAACCUUAAGUCCAAUCUAACCCGGGGAGGGGGAUUGGGAGAGAUUUGGGAAUCCGUAGAUGGAUGGCUAACACUCCGUUGCUCGUGCAGUGAGUAGCUGAAACCAAGUAGGACGAAGUAGGAGCUGGUACCAUAGGCGGGAACCUUGGCAAGGGAACUUAGCACAAGCCAAGGCAGAGUUGGUCGGAUAGACGAGGUAAGCUGGCAAAUUGGAAAGGAAAAAUUUGUGGCUUACAAUUUGGUAUCGGAGCGGUCUCGGGUUCGACUCUAUUGGUUGGCUAAGGGAAUCACACCACAUGUUGAUUGACAUCUGGCUGGUCCAGUUUGCUCCCGCUAGGCUCGACCCGAGGGGUAGGGUGUCAAGAGAGCGAGGCUCUCGGGAGAGCUGCGGCUCUCAGCUUCCGUUCACGAGGGCGUGAACUUGCAGGGAAGCGUGGUGGAUUGUAAGCAACCAAAGGGAACGACUUGAGAGACAAUAUAUGGGGUUCAAAUAUAGAGGGAAAGGGCCCAUGAACAAGAGUGCACCCCCUUUUCCAAUCGGUUAAGGGUCUUGGGAUAUUUGGAGUUAAGCAUCCUUGGGUUUGAAUAAUACUGGGCUGGGUGACCUCUUGGGAAGUCCAAACUCAGGAGCUUACACAACCAUUGAAUGUACAUAAGUUAAGGGCAUUCUUGGGGCUAUGCAACUACUACCGAAAGUUUAUUAAACACUAUUCGAGGGUAACCUUGCCUUUAACGGACCAAAUGGGAAAAGGGAAAAUGGUAUGGAUAGCGGAAUGCGAGGCAGCAUUUGUCCACCUCAAAGGGAAGUUGAGGAAGGCUCCCGUGUUGGCAUUACCAGACUUUGGUAAAGACUUUGAGGUAGAAAUGGAUGCUUCAAACUUUGCAUUGGGUGCAAUUUUGAAGCAAGAAAACCAUCCAGUAGCGGUCUUCUAGAAGAAGUUGGACAAGGCUCAAUGGAAGUGGCUUGCCUAUGAGAAGGAAUUGUUUGCAGUGGUCAAGGCGCUCAAGGAGUGGCGACACUACCUUGGGAGACACUUCAAGGUUUACACGGACAAUGUGGCAACAAAACACUUCUUGUCACAGCCCGACUUGAGAGGGAAACAGGGUCGAUGGGCCAAUGCUUUGGCCGAGUUUGAUUGCGAGAUUCUGUACAAGCUUGGGAAGAGCAACAUCGUGGCAGAUGCGCUAAGUUGAAAAACGAGCUUGAAGUUGGUAAUAUCCAACGCGACAGCAACCUUUUGGGAUGAUGUGCGGACAGCAUAUGAGAACAAUGGUCUAGCAUAAGAAGUGUUGCUGAGGAAUUUGAAGGCAUGGGAAACUCACAAGAGAAGUGAGUUGCCAACAGAAGAGAAAACGGGCUAUGCGGAACACAAUGGACUUAAUUAUUACAAGCAAACGAGGGUGUAUGUUCCAGAAGGGGAACUAAGGAAGGUAGCUUUAGAAGAGUGUCAUGACGGACUUCUUGCGGGACAUGGCGGAGUGCCCAAGAUGAUGGGCUUACUCAAGAAGAAGUACCACUGGCCAGAUAUGGCUAAGGAUGUCCAAGACUAUGUAAAGACAUAUCCAAAAUGUCAACAGGUCAAAGCCGUGACUAAGGCUAGUGGGGGUUUGUUACAAAGCAUCCCAAUUCCAGAUCGUCCGUGGAAAUGUCUUAUGAUGGACUUCAUCACGGGACUCCCCCCAAGCGAAGGGUUUGAUGCGAUAUUCGUGGUGGUGGACCGAUUUUCGAAGAUGGCACAUUUCAUACCCACCACAAUGGAAGUGGAUGCGGAAGGUGUGGCAAAGACGUUCUUCAAACAAGUGGUUCGAGUGCGGGGAAGGCCAGAGGAGAUCAUCUCAGAUAGAGAUAAGAUCUUCACCAGUAGGUUCUGGAGAACUCUCCUGGAACAAUAUCGCACCAAGUUGAAAUUCAGCACAGUCUAUCACCCAUAAACAGGUAUUGAGUAUUAAGUCAAGUUGGAUGGCACGAACACUUCUUAACAGAUGGACAAACGGAAAGGGUGAAUAGGCAGCUAGAGGAUUAUUUGCGAUGCUAUGUUUCUGGAGACUAAAUCAAUUGAGUAAGUCAUUUGGGACUUGCGGAAAUGUGUUAUAACAACUCACCACAUUCGAGUAUCAGGGUGAGUCCAUGGGAAGUCAUCAAUGGGCAAGCAAUUGAAGGUCUUGUGAAAUUCGGCGUGGCUGAGUAUCAUGGAGAGUUACCCACAGUGGAGGCAUUUGCGGCGGAAAGACUCAACAUCUGGAAUCUAGUGAGGGAUUCCUUGGAACGAGCUUAACAAAAGCAAACCAAGUAUGCGAACCCGAAGCGCCAAGAUGUAGAGUUCCAAGCUGGGGAGAAGGUGUGGCUGAACACCAAGAACCUCAGGCUGCCAAAUGGGAUCAGCCGGAAGUUGACCCAAAGGUAAGAUGCAUGUAUUCCUAGAAAUGAACUGAUCUUGAGUUCCUUAAGUUGAUUUGCAGGGCCUUACAAGAUUGAGGCACGAAUUGGUAAAGUGGCUUAUCGCCUCCGACUUCCUCGAGAGAUGGGGAAAAUGCACCUAGUGUUCCAUGCGAACCUACUCGAGCCGUACUUUGAGGAUCCGCUUCGCAAGGACCAAGUGAGACCUUUACCUAAGGUUAUCCAAGGGGAAGAGGAAUACGAAGUGGAGGCCAUUCUCAAUGCGCGCAAGAGCAAGUGACAAAGACACGAGGUGAGAGAGUUCCAUGUGAAGUGGAAAGGAUUUCCACACUACGAAGUAACAUAAGAAUUGAAGGAGAACCUAGCGAACGCGUGAGAUUUAGUGAAGGAAUUUCUACAAGGCAGAACUCUAUGUACUUAUGCAAAGUUCAAUUAAAGUACCAAUUUGUGAAGUUGAGCAAUGGCAUAUGUUGGGACCCAAAGGUGCGUCGAAGGUAAGCUAAUUAGUAUGGGUUAGCUAGGUCAACCAGGCAUAGAGAACUACACCCGACUCCCUACGGGGAUGUCGAAUCUGUAAACAUAUUACGGAGGUUGGGUUCAAGUCCCAACCCUCUAGUAAAGCAAGACUGGGUUCAAGUCCUGACCCCAUACUAGGGUGUGGUGAGGUGAGGGGUAUAGGGACACCUAUACUCUGUUAUCAUGGGCUCUUGGCUGGGGAAGCUAACUUAGGCACACCGCUAAGUGGAAGGAUGCCCCCGGAGACAUGGUCAACAAGUUGUAGGAUAAAACGAGACGUUCAUCGAACUUCUUCUAUGGGUGGUGGAGUUGUAAGGAACCAACUCCCCGAGGUGUCAUAGGCUAAAGGAUCCCCGAAAGCAUGACCAAAAUGACAAAGAGUUCAUUGGAUGGGACCGAGUCUGAGAUCGAGUCCAAGAUCGACUCUGAUACUGAAUUCGAGAGAGAGUCGGGAUUGAGCCCAAGGUCAAAUCAGAGACCGAGUUUGAGACUGAGUUCAAGACCGAGUUCGAGACAGAGUCUGAGAUCCGAAUUGGGUCCAAGACCGAGUCCGAGAUCAAGUCCGAAGUCAAGUUCGAGAUCGGGUCCGAGAUUGAGUCCGAGACUGAGUCCAAAGUCGGGUCCGAGAUCAAGUCUGAGAUCGAGUCUGAGACUGAGUCCAAAUACUAAUACAGGUCAAGGGGUGAAAGCCCAAAGCAUGCGUCUCCCGGGGGGGCGGGGGGGGCUGCAGGGGGUUCCAAAAGAGUAUAGUAGGGAUAGUGAGGUCUAGGAACCAGUCUUGAAGGAACUCUCUAGUGGUGCUUCCAAAUUGAUUUGAGGUUGAAACUGAGGCCGAGGGGCCUUGAGUGGGAGUGAGCAUGGACUCGAGUGGUGCCAGAGGGGCCACCCAAGGAAGUGCUCAAGAACAGCUCCCACUCCCAAAAGGGAAACCGACUGCGGUGCUCCUGGCUCAUGUGGAGUGGUGCCCCACUUGAGUACCUUGUGGCUCAUUGGUCCUCACCCUUUCUAGGGGUUUGGACCUCCCCUUUGGGAUGGAAGUGGGGGGGUAGAGGUACCCAUACUGGGCCGUUAGGACACAGUGUUUUGCCCCGGUGUCCCGAAGCAAGUGUUGCACCCAAAGCUUGGGAUUUAGAAGGUCCCAUGAUCAAAUCUUGUUGUACCAAGGGAUGUUAGGAACCUAGAGGCUUGGUGUGCUUGGCUGCUUGUGCCUAUAGGGAGUGUAGCCGAACCUUAAGUCAAGUCUAACCCGGGGAGGGGGAUUGGGAGAGAUUUGGAAAUCUGUGGAUGGAUGGCUAACACUCCGUUGUUCGUGCAGUGAGUAGCUGAAAUCAAGUAGGACCAAGUAGGAGCUGGUACAAUAGGCAGGAAUCUUAGUGAAGGAACUUAGCAAAAGCCAAGGCAGUGUUGGUCGGAUAUACAAGGUAAGUUGGCAAAUUGGAAAGGAAAAAUUUGUAGCUUACACUACUCUUGCUCUUACUCCUACUCCUCCUACACCUCAGUUGCAAUUGUGGGCAUUUUGAGAGAGGGAGAGAAUAUUCCAAUUCUUGGAAUAUUUCAAAUGGUUGUAUAAAAGCCCCUCGAGGGUGAAAUAUCAAGAUUUCUGUGCUUUGUGUCUUGAGCUAGAGCAUGGAGAGAGAGAGAGAGAACUUAAGACAUGAGCAAAGCUAUAAAGAGGAGGAUUGAGGUGCCACACCUCAACAUAGUGAACCUAGCAUGACACGCACCUUCUUCUUUUCUAGAGCAUUUUUUGAUUGAUGGAGAGGAUCCACAAGAUUUAGAGUGGUGAUCCUGGAGAGAGGGAUAGACUAGAUGUAAUAGAAAUUACCCCCAUGGAGAUAUUUUUGAGUGGAAAUGAGAUUUCAUAAUUCAAAGCUAUAGCAUGUAGCACAAGUUGUUAGUCAAAUUUUCUCUUUUGUCUUUGAUCCAUUUUAGGGGCUCUUUCUUUGGUGUGUAGAUUUCGAACUUAUAUUUCCAACAAGUAGAAGUGCUUGCGAUUUGGUGGAGGGACGAAGGACUUCUCACUAUUUUUCUUUUAGUUUUUAUUCCUUUUCCUACACAAAUAUUCUUUCAAUUUUGGGGAGAGAUUGUACCAAUUUGUUUGAUGACCAAUUUGUUUGAUGGGCUCUUAAAUCUUGCUAAGAGCUAUUUGAGAGUGGUUUCUUAGAGGCUAAUUCAUUGGAAACUGUGACAUGCAUGCAUUUUUCUUUCAGCACGUGAAUAUAAUUUGGUGUGGAAUAUUUGCACAAUGAGAACUCUCUUCAUUUUGUGCAUCUUUGUAAGAUCUUUCUUUUAAGUGGUCUUAAUACAUGAAUAGAGCUACCUAUUAUCCAGAUUUAUGCAUUUCCAUAGUUUCUUGCCAAUUAUGCAUUAGUUUCUUUCUUCCCUAUACUAUGAUAAUUUUUAAGUGCCAAUUUCUUGAGUGUCUAAAGUCCAUUUUCAUUGCUGUUUGUUGCACCAUAUGUGCCUUGCUUUACUUUUUCUUUUGAGUUAUGACUUCAAUAUUUUCAUGGAGUUUUGAGCUAGAUUUGAGUCAUUUUCUCUAUUGCCAUGUGAUAAGUUGCAUGCUUCUCUAGCACAUAAAGCCUUUCCUUUUCUCACAAUCCCUUGCAUUAGGAUUGUAGAUCCUUUUAUGAUCUAUCAUUCCGAAGUUGAAUCAUCCAGUUUAGUGCCCAAUCCCAUGAGAUUUUUCUAUUCUUCACUAGCUUUUAUCCUUGUUUCAACAUGAUCAUUGUUUUUGGGAGUUUUUCUCCCAUCUUGCACUCGGCUUUUGCAAAUCUUUUGCUUGAGGAGGAUGACCUAAUUUCUUAGGCCAACAUCAAGCCACUUUUUAGGUGAUUCCAUCCAUCAUAGCAGGAGUUCCUAGCAAAAAAGCACAACAUUUGUUUCUUUUGGAGAUAUCUCAACAGUUUUAUGUUUCUUGGAGUUUGUGAUGUUUAUGGCUUUUUUGUUUGGUUAUGAGCUUUGUCUAGGGCAUUUAGGGAUAAUUCAACUUGCUAGAUUCCAGAUUUGGGUAUUUGUAGUGAUUUGAAUAUUUUAUGCCAGUGACAACACGUUCACAAUCACCUGGAGGAUCCAUUUAAAAAGCACCAAGUCCACCGGCAAGUUUUCAUGUUUAAGGUGAGAGCUAAAUUUCCACUAAUUCAUCUUAGACGAGGAGGAUUUAUUAGAUCCAACAAAUAACUUGUUUGGAGAUUUACAAUAGCUAGUAGAGAUGGCUAAUUUAGUCUAUAUCCUAUGGUAGGGUGUGGAUUUACCUCUCCACACCAGGAGCUUCAUUAGCACAGAGUCAUAAAGUAGAAUUUGAGGUCUUUUGUGACUCAAAUGAAAUCAUGGCGGAUGUGGGAAGUGCAACCACUUCCUUCGAUCAAUGCAUGGACAAGCUUGGUUUUGGGCAAAGUCACUCUUGGAUAUAGAGAAGGAACAAUACACAAAGGUGAAGAGGCUUUUCCUUAAAAUGUUUGAAUAAGAGAAGGAUCUCUAACAACUCCACACUGAGCUCUUUUCUUUCUGGCAAGCACUAUAUGAGUUUGUUGUCAAGUAUAUUUGGCAAUUCAAGCAACACUAGAAGCUAUGCCUCACUCAAAUCUCAUACCUUAUAAAGACAAUUGUGGUUGCUGCCUUUGUCCAGGGGCUGAAGCCACUCAUCCAACACAAACUUCUCAAGCGUAAACAUACCAAGUGUUGUCCAACUUUUGAGCAUGUCAAGAAGCUUGAGAAGGAGUUUUUCCUCACUCUAGGUAUCUCCCAAGUUGCCCAGUCUCCAUCCAGCCACCUCCUUGAGCAUCCAAUUGCAGCGGUUUCUCACCAACUUACAUUUAGAGUCAUAGAAGAUAGAUUGCCACUAGUGUUGGAAUCUGCCAUUACAAAAUUUCACCAAUACAAAGACCUCUUGCACUAGCAAUAGUAGCUGACUGCCAUUUGUGAGACAAAAAUCCUUAAGCCCCAAAGUGAAGCCAAAAGGGCACCACGUGGUGGUGGCUGAAGCAAAAGCCAAACAAGUGUAAUAAGUUUGGAUUGAAAGCUUCGACUUGAAAGGUCGAGAGCGGGAGUGGAACUCCCAACGAAGUGCUCAAGGAACAAGCACGAAGUGAGCAAUAAGUGAGUCUCUAAAAAAGGGACACAAGAGGACCAACACAUGACACGUGGAGGAGUCUGAGAUGAACCCAAGAUGGAGUCUGAGAUGGACCCAAGGUGGACUCGAGAUGGAGUCCGAGAUGGACCCGAGAUGGACCAGAGAUAGAGUCUGAGAUGGACCCGAGAUGGAGUCCAACAUAGAGUCCGAGGUGGACUCGAGGUGGACUCAAGAUGGAGUCUGAGAUGGAUCCGAGGUGGACCCGAGAUAGAGUCCGAGAUGGACCUGAGAUGGAGUCCGAGAUGGGCCCAAGAUGGAGUCUGAGAUGGAACCAGGAUCGAGAUCGAGACCGAGACCGAGACUGAGACUGAGUUCGUGUCUGAAACCGAGGCUGCAACCGAGACCAAGUCCAAGUUUGAGUCCGAAUACUAAUAUAGGUUGUUGGGUGAAAGCCCAAAGCGAUCAUCCCCCGGGGGGGGGGGGGGGGGGGGCUGCAAGGGGUUCCAAAAGUAUAGUAGGGAGAGUGUGGGGGUUGGAGCCUAGUGGAGCCAGUUUGGCCUAGGAAGGCUGUACCCAGGUGUUGGGUGAUGAGCUGACCACUGAGAAGUUCAAGACUAGAGUGCAUACAGACUGACAAGCGGGGUAGCUUGGUGAAGUGUUCAAGAGCCGGCUCUAGUUCCCCCGAGAGAUCGAAUGGUCGAUGCUCCCAAUCCAAGUGUGGGUGGCACUACUUUCUUGGAUACCGGGCAUGGCUCAACGGGACCUCGCUCUAAGCCCAUGGCUAGAGCACCCAAAGGUGGAAGGCAGGGAAAGUACUCAUAAGGCCCACGUAGAGCUAUGGUGUUCCGAAAUGUUGUCCCAAAGUCCCAGACUGUGGAAAGGAAGAGGAGUAGCCCUUUGGUGUGGUGACCAAGGAUACAGACACACAGUGAGGAAGUCCCAGAGGACAGUGGGACUUAGUGGUCAAGCCUGUGGGCCUUAAUCUAGUGGCAGUGUUGGCAAACACAGCCAUGGACAAAAAGGGAUUUGGUGGGGACUGGAACGGAGAUAUUGGGGAAGGCUAUUCCCCAUAUCUAUAGGCAUGAGGGAGGUUGUGAGUGAGAUUUCUCCUAGUGGUCGGAGAGGUGGUUAAGUGACUAAUGUAGAAUGGAAAAAUUAGUCGCUUAUACCAUUCUCAAUGAACUUAAGGCAUUGAGACUUUGGCAAAAAGAUACAACGUCAAGACGACCCUAUUAUUGGUGUACCCAUUGCAAGACCAAUACAUACUCAAUAGAAUGGUGUUAUCGCCUCCAUUUAGAGCUUUGACCUCCCAAGAGCCAACAUGUCUGAAAGUAUCCCAUUGUUGAUAACUCUACACUUUGGCCACCUCCAGAUGGAUAUCAACAGUAACUCCAACAACAUGUAAUUGAAGCUGCCCCAUCAGCUCUCCAUGUAGCAAGACUCAAUUGUUUAACAAGUACCAAAUCCAACCAUUGCAUGCAAGUUACCCUUUAAGUCGACAUUUGCUAGAUUAUAGUACACGUGGUUUUACCCUUUAUCCUACGGUGAUUUACUAUAGGAUAACAGCAUAAAGUAGAACCUAAACCCUCUAUAUGCCAUGUGUUAUAUACUAUAUGUCAAAUGCCACAUGUCCAUAGGAUAGUGGUGUGGAACUUGAGGUUCAGGGCAUUGAGCCACUGAAUAAAGGAACGGUACCAAACUCCUAAACAUGGAGCUAAAGAGUGACGAAACCAUACCAUAUGGCAACUUUCGAGCAUAUAGCCCAAGGAGUGAAAGGAUAGGAGCCUAGAGCAAUUUGGAAUAGUCCUAGAGCAAUCAGCAUCCCAAUGCCAGAACUAGCACGCAAAACGGAGCCAAACGGAGCCAAAUGGAGUCUGGUGCUAUUUCGGCAUACCAGUGGCCUAAUGCAAGGACAUGGGUACUCCACUAGCUAGCAUGGUGUAGAACUUGGGUUUAGACCCAAGCCGGACGCAGAACAAGGAUAAGCACACAAAAGGGAGUUAGUAUCUUUAGAUUGCAAAUUUAGACAUGGGACGAACACCAUUGUGUUUAGGACAAUCUUUACAUUUCAUAAACAUGCCAAAUGAGCGAAUAUAGACACUUUCCAUAAUUAGUAUUUGGGACCGAAAUAAAACUAACAUAAAGGGCAUGAUAGUGAGGGUGUUUAGUAGACACAAUAAACUAUCAUUUAGUGAAUAUUGUAAAACCAAUAUCAAUAUUGUGGGGGUUCUUGAUACUAGCAAGUGCAAGCCAAUGACACAAGUUUCUCAAACCAGGCCAAGUAUGGUUAGCAAGAAACACAUAGGGUUCCUACCUUUAUAUUUAUCCAAUUUAAAUGCAUAUUCAUUGGCCAGUUUCUCAACUAGCUCAAGUGGAAAUUAAUAACAGGUCCAACAAUACCAACCUCUUGCCGUCGUGGUAGUGGACUGUCCGACAGGUAACUUUCGAUACUUGAAGUCACAUUUGCAAUAUAGAUCCCUUAUAGUUGAUGUUGGACCUUCUUUGCUCUACAGCACAUCUUCUCUAGGCUUAGCUAGUACAUCUUCCAUGACUCUUACCACAUCUUGAGCUCUUCCAACAAAUGUCAUGCAGCAACUAUUGCAUAGCUUAGUCACCCUUUCAUUCGAACAACUUUUGCAAUCAAUCCCAGGAUUUGGACAGCAGCUAGAAGCUCUUGUAUGUUCUAGCCAACAUGUUAUUCGUGCUAGAGAAGAGAUCCACAUUGUGGAUACCACAACAAUACAAGAUCUAGGACCUUUUAUGGCAUAAGUCACUCUAGGAGAUACUAUUAUAGAAGAAACACUCUUAGAUUUAGGAUCAAGAAGUAAUGUUAUCUCCUUGGCAUUGGCAAACUUUGUUGGGUUAUAGAUGCAAAAAAACACAACCAGCAUCCUUAAAACCUUUGUAAACCAUACCAUGAUCUCUAUGGGCAUAUGCCACUAAGGGUUGAUAUCAAUCCAAGGGAUCUCAUUGCUGGUGGAUUUCAUGGUGGUGGACUUACAGCAUGUGAACUCCCACUCCCUUACCAAUCUUAUCAUCUUGGGAUGCAUAUGGCACCUCCAAGUAGAUGUGGAGAAGUAAUAGAAGCAGGGAAUGAUGCAAAUUAGUGAUCACAUCAAAAUGACUAAGCUGUACUAUACCCAUGGCCACUCCUUGCACAAGACUACUACUUCUACUAGUGUUGGCUAUGGCUGCUUCUUGAGGAUAGCUUUGUAAACUCUCACUCGACAAUAGUUGGAAAUGACUCAAAUCACUCAUAAGUCACUGUGAAAAGCCUACUAGCUGGAAGGUACCCAUAGAGGAUGCUUGCAAUGUUGCCCAAUCUGUUGUUGUUGGAACUUGAGCCAUCCAUUUUGUAGCUAUGCUCUGUAAUGUGGCUGGUAAAAGUUUCUUGCAAUCUGUUGCAUCUACCUUGUCAUUUUCUAUGGAUGUAUUCUCGAACACUAUCACAUGGGCAUCUAGAUCUCCCAUACCAUUGAAGAUGGUAUACUUCAUCUUUGUCGUUGCCAUAUUCCCUAUUUGUUGUUGUUGAGGUUGUUGUACUUGUUGGAUUGGUGGCUGCUACUGCUACUCUACUAGCUGUUGCUGUAGUGGUGACAACUGGAGCUCCUGCCACUCAUCCUCUUGUUCUUGAUUGUUCUCUUACUUAUUAAUAGGACUGCUUGGCCAAGGAUUUGCACUCCUCGCUCUUGGACUCUCGGGAUCAUAAACUAGUGGUAGAUUUCUCACAAGAAUUCUUGCCUCUCUCUCACAUCUUUUCUUCACUUGUCUUUCCUCUCACUCUCACGCUUUUACAAGUCUCACCAAGUACUCUUGACUUUUUUUAUUUAUACACUAGAAAGGAAUGGCUUUGAUCUGGUGAGGGUAGCCCAACUUCUCCUAGCGCUCACCCUUCCACCACAAUCUCCACGCUUGCUUUCGCUUCCAGCUAGUGCACCAAAAGAUGUCACUCCUUGUGAUGACACACCAGCGAAGUGGAAAAUCACUACUGCCUAAACUAAUCCCCAGCCUCCAUUGGCAACCUCUGCUAAAACCUUUAUUAAAAUCUCUACUNNNNNNNNNNNNNNNNNNNNNNNNNNNNNNNNNNNNNNNNNNNNNNNNNNNNNNNNNNNNNNNNNNNNNNNNNNNNNNNNNNNNNNNNNNNNNNNNNNNNCAUCUCACUCAAUCUUAACUUUAAUAAUGUUAAUAUCAAAGCAUCAUUUCAAUGCCAUUAACACCAUAACAAAACUAAUGAAUUAAUUGUAAGCAACUAAAUUUUCCAUUUUACUUUAGUCACUUAACCACACCUUCGACUACCUUGGAGUGGGUCUUACUCCCAACCUCCAUAAAUCUUAUUUUUGACUUGGGGAUAUAUUAACCCUGUGAAUAGCAUCUAUGCCACUUAGCCUUUGCACUUUGUCUAAGUGCUCCAUGUGUGUGAUCCCAUGACUAACACUCCAAAGGUACCACUAACAUAUCAACGCGUUACACUAAGGCUAUUUUCAAUCACUUUCAUCUCAUUAGUAGUCCAAGACCACCCAUACCACAAACCUAUCUCCCAAAAUCUAGGCCAUCUAACCACAAGUGGUCAUCCUCUAACCACAUCUUAGCACCCUUAGGAUGUCUAGAGAUAUGGGGAACACCCUUCCCCAAUAUCCCUCCAUCAGUGCCCACCAAGUCCCACUUUAUCCUUAGCAGUGCUUGCCAAUACUACCAUUGAGCUAGGGUCUGAAGGCUUGGCUACUAAGUCCCAUUGACUUCUGGGACUUCUUCACCACGUGACUAUAUUUUUGGUCACUACACAAGAGGAUUGUUCCUUUUCCUUUCCAUAGUUUUGAACUCUAAAAUAAUAUUUUAGAACAUUGUGGCCUUAUGUGAGCAUCAUGGGUACUCUCCCCACCUUCUGCUUUUGGGUGCCCUAGCCAUAGGGCUAGAGCAAGGUUCCAUUAAGCCACACUAAGUAUUUAAGUAAGUAGUGCCACCCACACUUGGAUUAGGAGUAUUGACCAUUCAACCUUCAAGGGGAGCUAGAAUUGACUCUUGAACACUUCACCAAGUUACCCCACUUAUCUGUUCAUAUUCACUCUAGCCCUAGACUCCUUAGUAGUUAUAUCAUCACCCAUCACAUAAGUAUACCCUUCCUUGGUCAUAUUGGCCUUUCUUGGUCAAAUUGGCUCUAUUGAAAUUCUCCCUCUGCUAUACUUUUGGAGCUCACCAAAAUCCCCAAGAUUUGGGAGACAAUUAAUUUGGGCUUUCACCCUUGGACUUGGACUCAAACUUAAACUCGGUCUCAAUCUUGCUCUUGAUAUUGGUCUCAGUCUUGGUCUCAAUCUCAGAUCCAGUCUUGGUUCCCAUCUUAGACUUGACCUUGGACUCCAUCUCGGGUCUAUUUUGGACUCCUUCUUAAACUCCAUCUUGGAUUCAUUUCAGACUCCAUCUCGAGUCCAACUCGGACUCCAUCUCAGACUCCAUCUUAGACUCCUUCUCAGACUCCACCUCAAACUUGAUCUUGACACUUCCACGUGUUAUGUUACAGUCCUCUUUUGUUCCUUUUUUAGAGGCUAGCUUAUUGAUUGUUUCAUGCUCUUUCUUUGAGCACUUCUUGGGAGUUCCACUCCCACUCUUGACUUUUCAAGUUAAAGUUUUUAGUCCAAAUGUGUUAUGUUUGUUUAACUUAUGCUUUGGCUACUAUUAUGUGGCACCCUUUUUGCUCCACUUUGGCAUUAAGGGAUUUGUGUCUCAUAUGAAUCACCACUCAAUACUCUUUAGUAACCAAGUUAACUAAGGUUAAAGAUAUAUUUUUCAAUAUUUAAGACCAAUCCCUUAAUAGUACUUAGCUACAGAUAAUAUAUCAUUAAGGAAUGAAUCACGACAUCCAAGACUUAAUGCAAUCUAACACCACAAACUAAAUGUAACAAAAAAAUAUCAAUAAAGAUAAGAUCAAAAUGCUAAUAUGGAAAAACCAUUUAAAGCCAAUGAUACAAUCCUCUGCAACAUCAUUCAAUAGCAAACCCAUCACUGCUAAAUCAUCAUCGAGUGAAGUAAAUAUCAAUAAUUCAUAAAAAAGUUUAUAGGUAAUAAUUAAUUGUAAAGAAACCUAAGCUCAAGCUCCACACUGCUCUAGUCGAUAGAGUACCCUCUUCCUCGCGUUAGGCCACUAGUAUGCCAAAAUUGUGCUAGACUUUGUCUAACACCAUUUUGAAUGCAAGUGUUGGAUAUGGGGAGCUAGUGUUCAUGGGAUUGUACCGAACCUUUGUUUCAUUCCGUAACAGGCUUGGAGUUCAACUCCAAAUUCAGAUGUGCUACAAAAACUAACAAUCAUUUUUCAACUUGCCUUUAUAAGACUUAAACACAAAACUCUUGUCAACAUGUAAUAUACUUGUCUAACAAGAAGGUAACAUACCAAAUACAACAUAUAAAAACUUGGACAAGUACAGAUAAGAUAAUUACUUAAAUCCAAUCUAACUUGUAAAAAACCAAAGAGAACAUUUUGAGAGAUGAUCUAUAGGGUUUAAAUUUAAAGGGAAAUGGCCCAUGAACAAGAGUGCACCCCUUUUUCCAAUUGAUUAAGGGUUUUAGGAUAUUUGGGGUUAAACAUUUACAUGCUACAUAACUGCGAUAAGCUCACUAAUGCAUCUAACCAAACUUUAAGAAUAACUAAAGAAAUUAACUAUGCAUGAUCAACACUUAGCAGAAACUAAAGUGAAGGCCAUAAAAUGGACUCAUAUAGUACGCAACUGUCGCGAAUGUGACUUUGGUUAUUAAAAGAUACUUAUCGACUAGUCCUUACGAACACUUUCUCUUUACUACCACGACAAUAGAAGGUUGGUACUAUUGGUUCCUUUUAUGAUCUUCACCCAAGCUAAUUGAGAAAUUGUUCAUCAUAUAUGCACUUGACUAGAUGAGCAUAAGGACGGAAUUCCUAGUAAAUGUUAUUUGUCAAGUAUACUUGACUUGGUUAGAGAAACUCAUUCAUUGACUUGUAAUUGUUAGCGUUGGGAACCCCCUCGAUAUUGAGUCUAGUUCCUCAAUACCGUUACAUAAUAGCUUACUGUGUCUGCCAAACACCCUUGCUGUCAUGCCCUUUUUAUUGGUCUCAUUUCGUUCUAUUGGCUAAUUAUGGAAAGUGUCUAGAUUUGCUAAUUUGGCAUACAUAUAGAAUGUAAAAUUGGGCAUGAACAUAAUGGUGUUUAUUUUGUGUCUAAAUUCACAAUCUAGCAUCAUUCCAUAUUUAGUAAGUUUUGAGUCAGUCUCAGAGACUAACUCUUGAUAUUAAGGGAAGCUUGGGGUGAAAGCCCAAAGUGUGGUGGCCUAACACAAGGAGGAGGGUACCUCACUAACUAGAGCAGCAUGGAGUUUGGGCUUAAACCCAAGCUAGACACAGAACAAGGAGUGACACAGCCCAGUGGGAGCCAAAUUAAUGUCUCAAGUGGUCGGAUAUACAUUCCAACCACUAUCUCUACUAUACAUUUGGAACCCCCAUAGCCCCUGCCCCCCCUUGAGGAACACAGUAUGCCAAAAUUGUGCCAAACACCGUCUGACACCAUUUUGCGUGUAGGUGUUGGAUAUGGAGAGUUGGUGCUUGUGGGAUUGUACUAGACCCUUAUUUUGUAGUGCAAUAGGCUUGAAGUUCAACUCUAAAUUCAAGUGUACUACAACAACCUUUUAAUGGACAAAGCUACAAUACAAGUACUAACAUCUCUAUCACAAAUAAUUAAGUUGGAUAUCACUAUCUUUAUGUAAGCUCAUGAGUUUGGACUUCCCGGGUGAUCUUUAUGUAAGCUCAUGAGUUUGGACUUCCCGGGAGGUCACCCAGCCCAGUACUAUUCAAAUCCAAAGACGCUUAACUCCAACUAUCCCAAGACUCUUAACCAAUUGGAAAAGGGGGUGCACUCUUAUUCAUGGGCCUUUUCCCUCUAUAUUUGAACCCCAUAGAUCAUCUCUUGAGUCAUUCCCUUUGGUUGCUUACAAUCCACCACACUUCCCUGCAAGUUCACGCCCUCAUGAACGGAAGUUGAGAGCCAUAGCUCUCCCGAGAGCCUCGCUCUCUUGACACCCUACCCCUCGGGUCGAGCCCAGCGGGAGCAAACUGGACCAGCCAGAUGUUAAUCAAUAUGUGGUGUGAUUCCCCUAGCCAACCAACAGAGUCGGACCCGAGACCCCUCUGAUACCAAAUGUAAGCUCCUGAGUUUGGACUUCCCGGGAGGUCACCCAACCCAAUACUAUUCAAACUCAAAGAUGCUUAACCCCAAAUAUCCUAAGACCCUUAACCAAUUGGAAAAGGGGGUGCACUCUUAUUCAUGGGCCCUUUCCCUCUAUAUUUGAACCCCAAUAGAUAAUUUCUCGAGUCAUUCCCUUUGGUUGCUUACACUCGCGUAGACAUGGCUGAUAUGGUAGGCAGGAUCAUCGCGAAAAUGAUCGUCAAUACACUUCAUCCAAGCUCCAUAUCGGUGGUUACCGUCAAUAAUUUGGAAUAUUGUCCCUGCAAGCUGUCGAGUCUCAGGAUGUCUGAUAAGCAUGUCAUCAAAUUCUAGGGACUUCCUCCUCCAAAUAGGAUCCCAGCUAUUCACAAUCUCGGGUGUGACAGUAAUGAUCUCCGUUGUUCCUGGCUUGCAAAAAGAGACUAGAAAUGUACUGAUAUUUGUUGCAAGGCCAUUCUGUUUGAACAAGCUAUAUAUAUCCAGGUUGACAUACUUGGAUGCUGUGCAGACAAGGUUCGUUUGCUGCAAACGGCAAAGGAGGAUUUCUCUGAUCAAGUCACAAAGGCUUGGCCACUUGAGCGCCUUAAGUGUUUGAUAAACUACUUUUUCCCUUGUCCGCAUAACAGUCUCUUGGAAGCGCUUGUCCACCACGUUGUCAGGAAGGUUUGCAACUCUUUCAGCUCCAGGCUGUUCCUCAGGUUCCCUAUCGUGAACAACACUAGAUUGCCCAACUUCAAGGAUUUGUGUUGGUGGUGGUGGUGGUGGUGGCGGGGGCAGAGGCAAUAGUGGCAGUGGUGGUGGCAAUGAUGGUGGUGGUGGUGGUGGCGGCAGGGGCAGAGGCAAUAGUGGCAGUGGUGGUGGCAAUGGUGGUGGUGGUGGUGGCGAUGGAGGUGGUGGAGGUGGUGAUGGAGGUGGUGGAGGUGGCAAUGGCGGUGGUGGAGGUGGUGAUGGUGGAGGUGAUGGUGGUGGAGGUGGUGAAUCUCUAACUAAAUGUGUCUUUGUUGUGCCAAUGGACAUGUCGAUUGUGAUGUCGUCGUCAGUGCCAAAUUGAGCUUCUUGUGUCUUCUUGGCUCCAACAACCUUUUUAUGUGUUACAAUUUUCCUUUUCUGCAAGAGAAAAAAUUUUGUUAGUCAAACUAAAUAAAGAUAAUGAGAAAUUUAAACAGUUAAAGAGAAAAAAAAUCAAGUGGGCCUAGACUCCACCUCGGGCACUUUGGUUGCCCAGGCAGCCACCAAAGUGCCUGAGGUGGCUGGCCCGAGCUCGACCUCGAGCACUUUAGGGGCCGGAGGGACCAAGGUUAUUUGAAUAACCUCGGCCCCCUGGGCAACCAAAGUGCCCGAGGUGGCCGGCCCAAGCUCGACCUCGGGCAGUUUUGCUCGCCAAGGGGCCAAGGUUAUUUGAAUAACCUUGGCCCCUCAGCCAGCAAAACUGCCCGAGGUGGCCGGCCCGAGCUCGAUCUCGGGCAGUUUUGCUCGCCGAGGGGCCGAGGUUAUUUGAAUAACCUCGACCCCUCGGUAAGAAAAACUGCCCGAGGUGGCCGGCCCGAGCUCGACCUCAGCCAGCAAAGAAGCAAUCAAGAAAAAGAAAGGGAAGCAAUGGAAUCAAAAAAUGGAAGUGGAAGUAAUCAAAUCAAAACUCACCUUUGGUGGCAUCUUUCCUCUUUGGAUUUCUUGAUCAUGCUAGAUUUCUUUUGCGCUCAAUCUCUCCCGCUCGCGCACUCAAUCUCUCCUGCUCACACACUCAAUCUCUCCGGCUCGCACGCUCAAACUCUCCCACCCGCGUGCUCAAUCUCUCCCGCUCGCAUGCUCAAACUCUCCCGCUCGCGCGCUCAAUCUCUCCCGCUCAUGCUCUCAAUCUCUCAAUCUCUUGUGUGCUCAAUUGCUCGAUCUCCUUUGCGCUCAAUCUCUCGAUCUCUUGCAUGCUCCACUCACGAUGCGAACAGUAACCUAAUCUUGGCAGCUACCCUAACCCUAAUCCUGAUGGCUGCCCUAACCCUAACCAAUCUCUAAUCCUGGCCGUUCAUUCCGAAUAACCUAAAUCUCAACCAUCACAAUAUCUUUGAUCUUAUUUUAUCUUAUCAUUAUUAUUAUAUGUAAAUUAUGCUUCUUUAUUUUGUAUAUUUUAAUGAUGGUAUAACUAGCACCUAUCAACAUUUCUGUUAUUAGAAAUAUGAUAUUAUAUUUUACAAAUUAUCUAGAAAGGAUGCAUUCUCAUCAAUAUUUUGUACAUAUUUUGGAAUCGUUACAAGAACUUCAAAGAGUAUAAAUAAGGCACGUUAAAAUAUGUUGUACUAUAUCCAUCUAUGAAUGGAUGAAUCCUCAUCCAGAAAUUUAUUUUGUGUUGUAUUAGAUCCUAAACAAUAGGCACGUGCUUUAAAUGUCAUUGAGCAAUGUUCACAAUUAUGGAUAAAACUUGAGUUGUACUACAAAUCAAAUCUGUCAUUGAAGAAUAAGAUUUGACAAAAUUUAUUAUCAUCUACCACUUAAAAUUUGACAACUUGACAUAUCACACGUGCUGAUAGUUAGAUUAGAUCUCUUGGUUUGACACAUUAUAGUAGAAUGUCAUUACUGGUAUCAUUAUUAACUAUCAAACUUCACGUGCUGAAAAUCUUUCCUUGGAUCUAUAUGUAUACAUGCAUCAGACAUCAUAAUAGAUGAAAAUAAUAUUAAUACUGUCACACUUACACAUGUUAAAUUUGCUAUAGAAUUUAAAUUCAUUUUGUACGUUAUCUUCUUAUUACUCUAUUUAAAUUUCAAUUAUGUUUCACUAUAGAUUUUUACAAGUAGUAUAAAGAGAGAGAACUCCAAAACUUAUUGAGAAGGAUGGAGAGGUUUCUUCUUCAUUUUCAAAAUCACCCACCUCUUUCAUUCUCUUAGAGUAUUGUUUUUGAAAGUUUUUUAUGUCAGCGUUUUGAUCUUCAUCUUGGCUCUAUUUCUUUAGAGGCUCCGCAACAACACCGGUAUAGUUGCAUACUCAAAGUUUCUUCUUUCUGGUGUGGGCGAGGGUGGACAACAAUGGGAUUUACAAAAUUCCAAGUCAAAGGAGAUUCGAGUGUUCGGAUCUCCAGUCAAAAUGCCAAAAUGCACUCCAUCCAAAGUGAAUGUGAAGGAAGAGUCAGUCGUUAUCCUCUCGUCCUCUUCUAGUUCAAGCGGAGAUGUCAUGCUAGUGUCAGCACCAAAUUCACUAGCUCCAGCUCCAGCUCCAGCUCCAACUUCAGCAAUAUUCAAAGUCGCUAGCAAUGCUUUCCAGUUUUCACGCCUCUCAAUCGACGUGCACUUGUUUUUGUAUAGGCUUGUGAGUGAGCUUCCAUCCUCCUACAAUGGCAACAUUUUCUUCGAGCUACCACCUCUUGUCAGCAGCACAGGUUCCAAAUGGAAGGGGAUGGAAACCAAGUAGGAUCUCCACAAUUGGUGCAAGAUCAAGACCAUACACUUCCAACAUUUUGAAGGCACAGUGUUUAUAGUUCAUUAUGGCGGGCAUUUAGAUUGUGUGGAUGAAGCAUGUAAUCAAGACCGCUCUAGAAACUCUAUAUUUUUUCAAAGGGUCUAUAGUCAAUCCUUCAGCCUGUGACACCAUUGCUAUUGAAUUCAAAUGUUGAUUCUGCAAAAAUGCUCCUCUAUGUCGUGCUAUCGAGGCCAAGAUGUACUACUUUCUUCCACGGGAUGGAGUGGCUAGAAGAGCUACAGUGCAUAUUAGCACACAUAUGCAUCCAAUGCAGGAAGGGAUACAAAGGAGUUCUCUCAACCGUUUCAAAGAUGCUGUACAGGAAGAGACUAUGAGAAACUCAUCUGCAACUCUGAAGCACGUUCAGAAGACCGUCCUCAAGGAUUUUAUCGCAAAUACCUUACUCAAUCUAGGUUGUUAAAAGACUCAACUAAACGAGGCUAGCUUGCGGGACUUACUACGAAGAAUACAACCUGCUACUAGCUUAAGGAGGUACAUCCGUUAUUUUUCAUAGGUUAUAAUAAUAAUUUUUUCUUACAUUAUAUUGUUUAGGAUAAAAUCUUGGAUGUGUGAAUCUCAAGAGGGGAAGUUGCAAUCAAAAUUGACUCCAUCCUUGAAUUGAAACGGACCUGUCUAUACGAGUUCAUCCACGGAAGUUUGUUUCCAGACCAAGUUGUGAAUGAGCAAGACCGCCCCUUUGUCUUCAAAAUGUCUACCAUGGGCCCUACCUCUGGCGUAGAUCUUGUCUCCCGAAUGGACAUGUUUGGGUCCAGUGACCUUGCAAAUGCAUGGGUACAUUUUGACCAUAUAGAGCGUGUAUCCGGUUGGACAACCAUGGGAACUCAUGUGUAUGAUCCAAGGUAAUUUUUAUUCUCAUUAUAUUGAAAUUGUUAUAAUAUUUAUGUUUUUAUAGGCUAUGUUGUAACUUAACAAUUGCGAUAGUAGAGUUUAAAGUACAAGACCAGACAACACAGGAAAUAUUUUGGAAGUCCCUCUCUGAUAUUGUCCUAAAGCGGACUGAUAAGCCUGCAAACGUUUGUGGUUUCAUGGUAGAUGGGGCUGGUGCAAAUUGGAAUGGUAUCCGAGUAGUUUUUGGGAAUGGUUAACCAUUGGAAGGUCAUGAGAGGACUUGUGAGUUCCAUUGGGCUCAAAGCCUAAACCAGCACUGCCACCUUAUCAAGCCAAAGUUUUAAUCAAUAUUUAAGGAGUUGUGCAAACAAUGGUAGGUUGCACCUUCUGAAGAAGAGCAUGAGGCAAAAGCAAAUGAGAUCCGAAUGUGGUGGCAUGAAGAUGGCCAUACAAACAUAAGUUGCCUACCACAACUCAAGUCAUGGUUAGGAUGGUGGGAAGUUAGGAUGUUCCAAUGGGGACAUCACUCUUUUCAGGUUGGUUUAUAUUUUUUCUUCUCCUUUUAUUACCUUUUAAUAUUGCCUUUUCCAUUAGGAUCAACCACUUGAGGACCUUGCAUACACCCCAACUAUGAAUCUCUCCGAAAGUAAGCAUUGGAGUUGGCGUUCCUCUGAGGCAGGGAAAGGGAAGAUGAGUCUAUACAAAGCCUGUCUAUCAGAUUUGAUACGUGUUAUAGAGCAAUCUUCAAAAGCACUGGCAUUCAAGGAAGGAAGAUACAUGGGAACAGGGCCUUCUGUUGAGAUGUUACAUGAUAGGAUGAAGAGAAAAUUAACUCCACCCGCCCGAACAGUGACAACUGUAGUUGAGGAAGUGGUCCAUGGCACAUCUAUGGAGUACACUCCCCGAGCUUCUAUUGGUGAUAUGAAGACUAUCCGCUCAAAGCGUCGUUUUUCCUUUGCUAGGGAAGAUGUUGGUACGGACCUUGGAGCCAAAAGCUCUCACAUGCCUAAUGUCAAGUACCAUUCUACUCCAAGACACCACUCUCGGACCGAACCACCUCAAGUGGCUGAUGAAGAGAGUGCAUCGCAACAAGUUGAAAUUGCUUACCGUAGCAUGGAGCUGAAGCAAUGGGCAAUCCGACGCGUGCCAGCAAAAUCGAAUGUAAGGUGUGUGGGGAUGCUUCCGAGGGGCAAUUGUUGGGCCUGGAUUCGUGGUGAAAAAUCUGCUUCUGUUCCAGCCCCAUGUUUCUAUGGGGAACGAAAGCAAGUAGGAUUUUCAAGAUGGUGCUGGCUAUAUUAUUGCAAUACCGACACCAACCAUACAAAGCGGCUUGAAGACACUAUAGUCACUAAACCUGAUGCAGUACUUAAAGAAUGGCCAGUUGCUAAUGGGGUCACACUCACCUCAGAUGAGAUUGAAAACCUUGAGAAAUCUGGUUUUAAUCUUGAGAGGAGAGUUGGAGACAUGAGUGACAGGAGCAAGACUAUUCCUAUAGAGAUGCAUAGGAGGCCAGCACAAAAAGAUAAGGCAGUUAAAUUUAUUGGUACCGUCUACAAGCAGAAGCAAGGUAAAAUAAACUUGGCUCAAACACUUGAGUGUAAAAUUCUCUCCACGAAGUACAUCACUGCGCUUGCAAAGGAGUACACAGUCAAAACAGAAGGUGGAGAAUACACAAUUGCCAUUCACGACUUUCCUUCUUGCACAUGUCCAGACUUUAUGAAGCGCGAGGAACAUGGGAAGGCAUAUGCUCUUUACAAUCAUAUGUACUACAUCUUCAUCAACAUCUUGCACCAGGAUCCUAAAGUGGAUAUUCAUAUACACCAAGCAAAUUUUACUAUUGCUGAGUUGCAGAAAACUUUUGGAGCUAAUUAGAUUUCUCCAACACUAUCGAUGUUUAUUCUCCAUCAAUAAAACUUAUUAUACUUUAUAUAAUUAAUAAAAAAGUGCUUUUUCAUUUCACUUUUCAUUUUAUAUGCUUCCGAGUGUUCUUCUCGCAAUACUACCCAUAAUACUCAUGUGUCUCCAUUUUUGUCUUUACCAUCUCAAAAAAGAUUUCAUGGUAGUCUUUCGAAUGCGUGAUGUUGUAGUGUGUCACAAGAACAUAUAUACCAUCAUACUGAUCAUUGCCAUUGUUUCCACCAGACGCUAGAAAACAUAUGGGGCACUUCUUGAAAGUGGUAAAAUUGCACUUUUCUAAAACAAGUAAGAGGGCAUUCUUUUUCACCCAAUUUGUUGCACCCUUUGUCAUUGCAUUUAUCUCCAACUCAUGAUCACUAUCCUCACUAUCCUCUCUUUCAUUCUCUUGUGUGAUUUGGUUAUGCUGUGCAAUGGGAUAGUUAUUGCAUCUCCUAGCCCUUGAACCCUGGGAAGAAAGAUUGUGAGAGUUAAAAUUACCAACACUAGAACUCAUAGACAUUUGUGGGUGUAUUUCCCUUUUUUCGAAUGAGAGUGUGAAUAAAGAUCUAUAAGUUCUAGACAGUAUGUUAUAACAAACCCCUCAAGAAUGUAUUUUACAAAGAACCAAGUCUUUCUUUUAUAUGCAAUAAACUUAUAUCAACAGUUAUUUUUUUUCCUUUCAAACGGUUAUAUGGCUUUACAUAGAAUCUUAUUUUAAAUUUAACAAUUUUUUAAUUCUGACAAACCUAACAUUUACUAACCAGAAAGCAUAGAGUACAAAUUUAAAGAAGUGACAAGAAUACUCUUUUUGCAAAUAUUUUAUUUUAUGUUCUAACAAAUGUCCCAAUCAUUGCAUGUAGUAAAUAUUUAAAUUAUUAGAACAAAAAGUGUUCUUUAGAACAUUUUUAUCUAUAUAAUAUAUAGAGAGUUAUUAAAUUAUUAGGUUUGCCAUAACCUUAAAAUUUUAAAAUUUAUAAUGUUUGUACUAAAUUACAAUUGAAAAUUGAGCUCAACUUGUGAGCUCAACUCUUCAACUCGUGAGCUCAAGUAUGGUCCGCGCCCGAUCAUAGGUUAGGUGAUUGAGAGAUCUAGAAGUGUGUGAUGAGGAAAAAAAAUUAGUGAGGGCAUUCUUGAAACUCUGAAGAGAAACUUGGCAAGCUAUAGAGUUCUUGAGACAAGUAGGAUCAAUGCAGCCUUGAUCUAGAAAUCUAAUUUAUGUUUGAUGCUUGAAAGAAAAAAGAAAGAAAAUGGUGAAAGAAUACAAAAAUAAAGAAAGUGAAGAGAGAGAGGAGAAGUUGUCGUGUGAAUGGCUUGAGAUUGAGGGAGCUCAUUGCCAUUUUCAACACAAAAAUUGUAAGAGUUGCCACUGUGAUAUUUCGUGAUGAUGGACUUGACCACUUCUAGUGUGAAAUUGAAAAGGAAAAUGAGCUAGUUUGGAAAAAGUGAGAUGAUAUUGCUGUGUGUUUUUUGUGGAAGAGCUUGAGCUAUUGCUUUUAGACAUAGAGAUUCUUUAGAGUGUGAAGUCAAUCUUUAAUAUCCAAAGCUUAAAGUUCCAAUCACAAGCUUAAAUUUUGUGUUCCUUAUUGAGAUGUAAAGCCACAGCAUAGCAAAGUGGUAUUUGUGUGUGGAAUGCUAUAAGAAGAUGCUUAUGCCAUCAUUGUGGGUGGUUGACCAUAAGUUUGCUGAGAAUUAUGUGAAUGAUUCUGUUGCUAGAUUUGGCCUAAUUGUUCGUAUGGGGGUAAUAAUUGUUACUGAAGGUAUGGCAGAUGUGGUGUAUAACUGCUCUAAAGGAAAUUGCCACCUCAGUCUGAGACUAUUGUAGUUGGAACUCUAAAUCUCCAAAUGAUGAAGUCAUAGAUAAACUUGGAUGCUUUAAUUUGCAACUUGAAAUAUAAUCUCCACAUUAGGUAAAAUAAUCAAUUGUCACUAACAAGUAACAAUGUCUAUGUGAAGAAAGUGGUGACAUCGGGCUAAUAAAAUCUAAGACCUACAUGAAGAAAGGUCUAGAUGAGAUGACAAACUGGAACAUGAGCUUAGGUGUAUUGUUGGCUAAGUUGAGAGUUAUGAUCCACCUUUACAACCACAACAUCUCAAAACUAAAGAUUGUUCUCAUGCCAAUUCCUUGAUAUAGAAUUGUCUAAGUUGUCAUGAUAUUGCUAAAGUGUCUGUCAUAAGAAUAGCAAGAGGAGUAUAUUUGGAAUCUUUAUAUCUACUACACACUGCCUCACUUUAUCCAUUAAUAGAGAGUUUUGUCAAUCAAGCAGUAAUCUUAAGCUUGAUUGCUAAUAUGCAUUGCUAGUCCAAUGAAAAAUUGUCAAGAGCCUAGUCUCCAAGUACUUGGCAAUAUGGUAAGAACUAGAUGAGUGACUAUGGAACUCAUAACCAAAGCCUAGCUUAGAUCAUGUAUACAACAUUGCUUGUGAACAAACUUUGGUUAGAACUCUUGGAUGAAGAUUAUUCCAGCAAAUAUUUCUAUAAAAGUCAUUGCAUGAGAAAUGUUAACAUGCUAGUUAGUUUUAGAAAUGUAAUGUAUGUAAUCAUGGUAUUAUCACCGUAAAUCCUUAGAACCUUGAAGGAUAAUUGGGGAUAAAAUAACCAUUAAAGGCUCUUUCAUCAAGCAAUUACUUUUUUUUCCAACUGGCUUAAGGAAAGAGAUAAGAUACAUUACAACAAAACAUAUAAAAAAUGCUUUAAAAGUAUAUAUAAUUGUAAUUGUAACACAUGUGAUCAUUUAAAUGAGAUUUGGACUGUAGAUCUUGGAACUAAAUAGGGAUAAAAUAGUUAAUAAAUGUUUUUCUAUUAAGCAAUUACCCCCUUUCUAGAGUUUAAGGGGAAAGAAAUAUAUGGUAUUUAAAUUGAUUAGUGGUUAUUUAAAAUAUAAUUAGCUGGGAUCCAUUAGGAGAAGUAUAAAUAUAUUGGGCACAUUCAAUUUUCAAGUAUUGUAGUAUCAAAUAUUAAUUUAAAUAAUCAGUUGAAAGUUAUAAUUGUACUCUAGAAAGCAAGAUGUAUUAAUAAUCAAGGCUAGCUUCGUUUAUCUUGUCUAAGACAUAGUUGAAAUGAAAGAAAAUGCCUAUAUAGAAAGUUCUAUGAGAUUCUAAAAUCACCAUACUAGAGAUGGAGCAUAAAAAAUCUAUAAUCAAAAUUACAAUAUCUACUUGAAAGCUUGAUAUUGAGGGAGGUUUUAGGUGUUCUAGAAUAAACCACCAUUGGUUUUAGAUCAAAGGACUAGGAUAAAAAAUAGGAGUAUUCAAAGUUGGCUUUAUCUUCUAGAUUUCUUGUUUGAUUUUUGAACAAAAAUACAAAAGUGAUGAUAAUAUAGUCAAGAUGCAAUCACUAUAGAUUGAACUAGGAAAGAAGAAAUCCAUUGCUUAGGGUGUCAAUGAGAGAGAAAAAUCUAAAAUUGAAUAGAAGGUAUUGAAGAUUAGAGAAGAACUUAAAGACAUAAAGGGAACAAGCUUUUCUUUAGAGAAAAAAUAGCUAGCUAUAAAAAAAAUAGAUGGAUGUCAAGUGUGCAAAAGUUAAAGUUGAGAUGGUAAAUGCAAUUAUUAUAGCGUGAGGCUGGGCAAGGAACAAGAUACCCAAUUAUUAUUGCAAAUGUGACUCUAGGUAUCGAAAGUUAUAUGUCGAUAAGUCUUUUCAGAUGUUCUUUCUUUACUACCACGAUGGCAGGAGGUCAGUAUUGUUAAACCCUUUAUCAAUCCCUUUUGUGCUAGUGGACUUAAUUAGGCAUUUUAAAUGUAUUUAGACUGGACAAGUAUAAGGAUAGAAUUCCUAUGUAUUAUUAGCUAAACAUAUUUAACUCAAUAAGGAGUUCCUAUCUUGUUAUAUCUUGCAUUAACUAAUGACAAAAACCUAUAUAUUGAGAUUAAUCCCUCAAUAUUGUUGGAUAAUAGAUUACUGUGUUUACUAAACACUUUCACUAUCAUGCCCCAUAUAUUGGUCCCACUAGUCUUAAUGGCUAUUUAUGAAGGUGUUUAAAUUUGUUAGUUAGGCAUAUCUAUAAAAUAUAAAGAUUGUUUUGUUCCUACAUCCAAAUUUACGACUUAACACCAUUUCAUAUUUAGUAAGUUUUCAUGAUUGUCCUAGAGAUUAACUCUUGGGACUGGGGUGAAAGCCCAAAGCAUGCAUUCCUUAAAAAGGGAUUGUAGGGGGUUCCAAAUGUAUAAUAGAGAUAAUGGGUAGGUUUUGCAUGGUCAAUUAACUUGAGAUAUAAUCUAUCUCUUAGUUGUAUGCCUAUCUUUGUUCAACGUCCGACUUGAGUCUAAACCCAAGUUCCAUACCAUACUAGUUGGUGGAGUACUCAUUAUCAGGAAUCCCCCAAUUCUUGCCACAUUUUUUACUCUCGCCGGAUUCCUGACCCACAGACCAUAUUCCUGAGUCUCGAGACACUUCCCUAUUCCCGACUCUCUGAUUUCCCAUACGAUUCCUGAGUCUCGAACCACAUUCCUGAUAAUGACGUGGCACCUCCUCGACCUCAGCUAUAUUUAGGCCGUCCUCGAUCCAAGAGUGGUGGAGCUUCAUCAACCUAUAGUAUAUAUAGGUUAGCCUUGUUCCAUUUCUCCACAAUCUGAAUCAACGCCAGUCUAAGGCCUCUUCCUCGUUUCCACUAGCUUUUCUUUUUAUCUCCUACAUUUUCUAGUCUUGAUCUUGUUGGGGGUCUUGAUAGUUUGAUUCAGAUUGUGCUUUUUGCUUUUGCUUUAGCUCAUUUUGAUUGUUUGACUGCCUUUGCCUUUUUUCCCCCUUUUCUUUCUUCUUUGCCGAUGGAAUCUCUAAGCCAUCUUAAUUUCUUUGCCGAAGUCCUUGCAUAAAUCCAGUCUAAGAAUACUGAGCUGAAGGUGACCCUUCUUCACAUGCAACAGGAAUUUGCUUCACUUUCAGCUCAAGGAUCAAGCAAAGUUCCUGAACUAAAGGUGAGUUUCCUGGUGAAGUUUUCAAGCAAGCGUUCAGAGCUUCGCAGAUUCCUGAACCAGAUGGAGCUGAUCUUCGCACUUCAACAUCGGCAGUACCCCACUCCCGAGUCUCAAAUUGGCGCGAUCGGGAUGUUGCUCGAAGGUGCAGCUUUGUCAUGGUUUUCUCCUCUCCUAGAGAAGAGCAUGAAAGGGGUUGUGGUUCCGAACCUGAUAGAUCUUUAGUUGUUCAAAGAGAAGCUCAAAGCAUGUUUUGGCGAGACGGAUCAGGUUUGGGCUGCCACCACAAAGAUGAGACGUCUCUAUCAGGGGUCUCAUCCUGCCUCGAUCUAUGCUAUGGAGUUCCAACUCCUUGCCUUGGACACUUAGUAGGAUGAGCGGACCCUGAUUGAUCAAUUUCAUUUCGGCCUCAACAAUAGUAUCAAAGGAUUUAUUGCUCACCAUGGAGGAUCCCAUGGACUUGUCAGAUGCCAUUAACAAAGCUGUUCGAUGUGACAAUCGUCUCUUUGAACAUCAUUAGGAAAGUUGCCACACCGCCGUUUUUCCAUCCCAAACUCAGGAAUCCCAGCUUGAGUCUUCAAGGCAUACUCCUGAACCUACUGCUCCAGUCCCGAUGGAUAUUUCCGGUACUCCCCGACUCAUCAGAGGGAAGUUGAGACCUGCUGAGAAGCAAUAUUGAAUAUCUCAUAAUUUUUGCAUCUACUAUGCUGAUCCUAAUCACAAAGUAGCUGUGUGUCCCAAGAAGCCUCCCUGACUGCUCAAGUUCACUCUGCUUCAAAUUCCACCUCUGUUGCAGUCGGGAAACGACCCUGUCCAAAUAGAGUAGGAGCUGUCUAUUUGGACUCUCCGAAUAAAAAUCACUUUUCUUCUUUCUCAAGCUCCUCACCACCUUUCAUCAAAGCCACCACCAAUUCCUGCAACUUCUGCAUCCCAUGUCUCCUUUCUUUCACCGGACAAUUAGGACUCAAGGCUCUGGCACUACUGGACUCAAGUACAACUUCCUGCUUCAUGGACACAGACUUUGUUGCUCGACAUCACAUUCCUCGUUUUCCUACCAUAUGGGAUCUGAGGGUUAAAGGCAUCGGUGGGCAUUUUGUGUCUCCAUCUUCUGGACUUAGGGAAAUGUUGCCUGUUCAAGUACACAUCGGGUCCACCGUCACCGAUAUUGCCUUCAACAUCAUCAACAACAAGUCCUCCUCUGUGGUGCUUGGCCUUCCUUGGUUCCAACUACACUAGCCUCAGAUCUGGUGGAAGGAAUUAUAGCUCGUCUCUCCCACGUCACUAUCUCCCAUGGCUUCCCUUGCUGUUCAUCAAGUUUGAAUCAGGAAUAGUUCCCUAAACUCAACUCGGGGUUCUAUUCCUAACUCUACGAAGUUUUCAUCCUCUUAUUUUCCCUCUCUUCCAUCUUACACUGGAUAGUAUCCUCAUCUCAUCAUUCCAUUCAGUUGUAUGCCUCCUUCUAUCUCCACAAUCACUAUGAAAUAAUUCCUUCAUGAAGAACCUAUUUUCCUUUUUGCUUUACAUGUUUCUCUUGUUAGCUUUCCUAAGAAAUAUCAUGAUUUUGGGGAUGUGUUUGACAAGAAAAAAGUUAGUGUAUUGCCUGUUCAUCGGCCUUAUGACUAUCCCAUUGAUUUACAAGAAGGAGCGUCACCUCCGUGGGGGCCUAUCUAUGGGUUAUCCCUGUUUGAGCUUAAGGCCCUUAAAGAAUACGUGGAUGAGAACCUUGCCUCGGGGUACAUUCAGCAUUCACUGUCCUUGGCUGAAGCACCUAUCUUCUUUGUCAAGAAGAAGGAUGGGAGUUUGCGGCUAGUCAUUGACUACUGAGGUUUGAACAAGGUGACUAUUCGGAACCAUUAUCCGCUGCCCCUAAUCUCGAACCUAUUGGAAUGCCUCGGCGGUGCCCGCUUCUUCACCAAGAUCGACCUUCGUAGAGCAUACAAUCUGAUUGUGAUCCAGCCUGGCGAUGAAUGGAAGACUACAUUCCAAACCCGUUAUGGCCACUUUGAGUAUACUGUCAUGCCAUUUGGCUUGACAAAUGCUGGAGCAAUUUUCCAACACAUAGUGAAUGAUGUCUUUCGAGAGUUAUGGUGAUUGUCUACCUUGACGACAUCCUCAUCUACUCAAAAACUCAGGAGGAGCACGACGAGCAUGUGCACAAGGUGCUAUCAGGAGUCUGUGGAGUUCUUUGGGUACAUUGUUACUCCUGAGGGCAUUACGAUGGAUCCUACCAAAGUCAAGACUAUUCUUGAAUGGGAGCCUUCACAAUCAAUGUCGGACAUUCAGGUUUUUCUUGGCUUCGCCAACUUCUACUACAAAUUCAUUGAUCACUACUUUAACAUUGUCUUUCCUCUCAUUGUAGCGCAUGUGAUUAUAGGAUGAGAUUUGGAUAUUAAGUACACAAUGGAAGGAUUGAUAGAUUGUGUGCGGAAAUGGAGGUGUUGGUUUCCCUUGGCUCAAUAGGCGUUGUUAGUUCAAUAGUCAAUGAAGACAUUGACAUCUCUGAAGGGGGGGUGACUAUAGCGCAUGUGAUCAUGGGAUGAGAUUUUGAUAAUUGUCACCGUGGAUCCUUGAAACCUUGAGGUAUAAAUGGGGAUAAAAUAGCUAUGUGAUCAUGGGAUGAGAUUUAGAUAUAUUGUCACCGUGGAUCCUUGAAACCUUGAGGUAUAAAUGGGGAUAAAAAUAGCUACUAAGGGCUUUUUCAUCAAGCAAUUGCCCCUUUUCCAGUUGGCUUAAGGAGAGAGAGAUAGAGUGUGCUACACUCACGCAUCUCACUUGCAAGGAUGUUCCCUUCUCUUGGUUUACUACUACCUAGUAGGCCUUAAAAUACACUUAAGGCAGCCUUUAAUUCUGCUCCCGUCUUGAUCCACGCUAAUCCUUCACAACCUUUCUUCAUUGAGGCAGAUUCCUCUGACUUUGCCAUUGGUGCUGUGCUGUCUGAACUCGGAGCGGAUCAGGAAUUUCAUCCGGUUGCUUUUCAUUCUCGGAAAUUCUAGUCUAUAGAGAUCAAUUACGAAAUCCACGACAAGGAGCUCCUUGCCAUCGUGGAUUCCUUUGGAGAGUGGUGUCGUUUCUUGGAAGGGGCAAGCCAUCAAACAAUGGUCUGGAUGGAUCACAAAAAUCUCAAGUACUUUGCCACUUCCCAAGUUUUGAGCUGUCAUCAGGCAAGGUGGGCACAAUUCCUAAGUUGGUUUGACUUUGUUAUCAAGUAUAGACCUAGAAAGCUUCAAGGCCUUCCUGAUGUUCUUUCAAGGCGCUCCUAUCUCAGUCUCAAGUCUGGUAAUCCUACCUUCAAUCAACAGGAUCAAGUUAUCCUCAGUCCUAAUCAGCUUCAAGUUAUGGCAAUUUCCCUAGCCCCUCAGAACUCUUCCUUGAUGGAUGCAAUCAGAAAUGAUCUUCAAUUUGACGACCUCACCAGCGACACUUUUCCCCAUCUUCAGGUUGGACACCCAGUGACUCCCGACUGUUGGCGAUUUGACGAGUUCAAGUUCUUAGAUGGCUUGUUGUACCAUGGGGAGUAGCUUUACGUUCCUGAAGGUGAUGCUCAAAAAUUGGUCCUGCUGGUGUGCCAUGAUAGCCCAACUGCUGGUCAUUUCGCCAUUGCAAAAACCUAUGAGCUGGUUGCACGGGACUUUUGGUGGCCCCACAUGGACAACUACAUCAAAGCUUUUGUUACCUCCUGUGACACUUGCACCCAAAAUAAAGUACCUCGCCAUCUUCCUUUAGGUUUGCUUCGUUCCCUCCUAGUCCCUUCAGGUUCUUGGGAAUCCAUCUCCAUGGAUUUCUUGAGUGAUCUUUCGAGUUUUGGAGGUUUCAAUAGCAUUUUAGUCGUGGUGGAUCGCUUCACAAAGAUGGUGCACUCCUGCCAUGUACCAAGGAGUUUUCGAGCGAGGACAUGGCAAAACUGGUAUUUAGAGAAAUUUUCUAACUUCAUUGGAUUCCUACAGAUGUGGUUUUGGAUCAGGGACCUCAGUUCAUCUCUCAUUUCUGGCAACGGUUCUUGCAGCUGCUUGGAGUGAGGCCAACCUCUCUUCGGCAAACUGUUAGACAGUUCGAGUGAACAAUUUAGAUGUUGGAACAAUUCCUGAGGUGCUUCAUCAACUAUCAGGAUGACUGGUUUGAUAUCCUUCCCUUUGCUGAGUUCUCCUAUAACAACUCUGUUUACUCCUCCUUUCGACUUUCCCCCUUCUUUGCAAACUCUAGCCGAAAUCCCCGACUCAAUCUCUCACUUCCUUCUCCAUCCGCAUCCUCUCGUUCAAAUCCCCGCUCUAAGGCAUUUGUCUCCAACCUCUAGGAAAUCCACAACUCCAUCUCCUUCACCUGUAUCGUGCUCAAGAAUCUUGCAAAACAUUUGCUAAUGUCCAUCAUCAAGAUUGUCCCCCUUACAAAAUCGGGGAUAAAGUCUGGCUUCUCAGGCGAAAUAUCUCCACCACCAAGCUAUGUCCCAAACUUGAUUUUAAAUGCCUCGAUCCUUUCCCUAUCACUACCAUCAUUAAUCUUGUCACUUAUCACCUUGCACUUCCCUCCUUAUAUCAAAUUCACCCUGUUUUUCACUCCUACUUCCUUGAGCCUUAUAUUCCCAGUCCUAUUCCAAAUUGGGUCAUUCCUCUGCCUCCACUAGUGCAGCUCGAGGAUGGGCUUGAGUACGAGGUCCAGAACAUCUUUGAUUCCAAGAUCUCACAGUCUAAACCCUACUAUCUGGUAGACUGGAAGGGUUACGGACUUGAGGAACGCACUUGGGAAUCUACGGACAACCUGAUUCAUUCUUCUGACCUUGUUCAGGACUUUCACCGCCGCUAUCCUUCUUGUCCUAGUCCUCAUUCUUUUCAUUCUCUAUCUCCUGUCCCUCGUUGCCCAUCUCAUCCUCCUCUUUGUUCUCAUUUACAUCCUCAUUCCACUCGUUCUUGAGGAGGGGGUGCUAUCAAGAAUCCCCCAAUUCUUGCCACAUUCCUGACUCACCAGAUCCCUAACCUGCAUACCACAUUCCUGACUCUCGAGACACUUCCCUAUUCCUGACUCUUUGAUUUCCCGUACGAUUCCUGAGUCUCUGUAGUGCACCUUAUCUCUUUCCCCUUAAGCCAACUGGAAAAGGGGCAAUUGCUUGAUGAGAGAGCCUUUAGUGGCUAUUUUAUCCCCAUUUAUCUCCCAAGGUUCCAAGGAUCCACGGUGACAGUAUAUCCAAAUCUCAUCCCAUGAUCACAUGCGCUACACUCACCCCCCCUUCAGAGAUGUCAAUGUCCUUAUUGACUAUUGACUAACAACCCCUACUGAGCCAAGGGGAACCAGUACCUCCAUUUCCGCACUCAAUCUACCAAUCCUUCCAUUGUGUAGACUAGCUAUUCCAUGUGAUACAACUAGUCAUCCACCCGUACCGCAGUCCCACUGUGGAUACCUUCGUCCGUGGAUACUCCACACAAGAGGAAGGAUGUACGCAUGGAUGCCCAAUACGUACGAUUUCAAAUUUAGGGGUAGAAAUAUACCUUGCUCAAGGGUAUAUUAUACUUUUAAGUAGCCACUAAUCAAUGGGAAUCGAACCCGUGCCAUUUGCUCCGAUACCAACUGUAGUGCACCUUAUCUCUCUCCCCUUAAGCCAACUGGAAAAGGGGCAAUUGCUUGAUGAGAGAGCCCUUAGUAGCUAUUUUAUCCCCAUUUAUCUCCCAAGGUUUCAAGGAUCCACGGUGACAGUAUAUCCAAAUCUCAUCCCAUGAUCACAUGCGCUACAGUCUCGAACCACAUUCCUGAUAAUGACGUGGUGCCUCUUCAAUCUCAGUUAUGCUUAGGCCAUCCUCGAUCCAAGAGUGGUGGAGCUUCAUCAACCUAUAGUAUAUAUAGGUUAGCCUUGUUCCAUUUCUCCACAAUCUAAAUCAACAUUAGUUUAAGGUCUCUUCCUCGUUUCCACUAGCUUUUCUUUUUAUCUUUUGCAUUUUCCAGUCCUAAUAUUGUUGGUGGUCUUGACACUCAUAUCCUCGUGUUAUGCCAUCAGUAUGCUAAAAUAACAUCAGAUUCCAUUUGGCUCUGUUUUGUGUGCUAGUACUAGCAUUGGGAUAUUGGAUGCUCUAAAACUAUUCUUAUAUCACUUUGUGUUACUGUCUUUUUGCUCUUUGGGCUGAACGCUUGGGAGUCAUUCCAUAGUUUGAUUUCUUCAUUCCUCGGCUAUAUAUUUAGGAGUUUAGCUCUAUCUCUUUGUUCAAUGGCCGAAAGCUCUAAAACUUGAGUUCCACUUCACUACCUUUUGACAUAUGGCUAAAGGUUUAAAUUCCACUCCAUGGUUAUCUUAUAGUAAAUCACCACAGGAUAAAAAGUGAAAGCCACAUAUGUUACAUUGGGUAUCAUAGAAAGAGUCUUAGUAAAUACUAUUUAAUAAGAUUGGGCAACUAGUCUCAUUGCAUAUGCAGAGAUGAAAACAGUUAUCUGAAUGGGUACACAUUUGGGUGUUAUGACUUUGCAUUUGUUCAUUGAGUAGGGAUUUUAAUUUCCUUUUUGUACUAGAUUAUAUUAGCUUUUGCUUGGGGUUAUAAGAUGGAUGUGAGAUGUUUCAAUUGCAUGAGUUUUCACUUGGGCUUGUAAAUAAGGUGCAUUAGCAACUUAAGGUUAUACUUUGAGUUAGCAAGAUUAAUAUUAGUCUAUUGGUGGUUACUAUGAAUUGUGUGAGUAAAAGUAAACCUCCUCUAUGUUUGCUAUAAGUGGCAAAUAAAUUUGUUCAUAGCUAUUUAGUAUGGCACUAAUGGAUCCUUCUUAGGCAUAAUUAUAAGUGGAUUAAUCAAAACUAUAGGGAUUAGUCUAUUGGUUCAAGUAAUUAUUACUAUGCUUUCUCAUAAACUUUUCUUAGAUUGGACUAAAAGCAUACAAAUCAUUUUCUCUUCUUGAAGAGAUGAUUUGCAAUGCUCUUUAAAUAAUAUAGAGUUAGAUUAAUUUUGAGUUUGAUUGGAAAAAGAGUGGCAUAAGCUAUAAAAGUUAGCAGUGUUAGGUGUUGUAAAUUUUUAUUAGUGAGGUGUGGCAUUUAUAUUGCAUUUUAUCGAAUAGAGUUGAUAUUUGAUAUUCACAUAAAUCUUUGUAAUAAUGAUAUAGGUGUUGUUCAUGAUAUUGCUCGAUUGAUGAUAUUGUGAUAUUUAUAUCAUAUCUAUGUGAUCAUGAGUAAUGUGUUUAUGAAGUAGUUUGAUCAAAUGAUGAUCAACCCUAAAGUGGUUGAUAAUGAUGUUGCCUACUUGUAUGUAGUAAUAUUGUAGUAACUUUAACUAGAUUCUCAAGAGUGAUUCAUUAUAUACUAAGCUAAUGUUAAUACCUUGGUUCCUUAAGGGUUUGCCCAUUGAAGUUUUAGAAAAGGGUUAAAGCAUUCAUUUGCUAUAACUUAUUGGUUAAUUCGUUAACACUUGGAGUAAGUUGUUGGAUAGAGAAAGUGUAUAGUUGAAGUAUUGACAUUACUAACAUUUAUGUUAGUGGAAGUAACAUUGGUUUGUCGAGUGAUGAAGAAUUGCCCUUGGAACUUAAUUUUCAUGUUAUUUUCUUUUUUAGUGUUUUGGUUUCACAUUUGAUCUUGAAGGUGAUUGAAGAAGAGUGUUAUGACAAUAUUGAUAUGGGAAAAUAUGGUCUUUAUGAUCCAAUUUUGGAUGUUCAGUUUGCAUUUUUGCAAAUAUUGGUCUUGAAUAUUGGAUAUAUAGGCAUGAUGUUUAAUGCUUAAGCAUGUUGUUAUUUUAUAAGAAUUUAUAUUGAAGUGAACUUAUAUAAAAUUUUAGGUAAGAGGAAGUUGGUUGAGUCUUGAGAAUUUGUAUUCCUAACUAAAAUUCAUUCAUUCUAUAAUGGAAAAUUUUUCUUCAAUUUUUUAAAAACUUUUCUAAUGGUUAAUCUAUUAAUCAUUUUACUCAAAAACCAUUUCAUUUGCAUGAGCCAUUACUAGUGAAACGGUUAGAAUUGACUUUGGUUGGAUUAAACCUUAGUAAGUAAUUUAUAUGAUGCGGCUUAAAAGGGAUGUUGACUUUUGGGGUUAAUGCAAUUGAGUUAAAUAAAGUCUGGAAUUGGUAUAGAAAAGUGGCUGUUGUGCUUUUCUAAAAAGAUGAUUCUUGUGCCUUUCUUUAAUGGCAGAUUGCAUCUUAUAUUUUGUUAAAUUUUAUGAGAGUAGUGAACUUUCACUAAUCUUGACUUUAAUAUUGGUGACUUUACUCUUUGGCUAAAGUGUAAGCAACCAAAGGAACGACUCGAGAGACGAUCCAUGGGGUUCAAAUAUAGAGGGAAAGGGCCCAUGAACAAGAGUGCACCCCUUUUUCCAAUUGGUUAAAGGUCUUGGGAUAGUUGGAGUUAAUCGUCCUUGGGUUUGAAUAGUAUUAGGUUGGGUGACCUCCCGGGAAGUCCAAACUUAGGAGCUUACAUUUGGUAUCAGAGCGGUCUCAGGUCCGACUCUGUUGGUUGGCUAAGGGAAUCACACCACAUGUUGAUUGACAUCUGGCUGGUCCAGUUUGCUCCCGCUGGGCUCGACUCGAGGGGUAGGUGUCAAGAGAGCAGGGCUCUCGGGAGAGCUGCAACUCUCAGCUUCCGUUCACGAGGGCGUGAACUUGCAGGGAAGCGUGGUGGAUUGUAAGCAACCAAAGGGAACGACUCAAGAGACAAUCUGUUGGGGUUCAAAUAUAGAGGGAAAGGGCCCAUGAAUAAGAGUGCACCCCUUUUUCCAAUUGGUUAAGGGUCUUGGGAUAUUUGGGGUUAAGCGUCCUUGAGUUUGAAUAGUACUGGGUUGAGUGACCUCCCGGGAAAUCCAAACUCAGGAGCUUACAGCGAGGGGACCUUUAGAUGUCAACAAACUUAUCUUGGCCUGCCAAAAGAUCAAUACGUAAGUUUUAUAAUUUUACCUCUAACUCCACUUUAACUUGUUUUGUUGUGUUUAAAUGUAGGCUUGGGCAAUUCGCUGUUCAAAAACAAAACCUUGUCCAUGAUAUCGAGCAACUUUGAUUUUUGGCAGACUUGAGUGAGGAUGACAUCCGCCAACAUUAUGGUGAUGAUCUCGCAACACUUGUUCAGCACUCAUGCACUCGAAAUGACGGUACAACUUGGUUCAACAACCCAAUCAGUUUUAUGCUCACUGUGUGGUAUAAGGUAUGUCUUUCCCUUUUAUUUUAUAAAAGCCUCUUUUAAUUGUUUUGGUUUUUAUCCUUUGGUGAAGGUCAAGUAGGAUGCUUAUGAACUUGUAUAUCCGGAAAAGAGUCGGGAAGAGCUCUCAGCUGAGUUUGUACAAAUUGAGCACAAAAUUUAGCAUGCAAAGUCCUCAAAGUUGAAGAAACUAGUAUGCAUUGCAGACAAUCGCAGGCCGAAGGAGUGGCUAGAGACUAUAGCCGAAAUUUCUUCUCAUGAAUGUAAGUUUCUUAUCACACUUCAUUUUUCUUAAUUAUGCAUAUGUUACUUUUGUAGUGAACAAAACUCUAGAUGACAUGAUUUACAAUAUCGCAAAAUCGAAGCUUCCAUAUAAGCAACAGAUAGAGACUCUGGAGUUCCUCAAUGUCUGCUUGAUGAACAGAGAGAAAGGACUGCCAGAACUAUUUUGAACAUGAUGAGAAGGGUUGUUUACAUUACUCAAACUAUAAGUGAAGGUGAGAAGUUCUUGGCACCACACAUUGGUGACGAUCCAAAUGGCACAUUCAUGUCUUUCGACACCUACAUCAACACGUCAUUGGAAGGGAUCAAAGAGGGGUGGUUGCCAGAGAAGUCUACAAGCACAACAACUUAUGAUUGCCAAUAUGGUCAACCUUAUUUCAUGCGACAUGCAGCUUAUAGGUAUAAUAUGAUUUCUAAGACUGUUUUUUUAAUAUAUAUUGUUUACAGGUAUCUUCGAUACAGAGGCAUCCCAUUUGAGGCACCAGUUUGCACUCGACUUGUUGCAAAGGGUGUAAGGGAUGGAGGAAUGUACCCAACAAUGUUUGCAAGAGAUCCGAAGGCACGGAAAAUAGAAUGCCCUUGGGAGUUGGAGCUCCUAGGGGAGGAGACCUCUACACUAGAUCGCGAGGAAAUUAUCAAUGCUAGCAAUGAUGGCAAUGCAAGUGACGAUGGAGACGAGGAUGAGGAAGCUCCAGAUCAAGUUCGUGUUCCACCAUCAGACAGUCAGGAACAGGCUCCAAUUCAACCAUCAAACAACCAAGAUCUGGAUCAAGUUCUACCAGUAAAUAACGAUGAUCAAGUGGUUCACAGAAUAUCACGUUGAUCUCGAGGUAAGCAAAAGUGAAUUUUACAAACUAAAGGUGGUAAUACAUGUUUUUUGCAGUAAUGACUGUUGGUAGUAAUUUCAUUCCAGCUUGACGAGAUGCUUGUGAAGAGGAGUUGGAGGAACUCUCAUCAACAACAUGCCAUAUAACAGUAUCAUACUAUUUAUUACUUUUUUCAUUCACUUAGCUCUUUUAUAGGUCUGUCCUGUGUCCCCAAUAACACAACGAGGCAUUUUGGGUAUCUUCAUUGGCUCUUACAGUAGAUUAUUGACAUCUUUCAUGGAAGACGACAUCAACAUAGAUAUACGCCACCAGUUCAACUGUUGGUGCCGAAAGAUACAAAGGCCUGUGCUCCCAGUUGCGGACUUCAUUCUCUUCGACUUUCCAGAUGGUCCUUCAGAUAUUGAUGGGAAAGUUGAGGAUUAGAACUUUCUCACACCUGACCACUUGCGCGAUGCAUUCCUAUUGUCUGAAGCACUUAUGCUCAAAGCUAGCCAUGUCAUCUUCAUCCUACCGAAUGACCCCAACUGGAUGUAUGAGCUUAUGACGUGCACAGUAGAAGUUCAUUUCAAGUCAUUCUCUUCCGGGUGCAUCAUGGAUCCUAUUGGCAUUGAUACGAAGGGCGUCCAAGGGAAGCCUGAAAAGGUGAGUAUGUAUUUUAUAUUUUUAUCUAAUUUCUAAACAUUUUUAUUUUCCAGGUUAUGAUGUGGACCUAUCAUGCCUUCUACAGAAACACACAUGAUGGGUUUUGUGAUAGCGAACGUGCAACACGUGUUUUGCUUGGGUACGACAGUUCCACUAACAUCAUACCCAACCUUGUGGAUGAGCAGAUCCGCAACACGUUUCCAGGGUACCGAUUCCGAACUCUAUCGGCAAUGCAAGUCUUGCUUGAGCUCUAUUGCCCAUUAGAUGGUGUUGUGUUUGAUUGCACAGCAGGUAGUGGUUCUAUGGUGGAGGCAGCACGUGACUCUAGUAGAUCAAUGUUUGCUAUUGAAGAACAUCAUUUCUUCAAAUGCCAGCUCAAGCUCUAUUUCGUUAAAGUGGGAAUUAUCAUUAUCCCACUUGUAAAAUAAAGUUUCCAAACCUUUAUAUAGUAUAUAAAUAUAACAAAAUUCAACUGCAUUGAGGCACAUGCCAUUUUAUUUUAAACAAGGAAAUGUCUACUCAAUCACUUCUCCUCCCCCUGCCACUGCUUCACCUCUCUCUUCUCCUUGUCAUUGUCGUCUUUCCAUCCUUUUAAUAUUGGCUCAGUUGCUCCGAGUCUAGGUGGAGCCCAAGUCCCCAUUCAAUCUUUACUUUCCGGCCCUCUGUUUUAAGUGUCGCAUGGUCAUUAUUAGAUCCCGUAGUUUCUCCCGUGUGAUUAAUGUGAAUCUGUCUCUUUUGACCAACUUGUGACCGCAGGCUUUGGAGGGUGCAAUGACAUUCGAGGACGAGCCACGCUCAUGGGAGAAAAGGACACCGUUCAGAUCAAAAACGAUACAGUACCUUUGCCGUGACUCUGAAAUGAAAUGCAUCAGCAUAAAAAAUGGUACAAGUCAAUUUUACCAUCUACAAUAUUAGCGAAUGUUGCUCCCGAUGGUCGUUGAGAGGGUUUUGGUCGAGGAAACGUGAAGGGCGGAAAUACUCUCCUCUGCAAUGUGGGGUCAAUCGCAUCCGAUGGCAUGUGGGCACAUGCCAUUUCAGCUGUAGACUCUGGUACAACUGGCUCAACAGUGGCAUGGGGUGGUUCCGAUGGCGUGUGAUCACACGCAAUUUCAGCUGGUGCCUCCGUUGGCAAAGUGGACAUGACCGAACAGGCAGCAGGGGCGGUGUAGGGAGGUUCCAACGGCGCGUAGUCAGACGAUUGGGCACACGUUGAGUCCGUUGGAAAUGAGGAUACGACCGGCUCGGCGGCUGGGGCGGCCUCAUGUGGGUCCAAUGGCGCCUGGUCACCGUCAGUUGGAUACGUGGACAAGAUUGACUCAGUGGUAUGGGCAGCAUCAAGUGGAGCGUGGUCAGCUUGCUUGGCGUUGAUAUGGAUAGUAGCCUCCACUAGCUCUGAUGACUCUUGCAGCCAAGUAGAGUCCACUGGCGGAUCCAUAUGCAUGUCCAAAUAUCUCCCUUCGAUUGAGAUGGUAUCCUCCCGUGCUACUAAAAACAAACUCAUUAGCACAUUGAAUCGACUAUACUAUAUUUACCAUCAACUGCUAUUGAGGAACUAGGACCGAUAUCACUUGGGCGCACUGCUGAUUCUGAAGGAUUGGACAUACGUUUCGACCCUUGCUUGGCACUAUCCUUCCUCGACACUAAAGGCUAGAGUUUGUAAAUUCAACUGAAUAAUCUCUACUUACCAUUUGCUCUGCGACCUACAUGGACAAUGUUAGAAAUGGUAAAAGGUUAGGAAUGGAUGUACUAUUAUUUACCUGAUGGUUUGUCUUGUAUGACCUUCCUCCGCUGCUCUUUGGCCACCUCAGGCUGGCCAUCGUCGUCAUCAUUGUCGUCGUCGUUAUUGUGAUCGUCACCAUUGUGAGGACCAUCCAAGUCCUCUUCGUCCUCCUCUUCUUCGUCCUCCUCUUCUUUGUCCUCCUCUUCGUCCUUCUGCUCUUCCUGCUCAUUAUCUUUCUCUGGCUCCUCAUCCCCCUCCUGCAUUUCUUCCAUAGGCUGCUCAGGCUGGAUGGCUUGUUCUUCCAGGACCAUCUUGGGAAAAUCAUCUGGCCGAGUCUCCAUCUCAAAAUACAAGACAUCCAUAGCCUGUUUUAGUGCGUGACCUAGGACCGUAUCCUCACCCGACUGUCUUAACAUGGUUUCUGCACGUUCUUGCACCCUUCGAAGAUGACGAGAUGAGAAAAACGUGGCCCUGACUUGAAAAGCAUCCCUCAUCCAUUGUACCUCUCUAUUGAGAUUGGGGAAGGGGAGUCCGCCAUAGGAAUCUGAGUCAUGAGGUGGUGACUGCCUGCUUUCACUCAACCCUUGAUCUGCAAUGAAUGGCAUGAGCACACACGCCAUAACCGCGAGGCAUUACCUAUCAUCUUUUCGUUUCCCUUCUUCCUUUUCGAAUCAAACGCCUCUGAUCUCGACGACUGUCCAACGUGCUUUCGCUUUUUAUGACCACUGUCAGUUUGAGCUUGGCUGGUGCUUGCCUGUUUUGCCUUUGAAGAAGUUUCUCCUGCAAGGAAUGGCAUGAGACCACACGCCAUUGCAAAUAUAAUUUGUACCUCCUUUUUUCCUAUUGCUUGUCUGUUUGUCCUUCUUCGAUGCGCCACCAGUGCGCUUUUCAGUCCUCGUGUCUGAAUAUUCACAACGAUCUAUAAUCAAAAUGGCGUGAGGCCUCACGUGACCUUACCUUGUGCAGGUUGUGAGCUCGGCCCAACAUGGGUAUCUUCAACAGUAGCUGUUAACACCGUUUCAGCAUCUGGGGGUGGCCACGCUCCUGCAUACAGAGCUUGUGAGAUAACAUUUAAACUUAAAGUGUGUACUCACCAGGUUCGCAGAGAAGAUACUGUUUUUCUUUGGCAACUGUAAUUAUAUGCUCCAUUGAAGUCACCUCUUCAAUGGAGUUUGUCACCGCAACACAUGGGACACCCUUGAGUAGUGCGGCUCGAAAGAAUAGUCCGCCGCAGUUGUACUCGACAACACAUUUGCCCUUGGAGUCGGAAGCAGGUGACCCACCCGCUAUUGCGUUGAAGACCCAGCUGAGCAUUUCCCAUGCUGCACCUGGAGCUUUCUUUGGAUUCGAAAGCUCCAUAGCCGUCUUUAGUUCCUCAGGCACGGGUAAAUUGACCUCCCUCAGAUCAAUUCGAUUGGCCUUGUCGAACGAAGCUGGGAAGUCACUCCAGUCCCACUCUGCUGCAGGACCAAUAACAAGGGCGAGUGUGAAGAUGCGGACAUUCGUCGGUAUCUUCUUCUUAGCCAUUAUCCCAUGGAUCUCCCGCAUCUCCUUGCCUUUCAACCGAGCCUUCACCUCGUUCAAGGCCUUCCAGAACUUGUGAUAGGAUUCGGAGUCGUAGAUCAUAUAGUGGACUGAAGAUUCCACCUCCACAAGUCCCACCAUUAAGUCAAUGAUGGAGCUGACUUCAUCUGCAUGAGUGAUUUCCUCGUUUGUGAAGUCCAUCACACAAAAGAUGUUCUUGACCUGCUCAUCUCCGCGGGAAACGAUGCUCCUCCACCUUUGAUCCUCAUCCGAAUUCAAGUAUACCCGGUAAGGUUCUCGAUAGGCCUCUGCUGCGGGGUCGAGCUGUUUCUGAAGCCGACGGUCGACAUCAAUCUUAAUGAAAUUUGGAUACUAAUCCAACUUCUCAGCUUUACUUUUCGUGGCAUCCCGCAGUAGAUCGAUGAACUUGGGGGCCCCCUUCACGUACUCGUCGAUGUCUUCAUUUGACAACUCCAGCGCUUCCAUCAUCUCUUGCGUGGUGUCGAUGCUCACCCUCUCCACGGCCACUUGCUCGAAGAUCCAAUCCUUCAAUAGCGCACGAGCUCUCAGAGUCGUGCACAAGUCCUCGUAUGUCACAAUAUGGCCGGGAGUCAUUUUGGUCUUGUUGAAGACUACCUCACCACGUAGAAGAGCAUUAGCCACUGUCAGAAGGUCGUCGUCGUCUAGAGACCGCGAGAAACGCAAGGCGUUGAGCUUCAAAUCAUUGGGCUUCCGGCCGUCUUCCACACCCAUUGAGUUUGGCAACUCCCCGUCAUGGUACCUCCUCAGCACAUCUACCCAUUUGUCAAAAACAACUUUUGUCGCGAGUAGAAUGUUAUGGAUGCUGAGUGUGUCAUUGACCCCCAGUGUUUUCGAGAGAAGACUCGAGAAUUCCUGCAAUGGAAAUGGCGUGAGGCCACAUGCUAUGCCACAUGCAACGAGGCUUACCUACCAGGCGCUAGUUGCUAGUGCACGUCCUUGUCCUGGUUUUUGUGGCUUCUUCAGUUGAACCCAGAGCUUCCGUGUUCGUGCCAAUGUCUCGUGCAGACCCGAUUUGUAGCACGUUUCUUGCUUGACAUUCUGCGCGUGGGAGAUGUAUAUGAUAGAUCGGAGGGGCGAGUUGCCUUUUAUCAGGUGGACAACUCUUGUCUUGAAGACUUUCUUCACCUCCUCGCCCACCAUAAUAUCCACAACUAUCUCUUGCAUCGCCAAGCUAGAAUGCUGCCCAGAGACGGCAUAGAACCGGAUGUUCUGAUCGUCCAACACCUUCCUAUUGAUCAAGUCUGGAAACCUCGUCUCGCCCUUCAUUGUUCAGUAGUAGGGGAUCACGUCUGCGAUGUCGGGUGUUACUGGACUUGCCAGCAUCUUCUGCUUCAGUUUCUCCACCCACUCAUCAGAUACUAGCCUGUGGUUGUAUUUGCUUUGGAUGUCGAUACGGCUCACGUCGAUUGUAUAUACUUUGUUGGAAUAGUAACAAGUACUAUUAUCUGCGACGAUUUUUGCUGCCUCUUCUUGCUCUUUCUGCUCUUUGCAGCUCUUCUUUUUGGUGGGUGUAGUGUUCGAACCCGAGGCAAUGGCAUCACUGAGUAGCUUCUUUUUUGGAGCAGGAGAGUCGGACGUCGGCUUGAGCUUGACCACCCUUUUCUGCUUCGAGGUAGUUUCCAGAUCGACCCCCUUCCCCUUUGCUUCGCGAACUGGAGUCACUCUCAACGGCUCAAUGUUGGAAUAUAGUUUUUGAACAUCGCCGUAGGUGAGGUCCGUGGAUUCCAUGUGAUCUUCAUAGACCCGCAACGUCUUUGAAAUUGUGGGCCUCCUGGACAACCUCUCCCUAGCUCCCUCUAGGAAUUCCUCAUAGCCGCUGCCCCCCUCCGGGAAGCCGCUAGGAUGUGCAAGGUGGAUCUUGAAGGCAGACGCUGUCUCUACCACAAGUGCCAGUCCAUAUUCUUGCAUGGAACUGCAUGGAGUGUCUGUCACUUGGAUGAGGAUCCCCAUGCAUUCUUUUCUCCCACCAUCUGUGUUGUACAGCCUCAGAUCCUCGCCUUCCAUCCCGAAAGUCCAACUGGUGAGCUCCUCCCCCUUCUCUGCAUCCACAUUGACAGUGGCUGGAAGAAGAACGCAAUUCCUCGCCUGUUCAGAAAUGCACAACAAUUAGAGCUGACAGAUGAAAAGCUAGUAGCUGGAAAUAACGUGAGGCCACACGCCAUUCACCACUGCAUCAGAUGUCUUGAGGCUGCAUCCUAAGAUGGCGUGAGGCUACACGCCAUCUGUAACCGGACUGCACUCGAGAGCCCAAUCGGUGCAUGCCAAUGUUGCUACUGAAUGGCAUGUGGCCUCAUGCCAUUUUCUACUUGGCCUAAAAGACUUACCAUUUGAAGCCGAAUGGAGGCGUGACAACCGGACUCGCUGGCGAAUGUGCACUGUGUGUGCAGCGGAUCGUAGCAGCAAGGCUACUCUGCCACUUACAGUUGGAGAGUGGCACUGAAAUCUCCCGGGACGCCAAGUGGGCUGCGUGUGGGUGGCGAAGUGGGCGGCGGAGUUGGCGGCAAAGUUACAAACUGGGUGUGUCUUGAAGUGGACGCCGAUGCACACGAGCGCGAUGCAAGCGCGAGUGUGAUGCAAGCGCGAGUGGACGCCGAUGCACACGAGAAACCUGUAGAGAAGUGGGAGCGCGAGUGGGAGCGCGAUGCGAGCGCGAGUACGAAGCAAAAUGCAAAACCUAACCUCACACGCGCGAAAUGUCACGACGGUUGGUAAUCCCGCCACGUCAUCAUUUCUUGGACUUGGGCGCCACCAUUAAUUUCUGGAUCGGCGCGCGCAUGCGUGAAAUCCAAAAGAAAUCCGCAACGUCAUCAUUCCUCGGACUGCAUGCACGCGAAAUCCAAAAGAAAGAUCAUGAUUGGGAUAUCAUUUAAUACCCUCGCUAUAUUUAUACCAUGCAUGAUUGGAUAUUCCAAAGCAUCUUGUAUUUCCAAAAAUGCCAGAUGUUCAGCUAAAUAAAUUGUCAGAGGAUUUGAUGUGACGUUCAAGCAUGUGGGCUCAUGCAAUUUUGAUCCCAAAAAAUGCACCAAAAAAUGCUCGGCGUCAUCUGGCGUUAUCUCGUGAAUGGCGUGGGGCCGCAUGCCAUUUUCAGGAGCACAUAGGAGUAUAUUCCUAGAAUAUUCUGACACGCGCGAGAUUGUUUUGAGUUUCCUGGAGAUCCAACUAUUAGAUCGCAACUAGAUUUUACAGAAUGGUAUACAAUGUCCUUCUUGAUGACCCUAGAAAGAAGCAUCUUGAUCGGACACCACAUGAGACCACACGAGCCUUACAAUGUUUCAGGGGCAUUUGCCAUAGAUCCGACCGUUAUUUUGCUCCAAGAUUCUACAGUUUGGUGUGCAUUGACCUUUCCAUCGACACUGCAAAGGGACAUCACAAUCACAGAUGCGGGAUCACAAGAAACCAACUUCACUAACUCUGGUUUCACCAAGAUCUACGUAAGGAGUUAUGAAAUGAAAGGACCCUCUCUAUUGAAAUGUGUUUAUGGUCCUAGGGGCAUUGUGACAUAUCAAAGGAUUUUGCAUCAAGUUUUGUAUUUGCAUGUUUAUCAAGCUACUGAAUUGCUAAACCCUAAACCCUAAACCCUAACCCUAAACAUGUGGCAAAUGCUGCGUGAAGAAAGAUGCCCUUUCUGGGCAAAUGCUGUAAGAGGCAGAUUCCGAGCAGAUGUAUCUCAGGCCAGCGAAGGGGACAAACGAAAGCUAGCUAUAAACAUGACGGGAUGCAAAUAGAUUACUAGGCUGGUCCUGCGAAAAUCAAAAACCAUAAUUGAAAACAUUGAAAAUGCAAAAAGAAAGGUUUAUAAUAUUUUUAAAUUUUAAGCAACCAAAUGAAUGUAAGUAGGGCAUGUGUUUGUAAGUUUAAAAAUGCCUCAACCACUUAAAUUCCCAAGUAAUUAAAGCUGUUUCUAUUUUUGGUACAGGUAAACUUUAUAGCGUGUGGGCUCAUGCAAUUUUGAACCCAAAAAUGCACCAAAAAAUGCUCGACUAGCAUUAUUCUUUGAAUGGUGUGUGGCCUUAUAUUGCCAUAAAUGGACGUACACACACAGCAUAAUUAUUCCUUUACACGGCGAAUAAUCUUGGCGCGGAUCGCUGACAUGGCAUGGCAAAGUUCGAAUCACUGACAUGGCACAGCUGGAUCGAGGCAAGGACAUGAUGUGACAAAGUUCAACCUCCGACAGCAAAGUCUAGAAGCUACUCAGUUUGAAAUUUGUCAGAGGAAUCAUAAGAUCUGGUUUGUCAGAGGAUUUGAUGUGACGUUCAAGCGUGUGUUAUUUUUGAAUUCUCGAACUCAUUCCUAGGUCUAUCAUUUUUGUGCGCCGUGUUCUUGGUUCCGCUGAGCGCAGUGAGCGCUGCUUGUGUAAGCGGCGUUGUGAGUUGUGGUUUAUGCGUCUACAAGCGGUUGCGGCAUUGCGAGCGCCAUUGCGAGCGGCAGUUUAUGCGAGUGGCAGUUUGUGCGAACGGCGCUACGAGCAGUUGCAGUGUUGCGAGCGGCGCUACGAGUAGUUGCGGUGUUGCGAGCGGCACUGUCUUUGGUGUGGCUACCGCUUCCUCUUGAUAUUCGGCACUUGUGCUUCCUGGUAUGUUCACCAUGGAAUGGUUUAGGACCACAUUUAGAAAUGGCAUGAGGCCACAUGCCAUCUUGAGCCCUUGCAAUUUCAUGGUUAGCGUAUUGUCAUGUAUGUUUUUACUUGCUUGCAGCUGUGUGUAUAUCAAGAUGGCAUGAGGCCUCAUGCCAAUUUUGUGAAUGCGAAAUUUCACGUGGGUGUCAAUAGCAUGUUUGAAUAAUGGCAUGUGGCCUCAUGCUAUUUGGUAUGUUAUGAUUUAGGCCAUUCUCCAAUCAUUUUUUGUAUGGUCUUAACUUCUUUUCUGCACUUUCAGAAUGGCCUUCAGGGUUGGGGAAAAGGUUUACAUUUUGAAUGGUGGGAAGAGAGUUGCAAAAGGGACCCUUGUAUCUAUGGAUCGGAACUUUGUUAUACACUGUCAAAGGCUUGGGGAAGGCAAUGCUGCUGUAUCAGUAGAGACUGUCUUCGAUGGGAAUGUGGUCGCUAUUGAACGAGGAGAGAUGGUCAUCAGGGUAAAUGUUGUUGUUGCCUUGAAAAAUCUGCAGAAGAAAGCAGAUGUUGGGGACAGCGCAAGUGCGACGUAUGUUCCCUCCGUGGAUCUUAAGAACCGUGCUACAUGGAUUCAGGCAAAGGUGUUUCUAAACAACCCCGAGGGGGAGGUGGUAGCUGAGGGCUUAGCCACAGUUGUCGAUCCAAGAGAUGCGAUUGCUAAUCAAGAAUUGGGCUGGGAUGAUAUUGGAGUUGCGAUUUUAGAGGUUGUUGACACAGAAGAAAACAGUCUGACUAUUGGAAGCAUUGUGCGGUGGAAAUUGAGGCAUUUAGUGUUUGAGAAUGUGAAGGAUUCACAAUCAAACACCACUACAACUGAUGACAGAACAUCUCUUCAUGGGAAAAGAAAGUACACCUUCCUACAGCGCAGCCAAAGGGAUCUGAGCAACGAACCAAAAAGGCAGAAAAUGGCGAUGGAGGUUCGAAUGGUCUCGACAGUUGCUUGUUGCAAGAGGAGGUGCUGUCAACAUGCUGAUUGGGAUGCUAUUGAAGAGGAGAGAGCAAGAUACAAGACAUUGUCCUGGAAGGCAGCUCACAAUUUUGUGUAUGAGGCAUUACGGUCAUCUGUUGAUGCUUCAGAACAUCAGGUGGGGGGCAUGGUCUUCCAGAGGGGUUUGGUCUGCAUGAAGGCAUGGAGAAUCAUUUAUGGAGUCCCUCGAACCACAUUCUACAGAAUCAAAACUGAGUUCGAGGAACAAAGGGUUCAACAGGCAGUCCAUGGGAACGACGGUACGCACAAAACCAGGGGUCAUGUUGUAUAUGGAGAGGCAAUCUUCAAGAGGUUUGUCGAGACAUGUAGCGAGCAGCAACCACAUAAAACCCGCCUCUUGGAAGAUGGAACACGAGACACCCAACGAGUUCUCCCUUCCAUGUAUACCAAGGGGGCCAUAUUAGAAGAUGUGAAUCGGGAACUCCAGAGUAAUGGCUACAGGAAGCUGAGCCAAUCUAGAUUUAGUAGAUUGUGGAGCAACAGGUUCAGGGAUGUGAGUAUAGGAAAGUACUCCAGCUUUUCAAAGUGUGACGAGUGCACUGCUAUCAAAAUGGCUUUGUCGAAGAAUUCUUGUAGCGCUCAAGAGCGAGAGACGUUGGUUAGAAGGCGGCUCGACCACAACAUCGAGCAGAGAAGCUGCAGGACUGCAUAUUAUCAUAACAGGAUUCUCUCCAUGGAGAGACCUGACUCUUACCUCUGCAUCAUCCACGACAAAAUGGACCAGAAAAAGACGUGCUUACCUCGACUCAAUCCUGCCCCCAAGGCAAUCUCUUCAUCCAUGCAGCUGCCUGUGUCUCUGUUUGGCAUAAUCGCUCAUGGGCAUGGUGCCCAGAACUAUGGGAACUUCUUUGUACCUCUAUGGGGUGGCGGGGGUGCAAACAUGAUGAUUGCGUCCCUAGCAAAACACUUAAGGUCUCUGCAAAGUGCGCAGACUGAGCUGAACGGCCAACCCUUGCAUAAGGCCCUUGUCGAUCGAACCCCAUACAAGGUUCAGCUGGAGGAGGAGCAAAGGCUUGCAGUAUCGUGUGGGGCCCCAUGCCAUCCCAGUGAAUAUGUUGGCCGUCAGAUUGUAGGGUUAUCACGUGAGGCCUCAUGCCAUUCCGACGAGGCUGGUCGCCCGGUGAAUGCACAGCCUCAUCCAAACGAAGCAGAAUCUCAAGGAAGUUCUUGCGGCCGAUGUGGCCUUCCACCCCAUCUUCUGCUCCAAACAGACAAUGCUGGCAGUGAGAACAAAAACAUGUACGUCUUCGCGUACUUGGCGAUGCUUGUUGCCAAAGGCAUAUUUGAAACGGUUACACUUGGCUUUCUCAUGGUUGGGCACACUCAUGAAGACGUCGAUGCCAUGUUCAGUCACCUGGCAGAGUCCCUCUGGCGAUCCAAUGUCCUCACCCUCCCACAACUCUAUGAUGAAUUCCAAAAUUGCAUCAAAGGCACUGUUGAAGCUGCACUUGUGACAGAGGUUCCAGACUUUAAGGGGUUUGUAAGAGGCUACAUCAGGGACGGAUCCGAAACGCUGAUUGGCCACUCCAAGCCUCUUCAGUUUCAUUUCAGCAUGCGUGACGGUGCUCCAGUGAUGAGGUACAAGAUGAGAGAAUGGGACACAGUGUGGCUGCCAGUGGAUGGCAUUGAACUCUUCAAGAGAGAUCCCAUAACUGGGGAACCUAUGAUUCCUCAGGGUUCCCCACGGCCGAUGCACCCGGAUGGACUCAAAGACCAGGAAAGUAUAGUGGCCGGGAUUAGACAGCAUAUUGCCUUCUGGAAGAGGGGGUUGGUGUUUGGUGGAGAAUCCUAUUUUAAGAGGUGCAAGCCUUUGCUCGAAUACUGGGAGAAGAUUAUAUUUGCUAUCCAAAAUGGGCCGGUUGUAUAUGAAGAAUUGGAAGAGUCCUUUUGGCCAGAACCCAGAGCACUAGAUAGUAGCGGAACAAUGUCCUCUGGAAAUGCAGUGACAGAUAACGAUGUUGAGGAUCACUAUUGUGGGCCGAGGAACAAGAAGCCGGAUUCAGCAUUCAAUCCAGUACAGGUCUGCAAAGGAAUGGUCGUGCUUGUCAGACCCAGUAAUAAAAAACAAAUGAUAUGGGUGGGGCGUUGCAUCACUGAUGCAGAGGAGGACGCGGAAACUAACUCCUUCAAUGUAACUGUGGAGUGGUUCAAGCCAAGUUCCGGAUAUACGAAGGAUUGCCUAGAAAAGAGAUGGGUGCUGAAUCCAAGGGAUCCCAGCAUGAGCAUAUCGGUGGAUAAUGUUGUGCAUGGUUGGAUGCGGAAGCAGAGUGCCACCAUCACCUUGCCAGACCAUGCAAGAGAUGCAGCAAGAGCAUCCAUAACCCGGGUUCAAGGUGAGAUUCAUUAAUAUUCCUUUACUAAGUUUCUAAUGUAUUUUAUUUCAAGGUGAACAAUCCGAAUUUGAAUCAGAGGAGGCGUGAUGGCAUGUGGCCCUUUGCACUAGUAUAUCUUAAUACCGGUCUGAGAAAUAGAAUGGCAUGUGCUCUCAGGCCUUUUACUAAAUCACCUUUGAAAGAAAUGCAAGCCUCUAUGUCGUAAAAAAAAGGUACUAGAGAAAUUCCUUAAUAAUAUGAAUGUUAUUUAGUUUCAUGAAAAUACACUAAGGGUCAAAUGAGUUAAAUGACUUCUCCAGACUAGCAAUGCCUCUUGCUACACCUUCACAAUUAGAUUCGUUAGAAAAAGAUAACAUUGAAUAAUAUCUAAAUGUUCUCACCAUUAAGUUAUAUGUUUGGCUAAUAGGAAUGACGUUCAUCUUGGAAAGCUCACCACACGCUCAAUGAACAAACAAAUAGUGUGUGCGCGCAUGCCAUCGCUCUUCUUUAGCUUCAGAUUCGGCUUGUUCACCUUGACAAUGAGAUUUAUUAUACAACCAGAUGGACUCAGUCUGGACACAAAGUCACCGCGCUAGUCACCAUGCCCCAGAUAUGUCUAGCCCCUGGACAAAAAACAUAUAAUUUCACGUCAUUUUCAAAUACUUGAAAAUUUGUACCUAGUCCCAUUUUACUGAAUAAAUCCCACUUUAACGAAAUAGAGCUUGCUCAGAGAAUUUCGUGAGUUGCCUUCAACCUCAAGGAGGUAAAUUAUAUUUAUUAAAAUUUCAAUAUAUAUUUCAUUCUAUUUUAUAGAUCACAGUCACCUAGAGUUUCUAGAAUUGGAGGCUUUGGAAGUCUCUCUGAUUAUGCAAAAGCCAUGGCUCAACAUAUGCAAGGUGAAUCUUCCCCACAAUACCAAUAUAGGAGGAAGUAUAAAAGAAAUCAUUAUGUUGAUGAUGAGGCAAAAAAAAGUUAAUUGCAUCCUUACAUAAAAUGGAAAGCUUGUUAUAUGUUAGAUGUUAGUGAAAGUGUCAAAUAUCAGUAAAAUUGUCAAGUGUCAGUGUCAGUGUCAGAUACCAUAAUUGCAGAUUAUCAUUCUCACCUGUCACCAUCACUUUGUAGCGCUUGUGUGUUGCCAUUUCUUCCUUCAACAUUUUGUAAAUAAUUGUAUAUGAUAUGAUAGCACCUUCUAGAACAAGGUAUGUUACCUACAACUAAUAUCAUUUUAUUAUAUUUUUUCUUUUAAUAGUGAUAAUACUAUAGUAUAGUAAAGUAAUUCUAGAUCUUACAUUCCACUAUAGAGUGGCCUAAAAACCCCAUAUUUUGCACUAGCCAAUACAGUGUUUCCUAAGGGGAUGUUGUUCCUCAUCAUGAAGCGAUAGUGGGUAUGUGUCCGUAACUCAUUUUUUAAUCUAUUGUACAUCCACACAUGCAUCUUUUCCAGACCCGCUGUUAGGCAAUUCCUACAGUGCUCAAGAAAAGUUUGUAAACCCAUAGAGCCAUUUGUCUUGUCCAACAAAAAGUCGCAUAUUGGACACCGAAUGUAAUAGUGUUCUGUACUUUCAAAUAGUCUUGCCAUGUCAAGAGCAAGAUCUUGCAAAAACAUGUGGCAUUGCUCUUGAAGCACUAGAGGCAAUCCCUCUUUAAUAACAAGAUCCGAAAUUUCACAUAUAGGGAGCUCUAGUUCAACUUCACUAGAGCCCUCAACAGAAAAAGGAUUGUUAUAUGGAGGUGAAGGUGGAAUGUUGGUAGAACUUGGGGAUGGAGGUGGAGAUUGAUAUGAAAUGCUGGGGGGCCAAGUACGAUUAGCAAUGAGUCUCCUUUGAGCCAUUUCAAUAUAAACUUCUAAGGAGCUCAAGGAGAACAAAAAACCUACAAUGACUAUACCUUUUCUAGAUAGUUUAUAUACUAAGUUUUAGUCUUGGGAAUGAGGUUUAUUUAUUAUGACACUGACAAUACUCAGAUUCUUUAAAUGGCAGUCUUGGAAAUGGGGCUUCAUAAUCAUAGCUUUCUUGCAAACAUAAGAGCUUCUAGAAUUUUAGAUUAUCGUGUAUACAUAUGCUAGGUUGUUUGUUCAGGAGGGUUGUAACUUCUCUUUUUAUAUCAUUUGUAGAUAGGGGCAUAUUAUCUUUUAUAAGCUAGGUGACAAGGCCGAUGUGAAGGAGAGCUCGCUCUUGGCCGAGGAUCACCAAGCAAGUGAAGCACUACACUGGGAGGCCUCGAAAGAUGAAAAGUUGAUUCUUUGAUGUGAUAUUACUUUUGAGUCUUUCGAAAGAUUUUGAUUUCUUUUAUCAUUAUUUACAAACAAUUCCCAAAAACUUUUAAUGAGGAUUCACUGCAAAAUAUACCUUGGUCUUAUCAUAUGAGAGGAUUGCGAUAUAGGCAACCAAUAGAGUUUUUAAUAUGAAUUAAUAUGUAAAUUACAAAUGUCAUGGAAAGUGUUAUGGAGUAGAUUUCUUGGUGCUUUCCGUUGUGUUAUUCAUUUCUUCAUUUCUCUUGUUCUGGACUAUUGUUUCAGAAGUAACAGGAGCAUUUUUAUCAAUCGUGAUAGUAGUCUCCACAUUCCCAAAUGGGUAAUAAGGACCAGGAGUGUAAUAUGGAGAUUGUGGUAGUGAAACAAAAUUAACAUUCUCACAUUCCUUUGCACUACAACUCUUACUCACAGAUUUUAUAUUUUCCUUGCUUCCCAUCUUCUCAAGAACCAUAAAAAAUCUUUUGAAUGAAGGAAUAGUAUCUACAGUUGUAAAAGUAUUUAAAAUAUUAAAUAGUCAAAUCAAAUAUGACAGCUGUAACAGUUGUCAUAAUAAAAUAAUAUAAUUUUAUAAAAGAUAGGUUCUCAUGAAUUCUCAUAAAAUUUUAAUAUUUUAAAGUUUGUUAGAACCUUCAUUUAUUCAAUUUAGAUCUCCUUUGUAAUAUUUCUUAUUGACUAUGUUGACUUGAGUUGACUUGUGUUGAAUUGAGCUCAACUCAACUUUGGACCAUCUCUCUAUAAUCCACUAUUACCGUUGGAUCUGAUGGAGAAAAAAAGGAGGAGAAAGAGAUAAUAGCACUUUAAACUCCCGUGCUCAAGUGCCAUAGUAAGAUUAAUUAUGAGCUUGUCAAAUAGCAAUAAUACUCUUCCAUACCACCCAUAAUCAGGGUUGCCUAUGAAGGUGAAUUGCCUAGCUUGAGUGACUUCAUGGCAAGAAAUGAUGUUUUCUUUAUAAUUUGAUAUAAAGAUUCAAAUACCCUUACUUUAGUGGCUAUUUUAUACUUAUAUAUUCCUUUUACUCCCAAAUAUCACCUUAUCUAAUCCCAAAAUCACAUAAUCCCCUUUAAUUUCCAUAUUAUAGCCCGUUGUAAUAUACUAUAUUUUAAAUAGCCACCAAUUAAUAGGAAUUGAACUCAUGUCAUUUACUUUGAUAAUACAUGUAAUGCAACUUAUCUUUCUCCAUUUAAAACAAUUAAAAAUGGGCCACUCCUUAAUAAAAAUCCUUCAAUAUUUAUUUUAUCCCAAUUUAUUCAUAAAGAUUCCCAAUGAUAAUGUAUCUAAAUCUUAUUAUAUGUAUAUGCUACAGUGUAUCAGUAUGAAUAGUAGAAUAAUAAAAAUUUAUUUGUCAUUUUAAUUUUUUAAAUAAAUCUUGAUAUUAAAAUAUAUAAAAUAUAAAUUUAUGGUACUUUAAAAACUUCAAAAUUAUAUCUAGCAAUAGAAAUAGUAAUGAAUUUGCUUUAUAUUAUAUUGUGUUUUCUUCCAAUAUAUGUUAUAGCUAAACCAAAAUUUGGAAGAUUUGGAAUUUUAAAUCCUCAAGAUAUAGCUAAGAUAGCUACAAUAUUUGGAAAAUUAAUAUCUAAAUUAAAUGAAAAAGAUCAAUACUCUGCUGAAUUUUCAGAUGGUGAGCUAAUUAAUACUUCUGCAGGAAUAAUAGAUUUCAGAAUCAAAAUAAUAUAUGAAUGUACAAAAGAAGAAACUUUUAGAGGUAGUAGUUUAAUAGCUGGUUUUGAAAGGCUUUUCUAUCAAAAUAUUAAUGAAUUACAAAUUAAUUGUCCUGCAUCCUUUGAAAAUGAAAAUAUAGGAUAUUCUAUACAAUAUAACUUAAUUCAAGAAUGGUUAUUUCCUAAUAGUUUAAAAAAAAAUUAUAAUUAUACUCUCAAUUCGGUAUGUUUUCUUAAGCAGCAUACACUAUAUAAUCCACAAAAACUUUAUCAAGAUGAAUAUUUAAUUUCUCCUAAUGGAAAAGUUAUUUUAAUGGUUACAUCAAAUUGUCAAGUUGUUCUUUUCUUCAAAAAUCAAAAAAUAUGGGAAACAGAAAGUCCUAUGAAAUAUAAUUAUAUUUGUGUAUUAAAACUUCAAAAUGAUGGUAACCUUGUUUUGUAUAGUAAUAAAAGAGUAUUAUGGGCAACUAAUAAAUAUUGUUUAAAUAAACCUAAUUGUAUUAUUCCUUCAUAUUUAACAAUUAAAAAUGAUUGUAGUAUAGUGAUUUUCUUGGCACAUUAUCCAAACAUUAUUUGGUGGAUAUUACACAGUAAGUAUUUAUGUUAAUAUUUUAGCCAUCUUACAUUAAUACACUUACGGUAUUAUUUCUGAUAUAUUUUUCAAAAACUUUAGAGUUUUCCCAUUUACAAUUUAAAUAUAAUUUUAAAACAAAAUCAGUAUUGUUUGCUAGAAAUUUAUGCUAUUUAUAUUGAAAGUAUAUAACUAAACACUUCUAGAAUAUUAUAAUCAGAUAUCAAAUAAAUUUUACCAUCAGUGAGAGUGUGUGUGUAUGUGUGUCUAAAAAUUAAUAAUAUUUGAAUAGUGGUUAAUAAAAUUUGAAGAGCUUCAUCAAUCCAAAAAUCCUAAUUAUCAUAAGUGGAAGGUGUUUUUUGUUGUAAAUCAACAUACCAUGAAGUUAGGCAUUAAUGCUACUAUAAUCAUGGAGUCGUCCAUAUCGUAAAACUAAUCCUCCACCACCUUAUAGUGAUUCACUCCCUUGAAGACUGAUGGGGGCUUUGGUUUGUACUUGGGAACUGCUUGAGGGAGUGAUUCCACUUUGGUUUGUUCGACCUUGUUUGGUUUUGCCAGUCCCUACCGAAGGGUCCCACCUUCUGAGUUGCUGGCAUCCGUAGUCUUUCGCUUUUUCUUUCGCUUCUCAUCACGCUUUAGCUUGCAUACAAGAGUCUCUAGCAGGGCAUUGGUCUAUGCUAAUUGUCCUUCUAAAACAUCCAAUCGAGCCUUGGAUGACCGAACCUCGCCACCGGACUCCUGUUUGGAAGUUUCCUCACUAGAGUCCUCCUCAUGCAAGGAUUCCUCAUCCAUAGCUUCUUGUUUGACCAGAGGCUCUAGCUCUGGCAGAGGUUCUGUCUCUGCUUUGGUUUGUUUACGCCCAUCUCUCAGCAAUCUACCUCUAUCCUUUGCUAAAACUAAGGAAAAGGCUCCGAUACCAAAUUGUAAGCCACAAAAUUUUCCUUUCCAAUUUGCCAACUUACCUCGUCUAUCCGACUAACACUGCCUUGGCUUUUGCUAAGUUCCCUUGCCAAGGUUCCCACCUAUUGUAUCAGCUCCUACUUGGUCCUACUUGGUUUUAACUACUCACUAUAUGAGCAACGAAGCGUUAACCAUCCAUCCAUGGAUUCCCAAAUCUCUCCCAAUCCCCCUCCCCAAGUUAGACUUGACUUAAGGUUCGGCUACACUCCCUACAAGCAUAAGCAACCAAGCACACCAAGCCUCCAGGUUCUUAACAUCCCUUGGUACAACAAGACUUGAUCAUAGGACCUUCUAAAUCCCAAGCCUUGGGGGCAACACUUACUUCAGGACACCGAGGCAAAACAUUGUAGCCUAACGGCCUGGUAUGGGUACCUUUACCCCCCCCCCCCCCACUUCCAUCCCGAAGGGGAGGUCCAAGCCCCUAGGAAGGGCGAGGACCAAUGAGCCACAAGGUACUCAAGUGGGGCACCACUUCACAUGAGCCGAGAGCACUGCAGUCGGUUUCCCUUUUGGGAGUGGGAGCUGUUUUUGAGCACUUCCUUGGGUGGUCCCUCCGGCACCACCUGAGUCCAUGCUCACUCCCACCCAACGCCCCUCGGCCCCAAUCUCAACCUCAAGUUAGUUUGGAGAGUUCCUUCAAGAUUGAUUCCUGGACCUCACUAUCCUUACUAUACUUCUAGAAACACCCCCCCCUCGGGAGACGCGCGCUUUGGGCUUUCACCCUUUGACUUGUAUUAGUAUUCGGACUCGGUCUCAGACUCGAUCUCGAACCCCACUUCGGACUCGGUCUUGGACUCAAUCUCGAACCCGAUCUCGGACUCGACUUUGGACUCGAUCUCAGACUUGGUCUUGGACUUGAUUCAGAUCUCGGACUCUGUCUCAAACUCAGUCUUGAACUCAGUCUCAAACUUGGUCUCCGAUUCGGCUUGAUCUUAGACUCUAUCUCGAACUCGGUCUCAGAGUCGGUCUUGGACUCAAUCUCAAACUUGGUCCCAUCCGAUGAACUCUUUGUUAUUUUAGUCAUGCUUUCGGGGAUCCUUUAGCCUACGACACCUCAAGGAGUUGGUUCCUUACAAGUAGGAGUGGGAGUAGGAGUAGGAGUGGGAGCAGGAGUAGGAGCGGGAGUGGGAGUAGGAGUAGGAGUAGAUGGCUAUAGUUGCAACAUUAAUAAUCACUUUUAAUAUAUCAUAAAAAACCUUGUCCAUCAUCUAUUAAAAAUUUGUUAGGGCAUUGUUCAAACUAAAUGGCAUCAUAAAGAACUUGUACAAACUAAAUGAUGUAUAAAAAAUAGUUUUAAGAAAUAUCCUCCUCAUCCAUUGGCAUUUAUUACUAUCCAAAAGUAAAAUCUAACUUGGUAAACUAACUAUAAGCUACAAAUUUUCAUUUUCUAAUUUGCCAACUUACUUCAUCUAUCCGACCAUCUUUGUUUUGGCUUCAAUUAAAUUUCCUCACCAAUGUUCCCAUCUAUUAUAUCAACUCUUACUUGGACUUAUUUGGAUUCAACUAUUCAUUACGUAUGUAAGUCAUCCAUCUACGGAUUCCUAAAUUCUAUCUCAAUCCCCCUCCUUGGGUUAGAUUGGAUAUAAAGUUCAACUACACUCCCUACAAGCAUAAGUAAUCAAGCAUACUAAUCUUUUAAAUUCCUAAUAUUCUUUAGUACAACAAAAUUUAAGCAACAAAAAAGAACGACUCGAGAAAUGAUCUAUAAGGGUUUAAAUAUAGAGGGAAAGAGCCUAUGAACAAAAGCACACCCUGUUUUUAAUCAGUUAAACAUCCUUGGGUUUAAAUAAUAUUAGGUUGGGCAACCUUUUGAGAAGUCCAAAUUUAAGAGUUUACAUUUGGUAUUAGAGAGAUCUUGAGUCCAACUCUAUUGGUUGGCUUAAGGGAAUCACACCACAUGUUGAUUAACAUCUGUUAGGUCUAAUAUACUUCAACUGAACUCAACUCGAGGGGUAGGAUGGUAAGAGAGUGAGGUUUUCAGAGGGUUGUAGCUCUUAACUUUUGUUCAGAAGGGUGUGAAUUUGCAGGGAAGCAUGGUGGAUUGUAAACAACCAAAGAGAAUCACUUAAGAGACAAUCUAUAAGAGUUAAAAUAUAAAAGGAAAAUGCCCAUCAACAAAAAUACACCCCCUUUUCUAAUUGGUUAAGGGUUUUAGGAUACUUGGGGUUAAGCAUUCUUAGGUUUGAAUAAUAAUUGAUUAGGUGGCCUCCUUAGAAGUCUAAAUUUAAGAGUUUUCAUUAAUUAUAAACUAUAUAUUUAUUUUUCCAAUUUGCUAGUUUACCUCGUUUAUCUGACCACCACUGUCUUAACCUUAGUUAAAUUCUCUAGCCAAGGUUCCUACCUAUUGUACCAACUUCUACUUGGUCCUACUUAGUUUCAACUACUUAUUGCAUGAACAACAAAGUGUUAGCCAUCCAUCCACAGAUUCCUAAAUUCUUUCUACAUCCCUUUCCCUAGAUUAAACUAAAUUUAAGGUUUGGUUAACUCCCCACAAGUACAAACAGCCAAACACACCAAGCCUCUAGAUUCCUAACAUCCCUUGGUGCAACAAAACUUAAUUAUGGAUUAAAUCCCAAGCCUUUAGUGCAUCACUUGUUUCAAGACCCCAAAGGGAAACACCGUGGCCUAAUAACCCAAUAUGGGUAUCUCUACUCCCUCACUUCCAUCCCAAAGGGAAAGCCCAAGCCCUUAAGAAGGAGUGAGGACUAAUGAACCGCAAAGUACUUAAGUACGGCACCAUUCUAUAUGAGUCAAGAGCACUACAAUUAAUUAGAGUGAGUUACUUUUAAGAACUUUUUUGGGUAGCCUCUUUAACACCACCCGAGUCCAUGCUCACUCCUAUCAAAGCCCCUAACCCCCAAUCUCAACCUCAAGUCAGUUUGGAAGCAUUAUGAGAGAGUUCCUUCAAAAUUGGCUCAUAAACUUCACUAUCCUUAUUAUACUUUUUGGAGCUUAUACUUUCCAUAAAUAAUCAAUGGGACUGAAAUAGGACUAACACAAGUUGCAUAAUAGCAAGAGUAUUUGGCAAAUACAGUAAGCUAUCAUUUGGUGAUAUUGAGGGACAGACAAAACCCCUAAGUAUGCUUAGCUAAUAGUAUAUAGGAAUUUCAUCCUUAUGCUAGUUUAGUCUAAGUACACUCAAAAUCCCAAUUAAUUCUACUACCACAAAAGGGACUGAUAAAGAUUCUAACAAUAUUGAUUGCUUACCGUUGUAGCAAUAAAGAAAGAAUAUUUAAAAGGACUAGCCAAUAGGUAAUUUUUGAUACCCGCAAUCACACUCGCGACAAUACACCUAAGGAUUUUGAGAUUUUCAAAUAUCACAUGUAAUGCAUGUGAUCAUUGGAUGAGAUUUGGAUACACUGUCACUAUGGAUUUUUAGAACUUUAGGGGAUAAAUAGAAAUAAAAUAACCAUUAAGGGCUCUCUUAUCAAGUAAUUACCCUUUUUCCAGUUAGCUUAAGGGGAGAGAGAUAAGGUGCUAUAUAUGUGAUAUCGGAGCAAAUGACACAGGUUCAAUUUCCAUUAAUUAGUGGCUACUUUAAAAAAAUUUAAUAUAUCCUUGAGCAAGGUAUAUUCCUAUCCCUAAAUUUGAAAUCGUAUGUAAUAGGCAUCCAUGCGUAUGUCUUUCCUCUUGGUGGAGCAUCCACGGACAAAGAUAUCCACUGUAAGACUGUAGUAUGGGUAGAUGACAAGUUGCUUUAUAUGAAAUACUUGGUUUACACAAUAGAAGAAUUGGUAGAUUCAGUGUAGAAAUGGAGGUGUUUAUUCCCCUUGUCUUAGUAAAGGUUGUUAGUCAAUAAUCAAUAAGGACAUUGACAUCUCUGAAAGGGGGGUGAAUGGAAGGAUUGGUAUAGUUAGUCUACACAAUAAAAGAAUUGAUAGAUUCAAUGUGGAAAUGGAAGUGUUAAUUCCCCUUGACUCAAUAAAGGUUGUUAGUCAAUAAUCAAUGAAGACAUUGACAUCUUUAAAAGGGGGGUGAAUAUAGCGUAUGUGAUCAUGGGAUGAGAUUUAGAUAUACUAUCACCGUGGAUCUUUAGAACCUUGGCUAGAAAUAGCCAUUAAAGGCUCUCUCAUCAAGCAAUUAUCCUUUUUCCAAUUGGCUUAAGGGGAGAGAGAUAAAGUGUGUUACAUGUGGUAUCAGAGCAAAUGGCAUAGGUUCGAUUCUCAUUAAUUAGUGGCUACUUAAAAAAAUAUAAUAUACCCUUGAGUAAGAUAUAUUUCUACCCCUAAAUUUGAAAUCGUGUGUAUUGGGCAUCCAUACAUACGUCCUUCUUCUUGGUGGAGCAUCCACGGACGAAAGUAUCCACCAUAGGACUAUAGUACAGGUAGAUGACUAGUUAUAUCACAUGGAAUAAUUUGUCUAUACAAUGGAAGAACAAUAGUCCAUAAAAGACAUUGACAUCUCUAAAGGGGGGGUGAGUGUAGCACAUGUGAUCAUGGGAUGAGAUUUAAAUAUACUAUCACCGUGGAUCUUUAGAAUCUUGGGGGAUAAAUAAGAAUAAAAUAGCCAUUAAAGACAUUGACAUCUCUAAAGGGGGGGUGAGUGUAGCACAUGUGAUCAUUGGAUGAGAUUUAAAUAUACUAUCACCGUGGAUCUUUAGAAUCUUGGGGGAUAAAUAAGAAUAAAAUAGCCAUUAAAGGCUCUCUCAUCAAACAAUUGCCCCUUUUCCAGUUGGCUUAAGGAGAGAGAGAUAAAGUGUCCUACAACACCUUUCUCCAACAUCUUUUUGAUAUUUGUGUAUAAAAUUUUGAUUUCCUUUGAUGAUUGAUACCAAAUAGGAACCUUGAUUAAAUGAGUAUCUUUAGUUAAAAUAGAAUGACACAUUGCAAUUUUAGCCCUAAAUAAUAGAUUGAAAUUAAAGAGAUAAAAAACCUCCUUUUUGAGCCAAUCAAUUACAAAGGCCGUUUGAGGGAUCUAGAGAAGAAUAGAAACACAAGAAGGAAACACAAUAAAAAGUAAUAGAGAGAUAAAAGUGAUGGAAAUAGAAGUAAAAAUAAAAGGACAAAAUGAAAUAAAAGUGAAAGGAAUGGAAGAAUGAUGAAAUAAAGGGUUAAAGCUUUAAAGUUACUCUCAGCAUAAUUGCACUAUAAAUAAUCUAUACUAAGGAUGACACUAAAAGCUUGAUUUAGCACCACUUGUAAUAAUUGAAGCUUAAAAUUGAGAACACCUAUAUGCACAACUAAGUUUGCUUCAUCUUAUAUAUAUAUAUAUAUAUAUAUAUAUAUAUAUAUAUAUAUAUAUAUAUAUAUAUAUAUAUAUGUGUGUGUGUGUGUGUGUGUGAACAGGCAUUGUUAUAAAGAAUGAAAAUUAGUUCUACUACAUAACAUAACUAUAAAUGGCAAUAUGUGGCAAUAAACUGAAUGAUAGAAGAUAAACUCAAACCCAUAUCAACCAAUAUAAAGAGGAUAAUAUAGGACUUUUUAUUAUAAAAACAAGUUUUAUAAGUAAACAUUGAAUGAAUUGGUGCUAAGUGAACCCUUUAAUAGUACUUUUAAAAGAUGAAUAGAAGAGUCAUUAACUUAUUUGUGCAAAAACCCUCCACUACUUAUAUAACUCUUUAUUUCCUAAAAGAAUUUUUAUAUUAAAACCUUUCCACCCAGCAUUGUUCUAACCAGUGCGAAACAGAAGAAAGAGUUAGAUCGACAAUGAAUAAAACUCUAGCCACACCAACAAAACAUUAUUGAUGCCAAGGCCUUCACUUAGGAAAUAGAGGAUGUUAAUCCAGAAAACAUCAACAAUGCUGAUAUAUAUGGCUAACUUCAUUACACAUUUAGUAAUGAAUAUUAUGGCCACAACUAUGUCCUCACCCCACAAGCAAUAAUAACAUCAACUUUCAUUAGAACAGGAUCAUCUCAUACAUAAAUUAAAGAUAAAGAACGUGCAAUGACAAGUGGGAGAAGUGAUAUCUCAUAAUAUUGUGUUAAGUGAAGAGUAUUAUCAAGGGUGGUUAGGGCAAAUGCAUACAGAAGUCCUACAAGAUUUUGAUAAAUCACUAACUACAAUAUUCUUAAUUUGAUUUUCUCUAAUAUAUUUGGCUUUAUAUGGAGUAAAAAGCUUUAGAAACAAAUACCAAAUUGUAUAACUAAUUCAGACAACUCUUGAUAAAGAUGAUACAAUUGCUAAAAGACAUCAUUAUAAUUUUCAAUAUGUUCAAAUGCAUGCUUGAAGACAUCUGGAAGAA
rnacentral:lncRNA from 1 species